rnacentral:lncRNA from 1 species
UAUCGGCCAUGGAUCCGAAGACAAGAUGGGGUAGCUUUGAGCCGCCUAGGAGGUGGAGAUGACCUAUAAUAGGCCAUGCUCCACCAGCUUCAGGUGCUACAUUUUUUUUGCUAAUUCUAGUCCAAGGUGAGAAAUGAUAAAGGACUAAUACUAUAGCAAACAGAGCAGCUAUUAUAGAGUAGAGUUGUGGGAGGAAGGACUCCAUGGCAGAAUUAAGCGAUUGAGUUAUUCAACUCUUUAGGGAUUUCUUUGGUGCUAUACCAUAUAAAUAACUAAAUGAUUUGGUUAAGCUUGACUUUUUGUGCAGAAUAUGGCCCAGUUGGGUUGUUUUAUAUGAAUUGUUAACGUUAACAAAUGAUUUGGUUAAGGUUGACUUUUUGUGCAGAAUAUGGCCUAGUUGGGUUGUUUUAUAUGAAUUGUUAACGUUAACAAUUAAAAUUAAUGAAAGCUAAACAAUUAAUAAAAUCGAUAUAUUAUCCUUAAGUUUUACAAGUACUUAUACUACAGUUCCGAAAUACCCUUAUAUUAUUUUAAUUAAUUUUAAUAUAUAUUUGGAACUUGAAAAACACGAAGACAAAGGAAGAAAAAGAAAAAAGAAUAAUGAAUUUAAAAGAACGAAAAAAAAUAUAUCUUAAUGAAAACAAGGUAAUAAGCUACACUUCAAAAAAUUCUAACAUCAUGAACAGUGUUAAGAUAUACUGUAUUUGUUACGGGCAAUGGAUAACUAAGAACUGGUAAGGAAUUUAUGAGUCCGCAGGACCACAACGUAUCAUGCAACCAGAGUCUAGUAUUAUAGUACAUAGUACUCAAGGUGAUAAUGAGACUGAAUAUAACAACUAUGUUGACAGGUUAGGGGCCCACACAGAAUACUACAUUGAAUGAGUUAAGAAGAUCAAGGAGAACUACUAGAGAGCCUACGUGCACGAGACGUUAUAUCAAGUGCAAGAAUGGAGAACGUAGAGUUAGGAAAUAAUCUUGAAUUAUCAUACUCAGUUAGAGUAUAAGAUUCAAGGGUCCUCAUUUGAUAAUAUCAUUCUAGUUGUAUGGUGGAUAUAUAUUCACUUAGUUUGUUAGCCUUAUCUUGUAAUGGGUUAUUUGUUAGCUUUAUAUUGUCAUGGGUUUACGGUGUAAACGUAAUGAUUUUAAAUCUUAUCCUUAUCUCCUUUUCUUUUAUCUACGUAUACUUCUCCUCCAAAUUUUUCACUAAAGAUAAUUAAUUAAUGUCAUAUGGUAAGUCAUUUUUUUAAUUAUGUCCAAUCUCAUAUAUUGAUGUUUUUUGUAAUUGUAAUUCAGCUGAACAGGACUCUAUACUUAAUGUUAAGAUAUUUAAAAGUACGUGCAUGUCUUUUUCGAGAUUAUUAUCUGAUUCAUUUUAUUUGAAUUCAUAUCUCACCAAAGUGAAUGUUAACGCCAAGAUUCGUCCACGCGCUUCAAUCCUGCACAAAAACGAAAAAACACGAAAAGCUUGACGGCUUGGGCCGCCGAGGGAUAGCUCCAGUGUGAGAAUAAGUACAUGCUGAAUAAGGUUAACAAUGAAGAUUUAAUGCUCUAGUACUGAAAAAUAAUAAUUGUAUGUACCUUAGAGUUCUCACCACCUCUAUCAGGUUGGAUUAAGGUUCCUCCCAAGCAAUAAUUCCUUAACAAGAUUGUACAAAAUCUCCUAAAAUUAAGGAAGUUGGCUCAAAUCUCAACACUUCCUUCCAUAUCUAGAAAUUAAUAAAAUCGAUAUAUUAUCCUUAAGUUUAAUUUUACCAAUACUUAUACUAAAGUUCCGAAAUACCCUUUUAUUAUUUUAAUUAAUUUUAAUAUAUAUUUGGAACUUGAAAAACACGAAGACAAAGGAAGAAAAAGGAAAAUUAAAAAAGAAUAAUGAAUUUAAAAGAACAAAAAAAUAUCUUAAUGAAAACAAGGUAAUAAGCUACACUUCUAAAAAUUCUAACAUCAUGAACAAUGUUAAGAUCUGUAUUUGUUACAGGCAAUGGAUAACUAAGAACUGGUAAGGAAUUUAUGAGUCCACAACUAUCAGAGUUGGACAAUAUGAGUCUACACACUGAGCAGCAGAAUAUGAACUGUGACUCCUUCAAAAUAGGUAUACAUUAUUUAUCUUGAAUCGCCAAAUACAUGGUACAAAAUUCAAAUACAACUUAAUAAUACAACUGUCGUGUAAAAUACGACAAAACAUAAACUGAGAGUUUUAAUACGAAUAUUGUCUUCUAGACAGUAUUCAAACUCAAAUGGAGUCUUCAUUAUAUUUAUUAUCACACUAUUUAACAGAAUAAUCAGGACUACUAAUGCUAUCAUCUGGACCGUCACAGCGUUCCCCGACUAGUCCCAGCUAUAUUCUCAUUUUCUGAAGAGAAUAAUGAAAGCAAAUGGUGAGCUCAACUAGCCCAGUAAGAAAUAUUAUGACUAAGAUAAUGCAGAAUAAGUUAUCGUUAGCCUUUAACAAUGUUAAACUGAUAGAAUAUAAUAGACAAUAAGUUUAACUGUAGCGGAACAAGCAAUCCAUUAGAAGAGUCAAGUAGAGCAUGAUAUCUACUAUCUUCUAUGAUUUAAAAAGAUUUUCAUCAACUUUAUCACUGAGACUCAUCUUAAUAAAUAAAUCACAUCAUCGAAUCAUCCCUGCACCACGGCCAAGGAUAUUCAUGUAAUCAUCAAUGGUCAUGACUAUACCGAAUAAUCCUUGGUCAUAAUCAUACCAACAACUAUCUAUCAAUGAACUACAGGCCAAUGAGGGCUUUUACCACAUCAUUUAUAACAUUACGGGUCAUGAUUAUACCGAAUGAUCCUUGGUCAUAAGCAUACCAAUCAACAGUUCAUCUAUGCACGUAAGCCAAAUAUGACUUUCAUCAUAAUAUAAGCAUGAUGAUGAUAAUGAUAUAAGAAUUUAAUUAAAAGAAACAAAGGAUAAAUUUUUAAAGAUUUAUAAUUUAAUUUAUUCAGAAUUCAAUAAUGUUCAAAUUGCCAACAUGAUACUGCUUUGUGGAGUAAAAUUCAAGAAUGAUAUUGUAUCAAAAAUAAUUUGGACCGAAAAGAAAUCAAUUUUUGUCAUGAAUAGUACUUUGGGUGAAUAGUACCUGGAUGAAUAGUACCUCAUGAAUAGUAUUUCGGGAAUAGUACCUAGUGAAUAGUACUUUGUGAAUAGUACUCAUGAAUAGUAUCUCGUAAAUAGUACUUUAAGAAUAGUACUUUGUGAAUAGUACCCAUAAAUAGUACUUUUGUGAAUGGUACCGUAUAAAUGAAUAGUACUCAUGGACAGUACUCCGGCAUGAAAUGCUUAAAAUUUAACAAAAAUGUGCAGAAAAUAUCCUUGUGAAACGAUACUAGAUGAAGCGCAAAUUUUAAGGAUAUUAUACUAAUUUCACGGAGUAUAAAAGCAAUACUUUAACAAGAUGAGGGUAUAAUGAGGAAUACGAGAUAAAAUAAUAUUACUCACAUACUAGAGUAUGGAAGAAAAUAUUAUUCCUACAAAUAUAUACUGAACAAAAUAAUAUCCCUUACCUCAGAAGAAGAUUGGAUACUAGAAUAGUGAGGUAGCAGACUUCUCUUCUUCUUUCUCUCUAUAGCUUCUCUCUCUAUAACUUCUCUCUCUAUAAAUGCUCUUGUGAGUCUUAGUGAAUUGGUGAGAAUGAAGGAAGAAUGAGCUUCUAUUUAUAGGAAAAUAUAGUUUCGAUAAUUGCACGUUUUGGGGGUCAAAAUAUUACAGUAUAAUACCUUCAUCUUUUCCUUUAUUUUUAAUUUAGUCCUGCAAGUAUUAUCAAACUUGCACCACCUCCCCUAAUAGUAUAUCAUGUGAAUUAAUAGUACAUUCAUGUGAAUCAAUAGUUCAAUCAUGUGAAAAAAAUAAUUACAGUAUAGUACCUUCAUCUAUACCUCCAUUUUUAAUUUAGUCAUGCAAGUAUUAUCAAUCUUGCACCACCUCCCCUAAUAGUACAUGCAUGUGAAUCAAUAGUACACACAUGUGAACAAAUAGUUAUAAGCAUGUGAAUUAAUAGCAAUUAAUUGCUCAUUUAUCCGAUUAAUUACCCGAUUGGUCAAUAUAACCUCCAGACAUCAAUUAUUAUCGAAAUAAAUGUCGAUUUCCACUAACACUAAUAAUCCCAACACAAUGGAACUAUCAAUUUCAUCUUUAAUCAACACGAACUUAUUCAUCAUUAAUAUUAUAACUCACAAUAUUUAACAACCAGGUCGUUCCCAGGAAAGAGGGGGCUUUCCGAUAAGGAUUUCUCCUUAUUGGCGCGCAAUUAGGUGACCAAACCUCUCCUUGACAGAACUUCUAGACAUUGUCAAUAUUGCAAAUAAUAAUAUGAAUAACUUUGUCGUCUCAAUUAUUGAUUUAAUAAUAUAACAUAUUAUGCAGAUGAUACUGUGACAAUAAUUGAAUCAAUAAUAUGAGAGAUAUGAUGCAGCAAUUACUGUAGCAAUAAUUGAGUAUAACUGAGUGACUUCUCACGUAAGCAUCAAUAAUCAAUACCGUGUGCUACUAUGCAACCACGCGUAUUACUGUACUUUUACUACCGGGUAGUUCAACAGUUUUAACGGUAACACUUUCGCCGUUAUUUUUAUAAAAAGAUAAUUCUGUCGUUUUCUAACUACGACAAUACUUCCGUUGUGGGGUCCACCAAUGAUUGUGCCGUCGUACGAAUAUUCCCUGUUAAAACGAAUAUUCCCCGACCAAUCGAAUAUUAUAUAACCACUUGCUUACUUUGCAAAAUUUGUAAAUAUUACCCACAACUAUAACAUUAUAUCAAAUCCACACCAUAAUAUUCAAAAAUAUAUUUCGAGAAAAUUAUUCUUUAUUCAUAAAAGUUGGGGUCUUACAACCUCCCCUUCUUAUGAAAUUUCGUCCUCGAAAUUAGGGUACGUACCUGGUAUAUCGAAGAGGUGAGGAUAUCUUGACUUCAUCUCAGAUUCUAACUCCCAGGUCAUUUCUUCCACAUCGUGGUUUCUCCACAAAACUUUGACUUGAGGUAUAACCUUGGAGCGUAGAAUAUGAUCCUUCUUAUCCAAGAUUUUAACAGGUAACUCUUCAUACGUUAAAUCUUCCUCUAUCUCGUCUGGUUCUAAUUCAAUAAUGUGGUUCGGGUCUUUCACAUAUUUACGUAACAUAGAUAUGUGAAAAACGUUAUGAACACGAGACAUACUUGGCGGUAAGGCGAGUCUAUAGGCCACAGUUCCUACUCGAUCGAGGAUUAAAAAUGGGCCAAUGAAUCGAGGAUUGAGCUUUCCUCUCUUUCCAAAUCUCGUAACUCCUUUCCAUGGAGCAACACGUAACAACACAUGAUCUCCAAUAUCGAAUUCCACGUCCUUUCGAUGAAGAUCAGCAUAACUCUUUUGUCGAUCUUGUGAGGUUUUUAUACGUUGUCGGAUCGUUUGAAUCUUUUCCGUAGUCAUACGUACCAACUCCGGUCCCAACAACGUUGCUUCACCCACCUCAUCCCAGCAUACUGGAGAACGACACUUUCUUCCAUACAACGCCUCAAAUGGAGCCAUGCCAAUACUUGCUUGAUAACUGUUGUUGUAGGAAAACUCCACCAAUGAUAAGAACUUGUCCCAACUUCCCUUGAAGUCAAGGACACAGAGUCUUAAUAAAUCUUCAAAAGUUUGAAUAGUCCUUUCCGACUGCCCGUCCGUUUGAGGAUGAUAAACAAAACUAAAUCAUAAAUCCGCGCCCAUAGAUUUUUGCAAACUAACCCAAAAUCUUAAAGUGAAUCUUGGGUCUCGAUCAGAAACUAUGGAUACUGGCAUACCAUGCAGUCUUACAACCUUGUUUAUGAACAUACGAGCAAGGCGUUCAAGUGUAUAAGUUUCUCGUAUAGGUAAGAAAUGAGCAGACUUGGUCAAUCUAUCAACAAUGACCCAAAUUGCAUCUAUGCCUUGAGAAACCUUGGGAAGACCAGUAAUGAAAUCCAUGGUAAUGUGCUCCCACUUUCAUUUUGGAAUUUCAAGUGGUUGCAAUGGACCUUUUGGCACUAGAUGCUCCGCCUUGACUCGUUGACAAGUUAGACACCUUGAGAUAAACCACGCUAUCUCUCUCUUUAUAUUGCUCCACCAAAAUGUAUGUCGAAGAUCACGAUACAUUUUGGUACUCUCUGGAUGGAUUACAAAUAGUGUGUUGUGCGCCUCCAUCAUGAUUUUAUACUUCAAGUCAGAAUCGUUAGGAACACAAAGUCUGGAGUUGACUCGAAGUAUUUCUUCUUCAUCGAUUCUUACUUCCGGGAUAGCACCUUCUUGCACUUUCUUCCUCAAACGCAUAAGCUCCAGGUCUAUAGCUUGAGCAACUUUAACUUUAUCAAUUAAAGUUGGUUCUACUCGUAUGAUUGCCAUCAUCACGUGGAUCCCUGGAGUCUUUAACUCUAUCUCCAUCCUUUGCAAGUCAUACAAAAUGGGCCUUUGCAUUGACAAUAACGCACUCGUACCUGCAUAUGAUCUUUUACUCAAUGCAUCAGCUACUACGUUCGCUUUUCUAGGAUGGUAUUGAAUGGUAUGAUCAUAAUCUUUCAACAGCUCAAGCCAAUGUCGUUGCCGCAUGUUGAGUUCCUUUUGAGUGAAGAAAUAUUUGAGGUUUUUAUGAUUCGUAUAGAUCUCCACCUUCUCUCCAUACAGGUAAUGCCUCUAAAUCUUAAGCGAAAAAUGAUAACUGCCAACUCUAGAUCAUGAGUAGGAUAAUUCCUCUCAUAUUCUUUGAGUUGUCGAGAGGCAUAGGCUAUGACUUUCCCAUGUUGCAUGAGAACACAUCCUAACCCUUUGCCUGAAGCAUCAUGUAGAUGACAAAUCCCUCCGAGCCAGAUGGUAUUGUCAUAACAGGUGCUGAAAUGAGUCUUCUCUUGAGUUCUUGAAAACUCUUCUCACAUUCCUCGUUCCAACCGAAUUUUGUAUCUUUUUGAGUCAGAUGAGUUAAUGGAGUAACGAUUCGAGAAAACCCUUCUACGAAUCUCCGAUAAUAACCAGCUAAGCCGAGAAAGCUACGUACUUUGGUCACUGACUGAGGUUGCUCCCAACUUUGAGUUGCUUCAAGCUUUGCCGGGUCAACAAAUAUUUUGUGAUUUGAUAUCACGUACCCAAGGAAUGCAACUUCCUCAAGCCAGAACUCGCAUUUCUUCAACUUGGCAUACAGCUUGUUUUCACAAAGCUUUUGGAGUAUCAACCUUAAGUGUUGCUCAUUGUCUUCACGGGUUUUGGAGUAUAUGAGGAUGUCAUCAAUAAAGACGACCACAAAGUGAUCCAAAUAUUCCUUGAAUACUCAUUUCAUCAUAUCCAUGAAGGCAGUAGGAGCAUUAGUCAAUCCAAAAGACAUGACUAGGAAUUCGUAAUGCCCGUACCGAGUUUUGAAAUCCAUUUUUGGAAUGUCAUCGGUUUUAAUCUUUAAUGGAUGAUAUCCGAAAUGAAGAUCGAUCUUUGAAAAGAAUUUGGCGCCUUGCAACUGGUCAAACAGAUCAUCAAUACGAGGUAACGGGUACCUAUUUUUGAUGGUGACAUGAUUCAACUCUCGAUAAUCAAUACAAAGUUGUAUACUUCCAUCUUUCUUCUUCAUGAAUAGAACAGGAGCACCCCAAGGAGACGUACUAGGAUGAAUGAAACCGAUGUCUAACAAUUCCUGUAGUUGGAAUUUUAACUCCUGAAGUUCAAUAGGAGCCAUUCGAUAUGGGGCUUUGGAAAUGGGUUUUGUACUGGAUUCAAGGUCGAUACAAAAUUCAAUUUCACGCUCUGGGGGAUAGGCCAGGAAGUUCUUCAAGGAAUACGUCAGGAAAUUUAUUAACAAUAGAAAUAUCAUUCAAAUCUGACGUAUUUUUAUUUAAAUCCGUGACAUGGACUAAGAAAGCUUGACAUCCAUUUUUUAAUAAACGAAUAACUUUAUGGCUUGAUAUGACAGUGAUUGACUUUAGUGGUUUGGUUGCUUGAAUUCGUAUAAUAGGUUGGUUAGGAAUAUGAAAGCUAACAACCUUACGAAAACAAUCGAUUUUAGCAUGAUGAGUAGUUAACCAAUCAAUCCCUAAAAUCACAUCAAAUGCAAGUAUUUUCAAAGAAAUAAGAUUGACAGGUAACGUACGGUUACCGAUUUGAAUCAAACAAGACUUAUAAACCGUGGAUGUAAUGAAGGUUUCUCCCAACGGAGUUUCAACAGAUAAGUCAAAGUCUAAUUUCUCCGGAGUCAAAUUUAAACGUUGAGCACAAGUAGGAGAAAUAAAAGAAUGGGUAGAACCAGUAUCAAAUAAGGUAUAUACUUCGCUAGAGUUUGUGAUUAGCUUACCCGUGAUCACCUCGUUUGGAUUCCUCGCUUUUUAGGAGGUUACGAUAAACACUCUCCCUUGAACCACCGAUUUUGUCUUGUCUGGGACGGCCUUUGAUGCCUCCAUUCCAGCUAGACUUGACUUUGGUGCACGACAAAAUCGGGCUAGGUGACUUUCUCUCCAUAAUUGUAACAUGUUUUGGACUGCAUCACACAGUUUGGACUGAUAUGUCCCUCCCCUCCGCAUUUGUAACAUACGACCGACGGUCAUUCUCCUUCCUUAACAACGGGUGCUGGUGCUGACGUCUUUCCAUCAUUGUUGAAUCUCCUCUUCUUGAAAUGUCCACUCUUAUUGUCUUGGCCAUGAUUACUACCGAAGUGGUUACCAUUUCUAGCAUGUUGAUUCCCUCCACGCUUGUUGUCACCGCUUCGAUGAUUGCUACCACUGGUAUUAUCGAUUUGCCGGCUGCUCUCUCUUAGUUGGGUUGACUCAUUAUCGCGCUCUAAUAACUGAGCCCUAUUUACAACAUCUGAAUACAAGCAAAGUUUGUGAGAAAUGAGGUAUUGACGUAUCUCAGGUUUCAAACCUCUUAAAAACAUCCGCUUCAUUCUCUCCUCAUUAUCAACCAAAUGAGAUGCAAAUCGGGACAACUCGGCAAAUAUAGCUUCGUACUGUGUCACAGUCAUAUUGUUUUGCUCCAGCUUGAUAAACUUCACCUCCUUCAUGUGACGAAUACUUUCGGGAAACUACUUGUCAUUGAACAGUUUUUAGAACUUCUCCCAAGACAUCUUCAGUGCGGCAGGUUGAGUACGCUUUACAGAUUCCUACCAAUAAUCUGCCUUUGCUCGCAACAUGAAGGUGACAAAGGGAACCUUUUUCUCCUCGGAGCAUCCCAAGACAUCAAAUAUCUUGGUGAUCUGCUUUAUCCACGUCUCCGCCUUAAGUGGUUUUGGCUCUCCAAAAAACUCCGGUGGUCCCAGCUCCUUGAACUAUUUAGCGGUGACCAUCCGAGAGUUGCCAGUGUUUCCGCCUGCAUUUUGAACAGGAGUCUCUCUCGCCUGAUGUUGCAUGAACUGCAUAACGCCUCUGAACAUCCCAUCAUUCAUCAUCUGAUCGGUGUUGUUGUUUACCUGAGGAUUAUUAUCUUCCUGUUACACAUUAUCCUGGGUAUUGAUCGUUGGUGACUCAACGGUCUCAUGUGCUUCAUUGCUUAUCUCAAUAUUUUUAGAUGCCAUUUUCAAAUACUACCACAAAACAAGGGUUAAUUGACAUGUCACGUAUUAUCCCUAUACUCUGACUGACCAAUUAAAUACCAAAUAAACUUAGGUAGGUCAUACUAGCGAAAGAAUUCCCCGUCUCUCCCCUCCUAGUUCUUGUCUCACAUCUCAGUCAGGGAUCAUAUCCCUAAGCUUUGAUACCAACUGUGAUGCCCCCAAAAUAGGUAUACAUCACCCAUCUUGAGUCUCCAAAUACAUGGUACAAAAUUCAAAUACAACUUAAUAAUACAACUGUCGUGUAAAAUACGACAAAACAUAAACUGAGAGUUUUAAUAUGAAUAUUGUCUUCUAGACAGUAUUCAAACUCAAAUAGAGUCCUCAUUACAUUUAUUAUCACACUAUUUAACAGAAUAGUCAGGACUACUAAUGCUAUCAUCUAGACCGUCACUCCGUUCCUCGACUAGUCCCAACUAUAUUCUCAUUUCCUGAAGAGAACAAUGAAAGCAAAGGGUGAGCUCAACUAGCCCAGUAAAAAAUAUUAUGACUAAGAUAAUGCAGAAUAAGUUAUCGUUAGCCUUCAACAAUGUUAAACUGAUAUAAUAUAAUAGACAACAAGUUUAACUGCAGCGGAACAAGCAAUCCAUUAGAAGAGUCAAGUAGAGCAUGAUAUCUACUAUCUUCUAUGAUUUAAAAAGAUUUUCAUCAACUUUAUCAUUGAGACUCAGCUUAAUAAAUAAAUCACAUCAACGAAUCAUCCCUGCACCACGGCCAAGGAUAUUCAUGUAAUCAUCAAUGGUCAUGACUAUACCGAAUAAUCCCUGGUCAUAAUCAUACCAACAACUGUCCAUCAAUGAACUACAGGCCAAUGAGGACUUUUACCACAUCAUUUGUAAUAUUACGGGUCAUGAUUAUACCGAAUGAUCCCUGUUUAUAAUCAUACCAAUCAAUAGUUCAUCUAUACACGUAAGCCAAAGAUGACUUUCAUCACAAUAUAAGCAUGAGGAGGAUGACAUAGUACAAUCAUGUGAAUCAAUAGUAAAAUCAUGUGAAUCAAUAGUUCAAACAUGUGAAAAAACUAAUUACAAUAUAGUACCUUCAUCUAUACCUCCAUUUUUAAUUUAGUCAUGCAAGUAUUAUCAAUCUUGCACCACCUCCCCUAAUAGUACAUGUAUGUGAAUCAAUAGUACACACAUGUGAACAAAUAGUUAUAAGCAUGUGAAUAAUAGCAAUUAAUUUCUCAUUUAUCCGAUUAAUUACCCGAUUGGUCAAUAUAACCUCCAGACAUCCAUUAUUAUCGAAAUAGAUGUCGAUUUCCACUAACACUAAUAAUCCUAACAUAAUGGAACUAUUAAUUUCAUCUUUAAUCAACACGAACUUAUUCAUCAUUAAUAUUAUAACUCAUAAUAUUUAACAACCAGGUCGUUCCCAGGAAAGAGGGGGCUUUUCGAUAAGGAUUUCUCCUUAUUGGCGCGCAAUUAGGUGACCAAACCUCUCCUUGACAGAACUUCUAGACAUUGUCAAUAUUGCAAAUAAUAAUAUGAAUAACUUUGUCGUCUCAAUUAUUGAUUUAAUAAUAUAAAAUAUUAUGCAGAUGAUACUGUGACAAUAAUUGAAUCAAUAAUAUGAGAGAUAUGAUGCAACAAUUACUGUAGCAAUAAUUGAGUAUAACUGUGUGACUUCUCACGUAAGCAUCAAUAAUCAAUAUUGUGUGCUACUAUGCAACCACGCGUAUUACUGUACUUUUACUACCGGGUAGUUCAAUAGUUUAUCGGUAAAACUUUCGCUAUUAUUUUUAUAAACAGAUAAUUAUGUCAUUUUCUAAGUAGGACAAUACUUCCGUUGUGGGGUCCACCAAUGAUUGUGCCGUCGUACAAAUAUUCCCUGUUAAAAUGACUAUUCCCUGACCAAUCGAAUAUUUUAUAACAACUUGCUUACUUUGCAAAAUUUGUAAAUAUUACCCACAACUAUAACAUUAUAUCAUAUCCACACCAUAAUAUUCAAAAUAUAUUUCGAGAAAAUUUUAUCUUUAUUCAUAAAAGUUGGGGUCUUACAAUCCGCAUCAGAGCAAUCUGGUUUGGCAUAAAUACUAAAGAACGCUUGAAUUCUAUAAAUAUUUUUUAACAGCCGUCUAGCCGAAUCAAAUAGCUUAGACUUGUAUCAAUAACUCGGACAUCAAUCGAAAUAAUUUAGCCAACUUAACUGACCUUCUUCAUAAUUUAAAAGAAAACCAAAAAUUCUUUUAUGACGUCAUGAUACCGUACUAGAUUAGUAGUACGUUGAGGAUUCCGCCAUUAUGUGACUUUGUCAUACUACAUCGUACCAAAAUUGGCUGACGAUCUUUCGAUCACAACCAACACUAGGUUCAACUGCAUUGAUGACUCCAUCAUUUACCAUUUCUACACCAUACCAAAUGAUGUAAAUGGUCAGAAAUACAUUUUGAAAAUUUUCAAAUUAUUUUUGUCUUAGCCGAAACAAUUAGCAUAGACGUAUGAAUAACAUUAUUGUUUUUAAACAUCAUUGGUUCAAUCACAUGAUCCAAAGUUUUUUCGAGAAAAUAGAGGUGCAAACUUCAGCACGAAGUCAAUAAAUUUUGAAAAUCUAGUAGAGCUAGAAGAUUUAGAAAAUCCAUGUUUCUCCAUCAACUUCAAUCUUUACUCCAUUGCUUCAUUCUAUUAAUCUCUAACACCAUCAAUGCUCACUAUACCAAAAUUUCUAACUUCAUAACAUAUAUAUACCCGAUAUAUUUCAUCAAACUUUCCACACUUUGGAAAUCAAGGAACUUGCCAUAAUCAUAUGAGUUUAGGAACUUACCCUAGUCAGACUGUGACGCCCCCAAAAUAGGUAUACAACACCCAUUCUGAGUCGCCAAAUACAUGGUACAGAAAGCAAACUAUAACUUCAAUAAUACAAUUGUCGUGCAAAAUACGACAACACAUACUGUGAGUUUAAAUACAAAUAUUGUCUUCUAGACAAUAUCAACACUCAAAUAAGUCCUCAUUACAAUUAUUCAUACACUAUUUUACAGAAAUAGUGAGGACUGCUAAAACAUCUUUCUAGAACCAUCACUCCAUACCCCGACUAGAUCCUGCUAUGUUCUCACCUCCUGAGAAGAAAAAUGGAACAAAAAGGAAAAGGGUGAGCUCAACUAGCCCAGUAAAGAAUAUUAUGACUAAGAUAAUAUACAACAAAUUAUCAUUAGUCUUCAACAGGGAAAAAUCUGAUAGAAUAUAAUAGACAACAAGUUUUAGAUCAACAAAUGCAGCGGAAACAACAAUCCAUUAGAAGAGUCACGUAGAGAAUGAAUUCUACUAUCUUCUAAGAUUUAAAAGUCCAUCAUCAAUAUUUUAUCCCUGUAACAACAAUCAAUAUACAUCUUUAAUCAAAUAUUCAUCUUUGCACUACAGGCCAAAGAUAUUCAUUUGUAUCACCAGUUGGUCAUGUUCAUCUCAACACCUGUUCAUCUUUGCACUACGGGCCAAAGAUAUUCAUCAGUUAAUCAUUCAUCUUUGCACUACAGGCCAAAGAUAUUCAGUAAUAUCAUCAUUUAGGACUGAGGAUGAUGAAAAAUAUUUUAAAGAAAACGAAUCCAGUGAGACAGAAGGACAAAUAUUAGGGAUUCGUAUAACAGUUUAUCCAAGAUCAAUAAUACUUCAUAAUAACCAAUUGUGAAGCAGAAUUCAAAAAUAAAGAUCAAAACAUGGAUACAAUCAAAGAUAGUAACCAUAAUAGACAUCUUGGACAAAAAGAAGAAAAUUUCAUUUUUCGGUGAAUAGUGCCGUAUUCGUGAAUAGUGCCGUAUACGUGAAUAGUAACCCCGACACAAAAAGUUCCAAAUUUGAUAAAAAGGUUCACCAAUAUUUCGGCAUAAUGAUAUUGAAGAAAAUAAUAUCAUUUAAGAAGAAAAUAACAUCCCUUACAUCAAAAUAACCGUACUUCUGAGUGAAUUUCGGAUAUAGUGCUGACAGAAACUUGCACUGAAUAGUAACUCUCAAAGUAUCAAAAUACUCACAAAAAUACGCUCGAUAAUCUAGAGAGAAAGAAAACUUGUUUCUGGUGUGAUUUUCAAUUCUAACCUAAGCGUCUAUUUAUAGGAAAAUGUUAGAACGCCAUAGGAGACUAAAAUAAUAAAAUAAUAUUAUUUCUCAUUCUUUCUUCUACGCAUGCAUCAAUUGAGCAAGCUAGCCACCAAUUCUGAAAAAUUUCAGCAGCCCAUGUGCAUUCAACACCAACCAAAAAGUGGGUCCCACCCAUAAUUUAAUAAAAAUCAUUUUAUUUUUUGAAACUUCAGUAAUUCAUAGAAAAUAGCCCGUUUAUCAAAAAAAUACGAAUUUUAUGUCCAUUCCACAUGAAAUCGAAUUCUCUACAACUUUGUAGCUUUGAGGUUUUCCAAAUUCCGAAUAAAAAAUAUCCGAAAUCCAUAAACGGGUGAUUUUUAAUACCUCCAUUCCGAUAAAAUACUAAUAAAACACCUCAGCAUUAAUUCCUUCAUUUAUAACCACAUAAAUAAAUCCAUCAUUAAUAUCUACAUCAAAUAAAUAUUUCCUUAUCAUAUAAACCAAUAAUUAAUUAUUCACAAAUAAUAUUACAGAAUCACAAUUAUGACAACCAGACAGUUCCCAGUAAAGAGGGGGCUUUCCAAUAAGGAUUUCUCCUUAUUGGCGCGCAAUUAGGUGACCAAACCUCUCCUUGACUGAACUUUCUAGACAUUGCCAAUAAUUCCAUCUAAUAAUAUUAUUCAAAUAAUAUGAAUUAUUGAUCUGAUAAUGGGAAAUACUGUGCAGUGACAAUUAUUGAAAUAACAAUAAUAUAAACUAUCCACGCAAUAAUUAUUGAAUUAAUAAAAUAAAAUAUUGAACAGUAAUUACUAUAACAAUUAUUGAGUAGUGCCUUCUUACGUACGAAUCAAUAAUUCAACAAUACUGCGCAAUACCGUGUGCUACUGUUCAACCACGCGUAUUACUGUAUUUUAACCACCAGGUAACCCACCAGUGUUAACGGUAACAGUUACGCCGUUAUUCAUAAAAAGUCGUACUUUAUCGUUUUCCUUCAUCCAACUGUUUUCCAUUACGGGGCCCAUAAAUGGCUGCGUCGUCGUACGAAUAUUCCCCGACAACAAGAAUAUUCCACGACCAAACGAAUAUUCCCCGACAAAAAUGAAUAUUUUAUAACCACUUGCUUAUUUUGUAAAAUUUGCACAUUUCACCCAUAACCAAAGCAUUAUAUCAAAUUAACACCUUAUUAAUUUAGAAUAAUGAAUAGAGGAAAAAUUCAAUUUUAUUUAUAAUAAGUUGGGGUCUUACACAGACCAUAGGCGUCCAUUCGCUGAGGGGUUCAAAAACAUUUCAUAUAAUUAUGAGUCACGAACGUACCAUAAGUAUGAGUUUUAAGAACUCACAACUUAACCUUAUAUUCUCUAACUAUAACAUAUCUAUCUGUUAUACGCAUGAGAAAAGAAUCAACUUCUCAACAAGUAUAUAGCAAAUAGGGCGACACAGACAUUUCAAUGAUUAUCAAUGCCAGAACUAAAUGGUUUUUACACCAAGUACAAUUCCCCGCCUAUAACAAGGAAUCAUACAACUCAACUGCUGACAUGGGUCCUCAAUUGAAAUCCCACUUAACUCUAUCUUACACUUUACUUUCUUUUGCUCGAUACGAAUUCUUCGUAUCUCAUCACAUACAACUCCUCAUGAGUUCACAUCAUACCAUUUCACAGUACAUUCUCUUAUAACCUCAAGCUAUACACACUUAGUCGUUAUAGACUAUUUAUCACUUCAUACUUCAUUCUGAUCACGUCGUGAUCAUCAAUUACCUUAGGGUUCUUUCCCUAUUAUCAACAAAACUCCACUCGAGUUCAUUCUUACUAUCUUUGUCAUCUUCAUCUUAUAGACAUCGUCUUAUCAUUUUAUUACUGGAGUUAGGAAACUCCUAAAUUCUCAUUCUCUUGGAUACUUCAAGAUUCUUUUUUUAAAUCUUCACUUAUAUAUAUAUAUAUAUAUAUAUAUAUAUAUAUAUAUAUAUAUAUAUAUAUUAAACUUUAUCUUUCUCUCUCUCUCUCUCUCAGGUUAUAGCCUAAGGUACACUUACCUAAGUUUAUAACCUAUAGCUUUGAUACCAACCUAUGACGCCAUGAUACUAUUAUCGUCAAACUAUUUAUAUCUUUUAUUCAUAACAUAAUGAAUAUAACUUUACUUAUUACAAUUUAGAAUAUAAAUUCUUUCCAAUUACAGGAUCUAUAUAAUGACCCCAAACUUUUAUAAGUUUCAAAUAUUGGUCAUUUACCAUUCCUGUUUUACAUCAUAUUCGAUGUUAUAUAAAUAUGCGGAAUAAUUUAAACUUUUCAAUCUCCUUUGAAAAAUAAGCUUUUAUUGAUAUCUUAACUUGAAUCAAUUACAAAUCCUUGAAUUAAAUUAUGUUAUGAUUCCUUCUAUUCGAAUUACUGUAUAAAGAUUUACAUCUCGAUUCGAAUUUCUCUAUUUAUCACAUAAUACAACUUUACAACGCAACAUGUAUUACACCUCGUAAACUAUUAUCUCGUACGACUCCUAGAACAUAAACAUGGUUUAAGAGUAUAUAUUUAAACACAUAAACCAAUCUCCUUUAAUUACUAUUGAACUUUAUCAAUCAAGUAGCACGUAAUCUUUACCGUGAGUCCUUAACCUGCAAAAAGUGAGCUCGACAGCCCAGUAAUUCUAACAGUUUUCAUGCAGCACAUAGCAUAUAAUAACAUGUCCAGUUUAUGCAUUCAUAAUCAAUUAAUAUUUACUACGCAUGUUACUUCACACAUAACAGGCAUAGGGAUUUACUUCACAAGCAUAUUAUCAAAUCAACUUCCAUAUUUUAUAUAUAUCUCAUAUGCAUUUCAUAUAUACAUCAACAUUCUCAUAGCAUAAUAUAGCUCAACUAACAGUUAUAGAAUUCAUAUAUCAAAUAGGAACUGAAAGACUUGCCUGAUUCGUAGUUUAUCAAUUACGACUUAACUGCUUAAAGCUUAUCUGCACUUCGUGUAUUCCUACACAAUUAUAUAAUCAUGGAUUCAUAUCCAUAAGUAACAUAUUUCAUGCAUUCUCAAUGUAAUAAUAAUGUUACAUUGUUUCCUAACUAGGUUUGUAAUAACCCGAGAUUUCCUAAAUAAAAUAAAUAAGAAAUUUGUGUAUAAAUUUUUUUUUAUUUAAUGACGAGAAUAAGUGUCUAGUAAUGUGAACGAUAAAUAUGAAUAUAUUUAUUACUUAAAAAAUUAGAAAUAAUUUUGGAAUAAUUAAUUACUACAAAUUAUAUUUUUAUGGUAAUUAAUUUCUGUAAGCAGAAAUGUUUUUAUUAAUUAUUUUCCAUGAUAACAUGAUUGGAAAUAAUAUAUGAAGUGAUAAUUAGAAUUAUAUAAUAAAUAUUUUAUUAUAUGAAUUGUUCAGAAUAUUUAAAUCAAGUAUUUUAACUUGAUAUGCGAAAGAGAAGUCAGAUAUGAGAUCCAAACCCUGAAUUGGGAUUGUGAUCAAGAGAUGAGAAUAAUAAUAUUAUAUUAUUGUUAUAAUGAUUUUACAGUACAAUAAUUAUGUACUGUGUAUGUGCGGACAGAUAAUAUUGAGCAAUGACGGUCAAUUAGGUCAUAGCAUAUUACCGUGCUGUGAAACCCUAAUUAUUAAACUCAGUUAUGGGAUAUUUCUGAGUAGUGACUGUGUAUAUGAAGUUACUGUGAAUAAGAAUAUCGGUAAUUAGAAGAAACCCUAAUUACUGUUGUACGUCGAUAAUUAGGACAAACCCUAAUUAUUAUAACCCUAACCGGUUGAAAUUAGAAACCGUAACGACUGUGUUAGUAACAUACACAGAUAAUUAAAGAACCACUAAUGGUCAAUUAGAAACCCUAAUUGAUGACGUUGAGAAACCCUAAUUUUAAUUACCGGGUUUAAUUUCGAUGUUAUUGUAUAAGUGUUUUAAUUUACCAAAGGAUAGAAGUUAAUUGGUAAAUUAUAAGAAUUAAAUCUAGUGAUUAAAUAUUACAUUUAAUUGCCUUGUACAAGAUUGCCCAUACACUCUUAAACAAAGCCCAACCAUCACCCAUAACAAAUCAGAAGCAAGAAUCAAGAAUUUUUGGCAAAAAGGGUAUAAGAACACUAAACCUAGAAAUCCUUUGAUUCGAUGUUAUUUGAUGCAAUUGAUUGUUUAAAGUUGUGUAAUAGAAUGUUAAUUGAUGAUAUGGGUUGAUAAAUCAAAGACCCAUAACAUCAAAGUGCACGAAUUUGAAGAUUUAAGCAAGUUGGAAAAACCGAAUUCUUUUUUUUUUUCACCAAAUGUCAGAGGCCAUAACUCUUUGCUCGAUCAUGAGUUUUGUUCUUCAAAAGUUGUUAUGUGUAGCCUGAUAUGUGGUCUUUAAUCUGCAAAAAGAAUCAAGUCCAUAUCAUGUAUAGAUUAGAAGUUAUAGAUGGUCAAACAUGGUUGACCGAUCAUGAUAAACUGUUUUUGGGCAGUCUGUAAUGGGGGCAUUCUCGUCCACUUUUUGUGCUUUAAAAGGUCUGGGCUUUUGAUAUGUUGUAGUGCACUGAGUUAGGAAGCCAUAGGCUUUGGAAUGACCUCAUUCCGACCUCGGAUGAGGGAAUUACGGUGAUUGGAAGGAAAUGUGUCAAAUUUCUCAAAACUGAAAGUCAGCAGCGGGAUGUGCUAUUCGGGACACUGUUUCGAUCAGUUAAUGUUUCCAAAACCUUCUGGGCUUUUGGUAUGUUAUAGUACACCGAAUAAGCUUUCCAUAGACUCCGAAACGGACUAAAUCCGAUAUCGGAGGAGAGAGUUAUGACAUUUCAAAGUAGUAGUGUCAAAACUUCCCAACAAGUGCGGUGCAGUCCAUUUGAACGGAAUUUCUGGGCUGAUGUGUUCGGAAUUUGGAAAUGGUCAAAGAAUAAAAGUUGUAGCCCCAGAAGUUAGCUUCGCGUGGGCUCAAGAAUCGCUCAAAAAUGUUUUAAAAUGAAAGAGUUAUGACUGUUUUAGCGAAAGAGGGUAAAGCUGAAACGAGAUUGAAAACUGUUAUGAACGUCCACUUUUGACGCACUGUUUGGGCUACCUAAUGAACCCGAAUUGGGUAAUUCGUAUUUUUUAAAAAUAGUCUUACAUACCAUGUAUAACAUAUCCAAAAAUCAGAUUAAUCGGAGUUAUGAGCAAUGCGUUAGAAAAUCGCAAAGUGAGCUAUUGAAAAAUUAGUAUAAACCAAGUCCCACAUCGACUAAAUUGAGAACUUCACCAUUUUCUAAACCUAUAAAUAGAAGGGCUUGGCCUUUGUUUCAUUCACCAACAAUAAGGCCUCCAAUUUUUGAGAAAGGCUUUGUUGUGGGAGAACUUUUUAUAAAGAUCUCCUUAGUUAAAUUUUGGCGUGGAAGUGCGUAUUCAGUCUGUGGAAUUCGUAUUUCCGGGUAUGUUUCUUAUUUAAUUUUUGUAAUGUUAUUAUUUUUAAUUGUUAGUUAAAGUUUGAAUUUUUGAAGUUUAGUUAGUGUUGUUAAUAAACUAGUUAGUUUACUAUGUUUAUUUUGGCUUGGAAUUGAUUAUGUAAAUGAGUUAUUUGUGAUGACUUUUAAUAUUUUGUGAUGAAUUUCAUUAAUUAAUAAUUAUUAAUGAUAUUAAAGUUAUUUAAUGAUUAUAUUAAAUAAUUUAGUUUAAAAAUGAUUUUAAUAUUAUAAAAAUCAUUUUAAAUGAAAAUAAGGUAUUUAAAAAUAUUUUAAGUUAUAAAAUAUAACUUUUAAUAUUUAAAUGAUAAUUUCAUUAAUAAUUAAAUAUUAAUGAUAUUAAGAUAAUAUUAAUGAUAUUUAGUUUAUUUAAUGAUUAAUAUUAAAUAAAUAGUUUAAAAAUGGUUUUACUUAUUUAAAAACCAUUUAAAGAGGAUAUUAAGGAUUUAAAAAUAUUUUAAGUUAUAAUUAAUGACUUUUAAUAUUUGGAUAAAUAGUACAUUAAUAUUUAAAUAUUAAUGGUAAUUAUUUGGGUAAUAUAAAUGUUUUAAAAAUAGUUUGAGUUAUUAUAAAUAACUUUUAUAUUUUGGCAAUGGUUUCAUUAAUAGUUUAGUAUUAAUUAAACUAUUAAUGAUAAUGGAAUUGUUUAAUGUUUAAAUCAUUUAAUUAUGAUUCCGAUAUUUGAAAGUUAUAGCCGGCCAAACUAGCUGACUUGAGAACCGAUUAUGAAGUUCUGAAUUUGAAGAAGAACACCUAUAGUAACAGUUAUAUCACUAUAGGCCCUUUAGUGACAGAUUUGAAUUAUUUUAAAUUUUUCAAUUUCUGGAAAUUGCGAAAAUGAUUAAAAAUAAGAUGUCUGAUAUUUACAGAUGUUGAGGUAUAGAAUAAGAGUCUUAGACUCAGUAUUUACCCGAUAAAGCUGUCGGUACGCCGACAAAUGUCAGACCUUAUAAAAGAAAGAAAAGACUACUGUAAGAGCAUGGAUGAGAUAUUUGAAAAAUGUAUAAAAAUAUUUCAAGUAUAGAAUAGGAACUAAAAGUAUGAUCACUGUGAUUAUGUGAUUAGACUAUGUGCUGACUGUAAUAGACAGUACUAUGUGUUAAGAUAUAUUGUUCUAAUCGAACGAAUGAUCUGAUUAUUGAUAGGUUGUGAUAAAGAGAUAAAACCUAAGUUGAGAUUUGUAAUCAGCGAAUCAGGCAAGUAUCCUACCUUUGCAUUUUCUUUAUGCAAUGGACAUGAGUAAGAAGUUUCAGAAUUAUUCUAUUCCUGUACAGAUUAUGUACGCUUUGAUUAUCAACAUGUUAGCUCAGAUAUAUAUUCUGUUAAGUUGAUUUCUAAAUGGUUAUACAAGUGUCCCCACUUGGAUAAUCAUGGCAUUUAUUCACAUGUUGAUAUACCUUUGUCAAUUACCCGUAUACAUAUAUGUUGAAUUACAUAUUAUUGUUGAGCAAGAUUAAAAACCUUCGGGUUUGGAACCAGGCAUGUAUGAACAUCCCGAUAAUGGGAAAAUUUUUAUGCGCUUCGGCGGACAAAGGGUGAGCGAUGAAUUUCGUUCAAGUUAUGUAGUAUUGAUCAAUACAGGGUACAACGGGGCUGAUCACCCUCCGUGCCCGUAAGUUAUGACGGUUUGCGGAUGAAUUUCUGCUAAACCUUUUCGAAAAUGAAAAACAAUGUUCAUAGUAUGUUUCUUAAACCCUAUUCAUGGGUGGAGCCUAAUUUCAAGAAUUUGAAAGAGAGUUGUUAUGUGAAUUUUUUAUCAGUACAGAUUACUUCACAACUUUCGAUUCGUUGUAGAAGUGUUAUGUAAAGAGAAUACUUAUAUUCUUUCAGCUUAUAUAUAUAAUUGCUAUUACUUGCUGGGCACUCAAAUGCUCAUCCUUGCUUAAACUAAAUGUUUUCAGUUAUGUACGAUCGACCUGAAGGCUCAGGCACGAACAAGGGAAAAGAAAAGCUGUUCGAAUGAGAUUUAGUAUGAGUUAAUGGUUAUAGUUAGUAAGACAAUGGAAUCUAUUGUCAGGUAUUGUAAGGAAUGUAUUUGAAGGUCACGUACCUGGGAAAGUAAACUUUGAUGUAUGUAAAUUAAGUUCGAAUUAUAUUAUUAUUAUUUAGUAUUAUUCAGCUUAAAGAAAUGGUAUCGUGGAGAACCGAGUUCGGGUUUCAAGUAUCCGGAUUUGGGGUCGCCACAAGGUUCGUAGAACCUACAUUCUGCUUUCUCAUCAUAUUCUUGGAAUAGCUAGGUACGUAUAGGUAUACCUUAACCACUCGUAUAUGACAUCAACAUUCAUAUAUAUUUAUCACGCACUUGACUCGCUAUAUAUUCGACACAUUUAAAACUCAUUUAGGUAAGUUCAACCAUACACACAAACGUCUAACUUAGUUGUAACUUUAUACAACAUCACCUAACAUGAGUAUUCCUUUGGACUUAUCAUUGCUUUAUCUCAUGUAAAUAUUCCUUUGGACUUAACAUUCGAAAGUCAUGAUUAACAUUUAUCUUUAUCACAUAACAUGCUUCUUAACACAUUACAUACCAUAUUGAUCAUAUAUAGUAAUUAUACAAGCAUGCUUCAAACAUCAGAUCAAAACCAGAACCUAUUCUAGACUACAGAAUGGCGCAGCUGCGCGCCAUGUCUAGGCUUAGGGAUGGCGCAGCUGCGCUGUCCCCUGGCCAGACCAAGGUUGAGCUUUGCACUUCCUGUUUCUUUCCAAACUUUAACACACUUAGACUCUUAUACUUUUCAUGCGUACACACUAGAGGUCUUUACAUACUUGUAUGACCACUCCAAGAUCAACCUUAUAUGUUAGGGACUUUAGUUUAGGAUUUUCACAAAAUCAAAGCCAAAUAGGGUCAUGUAAUCACUAGAUGUACUAAUUAGCCUUAUGUUCUCAUAAAGGGGACACAUAAUCUGUACUACACAUGCUCAUUCAUAUUCAUAUCUUUUACUCAUAGCUAGAAUUGUUUAACACUUUAAAACAUGCUUUAACGUUAUGCUUGGUUUACUUCCAUUAUGUUUAACAUAUAAGACUUAUGUUUAGAGACAUAAUGAAACAUAAAAUGGCAUCUCAAGCCUUUAAAAUCUAAAUACUCAUAUGUAAUGCAACUUAAGUUCAAAACAUGGUUGCCUUUGAAAUCAUUUUUCAUGAAUGAUGUGAUAUAGCACAUAUAAAUCAUAUCUAGGGAUUUUAUAGACAUAACAUGUCAUAUUAAUCCUUUAGAAUCUAGAUAUCCAUGUGAUGCAACUAGAUUUUGAAAAUAUGUUCAAGUUUGCUUUUGAAACCACUUUAAACUUGAACAAUACCAUUAAACACAUACAAGGCAACUUUAAGGCUCUAUUCAUAUGUAGUCAAGUCAUGUUAACAUGCUCGCAAGAUCAGAAUGUAUAGCAAGUAGUAUUUAUGCACCUUAGUUCUUUUAUACCAAGUUUUCUUAAAAACUUCUUUUACACAAGGUCUAACGAGUUUGAUUAUGAAAAAAUGAACUAUGUACACUAAGCAUGCUCAUUUAUGUGUAAAAUCAGUCAUGUGUAUAGACCACUAAGCUCAAAAUUUACAGAACAUGAACUUUAACAAAGUUUAUUUUUGAAACUUAAAGUCCUUGUUAAAGAUCUUCUACCAAAUCAUGCUAAUCUUAGUAAAACAUGCUCACAUUAGGUUAUUAUACUUAUAUAUACAUGUUACACAUGCUUACAUGUUGGCUUAAGCCAUAAUAACUGAUCAUACUUAGCAGAUUUUUAAAACAGAAUGCUCAACUGAACUCAGAGGAUGGCGUAGCUGCUCUGUACCCUAGUUCAAUUAGGGCGCAGCUGCGCCAUAUCUGGUUCAGCAGCAGAAGUAGACUCUGUUUUACAGAGUCUUAGCUAACUUGAUUUUUAACGAUUUUAAACUUGUUCCAACUAUCAUAAAAGAGUUCAUACAUGUAAGUGAACUUCUUAAACACAUUAUAACAUGUUAAUUCAUAUCAAUUGACAUAUGAAUUCAAGAAAUUUCAAGAAUUAAACAAGACCCAAUUUAAGAACACAAUUAGAAUUUAUACCUUCUUGAGCUUGAAUUGAACUUCCUACACUCUGAGUAUGCUUCUAAAGUAGCUCAGCAACUUAUACUCUACACUUAGAAUUACCAGACAAGUUUUAAGCAACACAAAAACUAAAAAUCAAGCUUUUAUUUAUAAAGGAAAUAUGGACUGGACAUUUCCUUUACACAAUGUUGGAGUCCAUGGUGUAAUGGAAGGUUACAUAGGUUAUUAAGGAGUAGUUUAACAACUCCAUACCAGCCACAUUUCUAGCAAAUGAUCACCUAUGAUUUAGCCACUUGGAGAAUACGUAACUUAGUUUUAGCCCAUUGUUCAUUUACUUUGUGACACUCAAUUUGGGACAAGAGAGAAAAAUCUCAGAAAUCUUGUUAUCUAGGCUUGGUUUGGUUUAUUUAAUUCCUAUAAUAUAAUCUUAAUGUACAAUUGUUACCAUAUUAGGAAUUUAGGGAUUAAUUAUAUACUCACAUUAUAUAGUCCAUGUACAUUAAAUACAUAUAAUAAAGUAACGCAAUUAGGUAUUAUUGUCCGGGUAGUCCCAUAAUUAUCUCUACCACUCACAUAAUCACAUUAUAACUUUAUUUAAUAUUAAUGUUUAUUUAAAACAUUGAAUUCCUUUCUCAGAUUCUAGAAUACCAAGAUAAUUAAUCAUUUAUGCAUUACAACUUCAUAUGAUACCAUGGUGCUACUAGGUACCUCAUUUCAUUAAAAUAUACUCCUAUCAUAUGAUUUUUAUUAAUGUCACACAUACAACAUUAAUGUUCCAUUUCAUUUCCACAGUAGAAAUUAACUAACUUCAACUGAUCACCGGCGCAGCUGUGCCAAUUUGUACUGAUGUGUGCCGUACCUUGACAGUGCCAGUGUCAACCUCCAUUGCUAAACUCGUUUUACACGACAUGAAUUAAUGUCCACAUGAGUGAUAUUACCUAUCUAUAAAAGUGUAUUCAUUAAUUACAUGAAAUCACAUGAUCAAACACGAUUAAUCUUCCUAAUUCCCUUUUUAACUCACUUAAUGAAUUUCCUCAUUUCACAUUAUGCUACACAAGACAUUUCAUAAUUCUCAUUGUCAAUUCCACACUUCUCAAUACGUAUUAAUCUAGUGCAACUCGAUUGAAUUAAUCGACUUACAAAACAUUAACACUUAUAUUCACAUAAAUAUUAUUUUCAUUAAUAUAUUUCUUUAAUAACACGUGGAAAUUCUCGGGUAUUACAUCCCCCUUAAGUGUUAACCCGUCUAACAUCAAUCCCCUCUUUGGUUUCACACCACCGGUUACUAUUUUUCCUUAACAAUUUAAGGAUCACACUUCGAGUUCUAAAACUCUAUUUCUCUCAACUAUAAAAUCUCAUUUAUAGUAUUUUUUUCCACCAAUAACACAAAACCUGAACAUAACACAUACAUACAUUCCUUUAAUCUUCACUUCUCGCCGUGUAUCAAUUUACUCAAUAAUUCUCUAACCACUUUAAAGGUAUAUCGAUGUUCUUCCCUAGUCAACAACGUGCAUAUAUACAAGUCCAAACCUAACACACAUCGAGUCUUUAAUAGUAUUCAAUAUAGUACACUGAGUGGUUUCCCACAAAUAACCAACAAAUUAGUUUUCGUCUCGUCUACACUAUUUUCACAGUGAGUUAGAUCGGUUACUAAUUCGUAUAUACAUCCGCUCUCUGAUGGAAUUAUUUAGCCUAGCUCCUAUACAUCCACAAUUAAAGAGUACGAUUGCACUACCUUAGACUUGAUAUUCACUCGUACAAAUACUCAAGAAAUUGGUGAUUAUCAAAGAUAUUUUAAUGUCACCAACUUACUAUUAUAAAAUAAUUUCACAUAAAUUAUUUAAUAUCAAUAGAUAAAUUUUUAUCCAUCUUCUUACUAAUUCAUCUCUAUAAUUUAUAACAAAUAUAUAAUAACGAUAUAUAUUUAUUAAACACAACCACACUUAUUACAUAGCGCAUAAUUCCCUAUGUAACACAUUUAUUUGAACCCUUCACAUGCCUUAAGAAUUUUAUCUACUAAAUUCUUAUUUUAAUAUUUUCUAAAAAUUCGGGUUCUUACAAAACUGCUAAUUGAUGGAAACUAGUAAUUGAUCAGUACCCACAAUCUAGCAUGAAUUAAUUACCCACUGCAUAAACAAUAUCAAAAACAUCAAACCAAAUCCUAAACUUAUAAUAACAACACAAUGAUAAAAAAUUACCCACAACAUCAAAAAUUACCUAAAAUUAUAUUGAACAAUUACCCACAACAUCAAUAAUCUAACAUGGAAUCAAUAGUAAAACCUAACCUUAAUUACUUUGGAGAACACCGGCAGGAGGAGCUGAGGACGCCGACAGCAGGAAAACGACAGGACGGCGGCGGCAGGUAGGAGGGCGCCGUUGGGAGGAAGACGUCGACCUGAAGAGGAGAACGAUGGAGGAAGAGUGAGGAGAGAGAAUGCAACAGAGAGAGAGGUUGGUUGGUUGAUUCGGAGAGAGAGAAAUGAAAUUUGCUAACAAAUGUUUGUGGCGACACAGACUGAAAAUGAUAGGGUUUUAACCUUUAUUUUGGACGGAAUUCAGUUGACAUUAAUUCCCUCAGAAAUAGUUAUUAUCGACGGAAAUUCCGUCAGACAUAAUCGGCAUUCCGUCGAGAUUGUGUUUGGCGCUGGCGCGAAAUCUGGCGCCAAUAGAAGGCUGUUAUCUCCCACAGAAUUCCGUCGAGAAAAUGUUAGUUACGACAGAAUUAAUUGCGACUGAAUAUUCGAUCGGAAAUAACAUAAAGUCGACGGAAUGUACUGCGUCGAAAAUAAUUCUGUCGAGGUUAUAAGCUUUUCUUGUAGUGUAUAAAUAACAGAAGUCUAUUAUUAAGAUAUUUAGAAGUACGUGUCUUUUUCGAGAUUAUUAUGUGAUUCAUUUUAUUUGAAUUCAUAUCCCACCAAAGUGGAGUUGUUAAAAACAAAAAACUAUAUAUACAUAUACAUACAUAUAUAUAUAUAUGGUCCGGAUCUUAACCUCACCCCUUAUCUAACAUACCUUAUUCACUCCCCUUUAGCGACAGACCGGGCGACAAUUCGGUCCGUCGCUAUAUAUAGAACUGUCGUCUUAGCUUUUAGCGACGGACAACAUAUAGAGACGGACCGAACAUAUAGCGAUGGACCGAAUCGUCGCUCGGUCCGUCGCUAAAAGAGGGUGAGCAAGGUAUGUUAGAUAAGAGGUGAGCUUAAGAUCCACUAACGGCCAUGCUAAUGACUAUUAAUAUUCCCUCAUUUUUAUUUAGGUUUUCAAACUAGUCGCAUGCCUUACUAGUUAUGAGAAUACAAAGAAAUAAAAAGGAUAUGGGUAUGGCCGCAGGUAGGAUUUUCAACCAGAAUACAAUACAACACUUGACCACAAGACUAGUUAUUAUGUCUCUAUAAUUGUUGACCACAGUACAUCACUUGACCAAAAUACAAUACUUGACCACAAGACCAAUUUGAAGUUUUCAAAGCACAUACAUAAUUCUUUGUAUUUAUUUAAUUAAUGGGGAAAAAAUACUUGUAAGCUAUAAAAAUAAUAGUGUUAGAUAAUAAUAAUUCAUACUUCUUCUUCAUUUAAAAAAAUUAAUUUAUUCUUAAUUUUAAUUAUUAUAAUUAUAUUUAUAAAUAUCUACAAAAUACUGCUAGCUGUAACAUAUCUUAUUAUUAUUAUUAUUUCUGUCAAAAUAACUUUAAUGCCGACGAAAAACGCCGUCGCUAAUGGGUGUCGUCGAUAAUAACACUUUCCCAGGAAAAAAAAGGUGCGAAAAUUUGGCGGUGGAGGGAAAACUCAUUGGCGAUGACUAUGGAUGUCAAUAGCGACGGCAUCGCCGUCGUGAAUGACUCAUUGGCGACAGUACGAGAACGACGACACACGCAGUCGAGAAUGAGGUAUUAUUUUUAAUACGCCAGAUUCAAUUUCUUUUUCCUCUCCAUUUUCUUUCCCUCUCGUUCUGUUCCUUCCCUCUGUUUCUCUCGCCACCACUGUGUCGUCGGUCCUUGUCGUCGCUUCUCGCCGUCGUUCGUCUCCGUCGGUCCCCGCCGUUGGUCCUCCACCGUCUGGCCUCCCCCUUUCUUCCUCCCCUUUCUUUGGCCUGAUACAUUGUUAUAAUCUCCCCCAAUUUUUGUUCUCUCUCAGCUUUGGUUCUACAUUUGUUAUUGUUGGCUUCCAUUAGUAAGUUACACUUUUUUUCUUCUUAAGGUUUCAUUUGUAUAUAAGUUCCAAUUUAGUUAUGUUAGGGUUUAAUUUGGGGUUUUUUUUUCUUCUAAUACUUGUAUGUCUUGUUUUGGGCAGUAAGCAACGAGCAUUGACCUUCUCUGCAUCUCUCUCUUUUUUGUAAGUUUUUCUUUCAUCUCCUCUCUUUUUUUUGGAGUAUUAUGCAUGUCAGUUCAUGUAUAUAUGUUUAUUUGAAAUAUUUUCAUGUAAUAUGUUUGUCAGUUCAUAUUACACUUAACUAUAGCAAACUAGAUGCUAUUAAAUAAAUCAAAGAUUAAACAAGUGGAAAAAUAAUAUCAGUAAAGUGAUUCUACCUUGCAUCAUACAUGGACUAGCACCUAUUGACAGAUUUACUUUGCAGUAACAUAUAUGACCUUACACUUACUAUUUGAUGAUACCUUCAUUAGUUCAUUAUAUGCUCUAGUUGAUAAAAAUCAAUGCAUGAUUUGACAUCCAAUAGAAGCUAACGUAUUCCUUUGUAUUAUCUAGCAUUUUAAGGUCACAUUCAGCACAAGUAAGCAGUUGGGUCAUAAGUACGAGAAGUAAUCAUCACAAAUGAUGCUUACUCUUUAAACAUCAUUUUGCAAGAAACCUAAAAUCCAUAAUGGACACUUCUAGUGAUUAACCGAAUAUGUACCUCUUUUUUUUCCAUUAUUUUAGGGAGUAUGGGAUUGAUACGAGCCACCUUGUUUUCUUUUUCUAUUUAUGUUGUGACCGUCCUAAUCAACAUUCUGGGUGAUAAAACUUAGAAUUGAGCUUCAAAUAAUAUAUAUAUAUAUAUAUAUAUAUAUAUAUAUUUGGAGCUAUAAAUAGAGCCUCUCUCAUUACCUAGCAAAAAGUUUAGUUCAUUUUCUCUUCUUAAGUUCCAAAAAUCUAUAUAGCAAUAUACUUUGAGAGAGAAAAGGGAGGGGGCUGCCGAAACAUUAAGGAAGAGUAGGAGAGGAGAUUUGGUUCAUGCCUUCAAGCUUUAUAACUUACAUUGGAAGAAGAAGAGGUGACACUAAAUCAAGGUUCAAAAGUUUACUUAUCUCAAAACCCUAGUUAGAUUUAUGUGAUUAUCUAUGGUUGUUUUAAAUCAAAUGAUGAGUUUAUAUUUCUGAGUCAUAUGAUGGUAGAUCUAUAUGUUAUAUGAUGUUUUAUGGUCAGACAUGGUCAUUUUAUAUGUUGAUGAGCUUUUAUGUCAAAGGAAAUCAGUCCACUUUGAAAAGUAUAACAUGUGUACUUUUGGUUGAGAUACAUCUAUGUUAUUGAGAUACAUCUAUUUGAAACGAAUAUAAUGCUUUCUCAAUAUAAAUUACCAUGUCUUUGUUUCAAUUUUUUUGCUUAAUUAAAAUGGUAGCAUUGCAUUAUUCUAAAUAUGUUCUAGAGGAUUCUUUAAUAUGUAGUCUUUGAUUUUGUAUACUCAUGAGAAUCGAUUAAUUAAUUUCUUUUAUUGUGGUUUAUAAUCCAUUCUCAAGAUAGUAUUCCUUUUGUUCUAGGAAAGAGUUCAAUUUCAUAUGUGCAUAUUUUCAUAUAGUUUAGGAAGCUUAGAAACCCGUUUGAGAUUCACUUAAUAGGAGUGAAUCUCAAAUAGUCCCCGUUUUGGGACUGUUCUUGUAUGUUUCGAUCUCACUUAGGUCGGUGUUAACGACUUGAGCACGUCUUUAUAUUUUUUGAAUUUUCGGUCAGUAUAUAUCUCUUGAUGUUCUUCGGGUGCAUAUUUAGACUACGAUGUGUUAGUCUAUUUCGUGUACUUGAAGACCAUGGGGGAGGUGCUGCCGAAAUUUUUGAAAAAUUUAAAGAUGUGUUCAAGUUAUUGGCAUCAGUGAGGCGACACAUCUAGGAAUGGGAUAGAAGCCUGACCCGUUAGAGUGGGAGAUGAAGUUAGGAAACUCAUAAGCUUGCAUAUACAUUAACUUGGAGACUUGAUUGUGUUUGUCUAACUUUCCAUAUAUAUAGCAGAUAGUUGUCCGAGAUGUUUGUUGAUCGAAGUUGGAUGGAACAUAGGGUAGCCACUGAUAGGAGUGGGCUUAGCUCUGAGUAUCGUAGUGGGGUUGAACAGUUUCUCAACUUCGCGUUUGAGCAAGUCAGCGGCGAUGAGAUCAGAUGUCCUUGUAAGAGGUAUGUGAAUGAAGUGUGAAGGAAAGGAGUGAUGUCAUGUGUGACUUAUUUGCGUAUGGGUUCAAGCAGGGUUAUACGACAUGGAUCUAUCAUGGGGAAACCUGGUUGGAUGAACAUAAAUCAGAAUCGGAAUCCAGAGGUGACAAAACCUUUGACUGUACUAACAUGAUAGUCUAAGCUGCUUGUUCAUAUACUUCCAGUGGAAUACAGAUAGGGAUGGCAGUAGCUUAGAGCAAGAGCCGAAUGAUGGGGCUAAGGGUUUCUAUGAUUUAUUGCAUGAAGCAGCGACGCCACUAUAUGACGGGCACGAAAAGCACACUGUCUUAUCUGUUGUGACUAAGUUUUUACACUUCAAGAACGAGCAUGACCGUAGCGGGAGAGGUUUUAAUGAACUGUUAAGCAUUGUGAAGGAGUGCUUACCUGCAGGCAAUAAGUUACCGAAGUCGUACUAUGAUAUGAAGAAAAUGGUCAAAAGGCUCAAUCUAGGGUAUGAGAAGAUUGAUGCUUGUGAGAAUUACUGUAUGUUGUAUUAUGGUGAUGUCAAUAAAGAUAAGAGGUCAUGUGAUAUUUGUGGUACAAGUAGAUACUGUGAACAGCGCAAGAAAAAGGGAAAACACGUGCUAAGAAAGAUCUUACGUUACUUUCCCAUUGCCCCGAGGCUUCAGCGGUUGUUCAUGUAAACACAUACCGCUGAGGAUAUGAGGUGGCACUCUACACGGGACAUAGUCGAAGGUCAACUGACGCACCCGAAAAAUGGGUUUGAGUGGAAAAUUUUUUAUAACAAGCACCCCUCGUUUGCUGAAGAGGUUCGUAAUGUUAGGCUUGGACUUGCUACGGAUGGGUUUAAUCCGUUUAACGGGCCUUACACAAAGUCCUACUCAACUUGGCCGGUGAUUAUUGUGGUGUAUAACCUCCCGCCUUCGAUGUGCAUGAAAGAUCCCUACAUGUUCCCGCCUUUACUGAUUCCGGGUGAUAAGAGUCUGAGUAAAGACAUCAAUGUAUACCUCAGGCCGUUAGUUGCUGAGUUGAAGAUGUUAUGGGAAAAAGGGGUUCAAACUUAUGAUGUAUCUCUUAAGAAGAACUUUGACAUGAGGGCAGCUUUAUUAUGGACAAUAAAUGACUUCCUGGCGUUAGGAAUGAUCAGUGGAUGGUCGACUCACGGGGGCUUGUCAUGUCCCUUGUGCAUGGGGUCAGUUAAAGCUAUGCGGCUCAAACAUGGGGGGAAAAUGAGUUUCUUUGCAACAUCCAGACAGUUUUUGUCGACUGAACAUCGUUAUCGACGGAUGAGUAGACAAUUCAAUCAAAAAAUAGAGAAACGUCAAGUACCUAGCCAUCUUUUUGGGUCAGCAGUGUUGAGUUAGAUUAGUCAUUUGAAGUUUCCACAUCCAGGGAAGAAUCAUAGAUUAGAGCGAGCUUAUGGUUAUGGAAAGGUUCACAACUGGACACACAGAUCCAUGUUCUUUGACCUGCCUUAUUGGGCUACACUCUACAUCCGUCAUUGUUUAGAUCCGAUGCAUACUGAGAAGAACGUAUUUGAUAACAUUUUUUAUACAGUCCUAGAUGCCAGUGGUAGAACAAAGGACAACAACAAGUCGAGACUUGAUUUGGUAGAAAUGAACAUUAGGGAAGAUCUGUGGCUGUAUCAAGAGGGUAGUAAGACGGUAAUGCCUAAAGUUGAAUAUACUUUGACCAGGGAACAGUUGAUAUUGAUAUAUAAUUGGAUCAGUGGACUGAAGCUCCCAGAUAGAUAUUCUUCGAAUGUAGCAAGGUGUUGUAAAGUUGAAGAGCUGAAGUUUUGGGGUCUCAAAAGUCAUGAUUGUCACGUAUUCAUGCAGAAGUUGAUCCCUGUGGCAUUUAUCGACUUGUUACUGAAACAUGUGGUUGAAGCACUGACAGAGCUUUCUAAUUUCUUCAGAGAUCUAUGCUUGGCGAAGCUCCAGCUCAAAGACAUAGAUAAAAUGGAGAGGCAGAUAGUGGAAAUAAUGUGCAAGUUAAAAAUGAUCUUCCCUCCAUCGUUUUUUGAUUCAAUAGAGCAUUUGCCUAUUCACUUGCCAUACGAAGCAAAGUUUGGCGGUCCCGUGCAAUAUAGAUGGAUGUAUCCAUUCGAGAGGUAAUGACAUUAAUGUUUUUAAUACGGUAAACUUAGAAUUCUUGUUUGCUAAUCUAUAUAUCACAUAGGUAUAUGCGACGUCUAAAGCAAAAGGUGAAGAAUAGAGCCCGUGUAGAGGGGUCAAUUGCUGAAAGUUAUGUUAUGGAGGAACUUGUUAAUUUCUGCUCGUUGUACUUUUAGCCGAAUGUUCAAACGAAGCACAAUCGUUUAUGUCAGAAUGAGGCUGUUGCGCACGAGGAAAAUGGAGAAUUAAUGGCCUUUAGUCAUCUUGUACACCCAUUCGGCAAUAAAAAAAGGCGAUUCUUGACCGAUAAUGAGUACGCAGCUGCCACAUUGUAUGCACUUGUCAACAUGAAUGAAGUAGCUCCAUACAUUAAGUAAGUAGUCAUAACUAUAUAUGUCUGGUGUAACUGGGAAAGGUUCUUUUACAAACACAUUAAGUAUAUAACUGUGUUACAGUCAAUAUGAUGCUGAAGUACGUGAAGCGAAUCCGAGUAUAUCGGAUGGGGAUUUACAAAAUUUGAGAAAUGGACAAUUUGUGCAAUGGUUUAAAGAUCAUGUAAGUCUAACCUUUACAAGUUCAAUGAAUCUACCAUUAUAGAUUUAUUCUUAUGGCGUAAUUAACUUUAGAAUAUGUUGUGUUAAUGUACAUUAGGUCCUCACAGAUGAGUUAGCUGACAAUCGGCUAAAGCUUAUAGCCGACGGCCCUAAAAGAGCUGUAGAUACUUAUACAUGUUGCAUUGUCAAUGGUUACAAAUUUAAGUGUUGUGAUAUUGGGGAAGUCGCUUCUGCUGAUUCUGGUGUUGUGGUGAAAGGUAGCUGCUACAAUAACAUUUGGGAUGACUGGUAUAGACGAUUGCUAGAAGUUAUCGUUCUCAAAUAUUGGGGUCAUAAAAAAUUAGUUUGCUUCAAUUACCAUUGGUUUGAUGUUGAGAAUGGAGUUAAAGUAGAUAAAAAAUCAGGACGGGUGACUUUUAACGUUAAGUCAAAACUAAGACUGAUGACUGGUAUGGACGAGCCUUUUAUUUUAGCAAGUCAAGCAACACAGGUGUACUAUGCGCGGAGUGUUAAGACUCCUGCAAGCCCAUUGUAUACUGUUAUAACCACCAAAGCCCGUGGUUUUCAAGGCACAACUCCUCGUCCAGACGAUGAACCUUUACAAGUCGAGUCUACUAGUGUCACACCUGCUGAUGUGACAAUUAUUAGUGAGUCUAGUGAAGAAGAGGAUGAUGUUUUCGCUGUCGAAAGUGAAGACGAUGUUGUUGAGGAGGUAGAUAUAAUUGAACAAAUCGUUGAGGAUGAUGAAGAUGGUGAUGACAAUGGUAGUGAAGAUCUACUACUCGAAGAUGAUGAUUCUGAUAUUGAUGGCUUUGAUGAUAUAAAUGAUUAGGAGUAUGUACUCUUUAUGUCCUUUUAGUUGUAUUCACCUUUUAAUUUUGUCAAUUAGAUGAUUGAACUGUCGAAUAUUUUCUUGAUCUCCUUCUUCUUCUUCUAAACUGUGAAGAGGAGGAGUUCAUCAGAGAAUUACUUGAUCUCCCUUUUUUCUCACUAUUUUUAGUUUUGAUAUCUCAUCUCUAUCCCUCUUCAUCUUUUCACAAAGCUUUACCAAGUAAAUAUCUUCUUGUGCUCUUGUUUUUUUUUUGACUAAAAGAGUGAAAACUGAGGUUCUGAUGAAUUGAUUUGAUGGAGAAGAAGAGAGAGAAUCUGAAUAGUCUAAAAUUUUAUGAUGGGUGGGAACAGAGCAAACACAGUGACUUUGGGGCAUAAAUGAUCGUGACUUUGUUGCCAUUUUUUAUAUUUAAGCCUAUAAAAAACAAUAAAUAAAUAAAAAAAAUAAAAUGAAAGAACAAACAAAUGUGGUAUCUACAUGUUGUAUCCUUUUAGUUGUAUCUACAUGUUGUAUCAUUUUAGUUGUAUUCAAAUGUCAUAGUUGUUUCCUUUUAGUUAUAUCUGCAUAUUGUAUCCUUUUAGUUGUAUGUGCAUGACGAUUCUGAUAUUUGUGUUUAUAUCAUUUUAGUUGUAUCCGCAUAUUAUCUUCUUGAUGAUGAUUUGACAGUAUAUAUAUACAGAUAUGGCGCGUACACCACACGGCGAUCGUGGUGGGCGUGCUGGUAGUUUAGGCCGUGGGGGCCGUGGAGGUAAUGCUGGUGAUGAUCAGGCCGUAUCAUCAGGUAUAAUUACAUAUUUGUUGUUAUACAUCUUAUUGUUUUUUAAUUUUAUAUAAUAUUGACAUUAUAUUCGUUUAUAUAAAUAUUGUUAUAUUUCACUACAUAGGUGAUCGACGUAGGCCUCCGCGGGGAAUAGCACGUGGAUUGCUAGGGAAUCCCCCCCAGGCCCCGCUUAUAUGCCGUGUGGGGACUACUAGGUAAUAUAUACAUUAUGUUUGUAUUAAUUAUUUAGUUCUUAUAUAUUCUUUAUAAUUUGGAAAUUUAAUAAUUUCAAUUUUAGUAUCCUUGACGCGACGCCAAGGAACACGUUGCUUGGGAUUGUCUACAACCGAUUCUCCAGCCCGUGGAUGAGGUGGGCGGAUGUGGAUGACCGCACACGUGAGCUGAUUAUUGCUGAGUUUAGGGUAAGAAGUCAUUCAUUCAUAUGUUAGUUUUAAUUUGUGCUUUUGAAUAUUUAUUUACCGCUUUGCUUUAUGUUGUCUACUAAGUAAUUGUUGAUAUUCAUAUGUUGUACUGCAGAGAUAUUAUCGCUUCGAGGACGGGCAUGAAGCCCACGGUAGCACUGUUCUCGGGAAGUAUCUCGAGAUGAAUUGGAAUAAGUGGGUCUACGACUGGAAGAAGAAGGCCCAGACCAAGAUGGCUGAUGGACAGACACUUAGAGAUUUCCGACCAGAUUUCAUUGGUGUUGUGGUGUGGGAGAAGAUGUGCGAUAUCUGGGAGGGUGAGGCGUUCAAGAAGAUGUCGGCACAGCGUACAGCUUCCCGACAAUAGAGUCGUCUCCCACACUGCACUGGGAGUCAGUCGUACGACCUCUACAGGGAGAGACUCGAGGAGAGUCUAAAGCACCGACAUUCCCACCUUGAGUUUUGGUGGCACGCUCACUAGAAGAAAGGUGAUGGUGGUUAUAUCUCACCUGAGGCAGAGCGCAUUGCGGUAAGUAAUUUAAUUAUUUCAUUUAGUUUGUAUUUGAUGGCUUUGAAAUUCUUUUGUAUUUUUUUGUGUAAUACUUGCUUUUUACCUAUUUCUGUGUUUUUUUAGACACAAUUUGAGGACCUUUCUGUGGUCCGGAGCAGCUAGAGAGGUGACACUCCAGUGGCUGAUGCUGAGCGUGAAGAUGAGGAGAUGGAGGACUGGCUGCAGAGUACAGGGGGGCCAAAGAAGGGUAGAGUUGUGGGCAUUCCCCAUGUCCCAGCCUACACUAUAGUCCCUGUUGCGUGAUCUCGACGUCGCCCACGCACCGGAGGUAGUGGUGUGAGUGGAUCAGGCGCAGGCCCUUCAUUAUCUGACGACUUCUUCAGGCGGAUCAUAGAGGGGUGCAUGGUGAGCAGUGUCGUGCAGUCAGGCGCACCAUCACGCCAGCGGAUCUACCAGCUUGCUCAGGAGGUUGUCCACGGCUCCAUAGAUCCUGUAACUGCCGCUGACGACCUCAUGGUUGUAGUCCGGGAGGAGGCUAUCCGUGUAUGUGCAGUUUUCUUGGCCAACAUCUUUCCUCCACAUAUUUGACAAGUAAAACUUAUUAUUGAUGUAUUUCCUUAUUUUUAAUUAUAUUGCUUAUAUAAACUGUCAAAUAACUAGUUAACACACAAACACAGGAAAUAGCACCGCAUAGGCAAUAGACACGCGUUACAACUGACGGGACUCGAUUCCGAUAUACGGAGCCCGAGUUCGAGUCUCGUCCGCCUAACUUGAGAAAACUUAGAAAAAUAGUCAAAAAAGAGACCAAAACACACAUCGGUCGUCCAAAUGACACGCAAACAUAGGCAAUAGCACCGCAUAGGCAAUAGACACGCGUUACAACUGACGGGACUCGAUUUCGAUAUACGGAUCCUGAGUUCGAGUCCCGUCCGUCUAACUUGAGAAAACUUAGAAAAAUAGUCGAAAAAGAAACCAAAACACACCUCGAUCGUCUAGUUGACACGCCAACACAAGCAAUAGUACCGCAUAGGCAAUAAACACGCGUUACAACUGACGGGACUCGAUUCCGAUAUACGAAGCCCGAGUUCGAGUCUCGUCCGCCUAACUUGAGAAAACAUAGAAAAAUAGUCAAAAAAGAGACCAAAACAUGCCACGGUCGUCCAAAUGACACACAAACAUAGGCAAUAGCACCGCAUAGGUAAUAGACAUGCGUUACAACUUACGGGACUCGAUUCUGAUAUACGGAGCCCGAGUUCGAGUCUCGUCCGCCUAACUUGAGAAAACUUAGAAAAAUAGUCAAAAAAAAGACCAAAACCCGCCCCAUUUGUCUAGUUGACAUGCAAACACAAGAAAUAGCACCGCAUAGGUAAUAGACACGCGUUACAACUGACAAGACUCGAUUCCGAUAUACAGAGCCCGAGUUUGAGUCCCGUCCGCCUAACUUGAGAAAACUUAGAAAAAUAGUCGAAAAAGAGACCAAAACACACCCCGGUCGUCCAAACGACACACAAACACAUGCAAUAGCACUGCAUAGGCAAUAGACACGCGUUACAACUGAUGGGACUCGAUUCCGAUAUACGGAGCCCGAGUUCGAGUCCUGUCCGCCUAACUUGAGAAAACUUAGAAAAAUAGUCGAAAAAGAGACCAAAACACACAUCAGUCGUCCAAAUGACACGCAAACAUAGGCAAUAGACACGCGUUAUAACUGACGAGACUCGAUUCCGAUAUACGGAGCCCGAGUUCGAGUCCCGUCCGCCUAACUUUAGAAAACUUAGAAAAAUAGUCGAAAAAGAGAACAAAACACACCCCGGUCUUCUAGUUGACACACAAACACAGGCAAUAACACCGCAUAGGCAAUAAACACGCGUUACAACUGACGGGACUCUAUUCCAAUAUACGGAGCCCGAGUUCAAGUCCCGUCCGCCUAACUUGAGAAAUAUUAGAAAAAUAGUCAAAAAAGAGACCAAAACACACCUCGGUCGUCCAAAAAACACGCAAACACAAGCAAUAGCACCACAUAGGCAAUAGACAUGCGUUACAACUGACGGGACUCGAUUCCGAUAUACGGAGCCCAAGUUCGAGUCCCGUCCACCUAACUUGAAGAACACAAACUAAAAUAAUGUAAAUAUGUUUUCAUUUUAACUUUGUUAUUAAUAUUUUAAUUUUGUAGGGUCUUGUUGACGAGACUCGUGGAGGUGAAGGUGGAGGUGGAGGCACUGGUGAUUACCGCUGAGCUGAUAACGAGCAGCCUCCUCCAGUACAAGGCGAUGACCGUCGAGUUGAUGACGAGCAGCCUCCUCCAGUACAGGGUGAUGACCGCUGAGACGAUGACAUGGAGACAGGCGAUGGGUUGUAGUUAGUUUAGUUUAUGUUAUAUUCUGAGUUUCAUGUAUGUACUUGUACAGUUUUUGAGUUGUACAGACGGCCAUUAUAUUUUUGAUCUAUAUAUUUGAUUUGGAUUACUAUUUCAAUGGUGAAUUGUAUGAUAUUUACUUAUUAUUUGAUGGUUGUUAUUAGUUUAUAACAGGUGUACAUUUAUAUUUGUAAAUGAACAGAGAAAUUUUUAAAUUAUAAAAAAAAUUCAAAAUAUAUAUAGUCAUUGCCGACGGGGGUAAUGGCGACGACAUUGCCGUCGCCAAUGACAUAUAGUGACAGUCAUGAGUUAAAGGCAUUGCAGACGGCCAAAAAAGUCAUUGCCGACGGCCAUGCCGUCAGGAAUGAGGUUUUGCCCCAAAAACUUUAUGGAGUCUUUGCCGACGGAUUCGCCGUCGCUAUAGUCGUUGGCAUUGACAUUGUACCGUCGCCAAUGACACCCGUCACCAAUGACAAUGAUGCCGACGGCUGGUGACGGGAACCAUGGGUGACGACCUGUGGGGCGAAUGGCGUACCGACGGCAUCAGCCGUCGCCAAUGACAUCAAUGCCGACGACACUAUAGUCAUAGGCGACGGCAGUAGCCGUCGGCAAUGACUAUUUUUUUUGUAGUGAUUUAAUGACUAUUAAGAAGAACCUAAAGAAAGAAUUUCAGCCCCAAUACCCACUCAAAGAAAGUGAAAGUAAUUUUGAUUUUAGCCUAACUUUUUUUCUGUCUCUUUUUUUUUCUGGGUCUUUUCCAGAUCCAAUCGAAAAAAUAGGGAGUUUUGAGAUUGGAGUUUGGAAAAAAAAUAGAAAUAAUUCUUCUUUAUUGACUUUUUUUGUGGGGAAUUCGUCGGUUAACGGGUGGAAUUAGUGGCAUAAUAAUUGUGGACAAGAAAACACACAGAAUUUUAAUUUUUCUUCUUCUUCUCUCUUUGUAUGUGAUUAUCAAGUGAUACAAGUGAUACAGAGGAAGUUUAGGGAGAAGGGUUACCCCUGGAGUUUAUCCCGAACUCUCGAAGGGAUUUCUCAUAGCCAAAUUCUUCCCGAAGUAAUUCACCAUAGUCUCGAUCCCGAAGUAAUCCACCAUAGUCCCGAUUCCGAAGUAAUCUUUUAUUAAUAUUUGCCAUCUACAGUUUAAUAUUGCAGAGCCUAGAAAAAAAUUGAAUUUGACCAAAACGACUUCGUUGGUCAAUUGACCUACCAUACUUAGCGUCUGCAGUUUAAUAUUGCAGAUGGUACUUAUUCCUAAUUGGCCCAAAAUACUCAACGUCCACAGUUUAAUACUGAGGACGAAAGACUUUUACAAGGAGGGUAUUUUGGAUAUUUGUCUCGUCUGCAAUAUUAAACUCCAGAAUACUGGAAACUAAACUGCAGAUGAGACCUCUAUUAAACCGUUAGAUCAUAGAAUGGACGCUCACAAUGUGUUGUAAGGCUACUCUUUUUUACAACGUUGGCUAUGGAUCGAUCCCCUAUAUAUAUAUAUAUAUAUAUAUAUAUAUAUAGAGAGAGAUAAUCAAAACAAAGUACAUUUAGGAGUUGUAUGUGGAUUAUACAUGAAUUUAGUAUUUAGUGUUUGAAUCCCUUCUAGUACACUUUCUCUCAAAUUUCAUCCAACACACUAAUUUUUUAUAGUUAUAACUAGUAUGAUAUCAGUCAACUGAUUUAUUAUAUUAAAUAGCAUAAUUAUUUUAAAAAUAAAAAUAAUUCGACACUUUUUUUACCAUUUGAUAAAUAUGUAGAUUUUUCAUCAAAAUUUCAAUAAAUCGAAUGAAAAAAUAUUUAGACUUUUAAUUGUGAAUUUUUUAUAAUUUUAAUUUUCUAUAGGAUUGAUCUUAAUUUAAUCAAGUAUUUAUUAACAUAUUUUGAUUAUUAUUAAUAAAAUUAAUAAGAUCAAAUAAUUAGUAUAUUAAAUAGAAUUAGGAGAAAUGUGUAAUGAAUUACUAGAGCCAAAUCUAUUAAUUUAGGCAAACAUGCUUUUAAAACAAGUGAAUGCCUGAUUGUAGAUAAAUAAUAUAUUUUUUUCCCCAUAUGACUUAAAAGUCACUAAAUGGGCAUUCUAAAGUUCUGUAAUAUCAACAACAACAAAAAAAUUAUACAGAUUGUCGUUCUGGUAAAACGAAUUUUAUAAAAUGACAAUUUUUAGAUUUUUUUGAAACAGACAAUUAUAAGGUUAGGUAUAUAUGAUUAUUAUUAUUACUAUAAAAAUAGGGUAAUUGUAGCUCAAAUUUUAAGUCUAAAACAAGUGUCUUAAAUGAUUUGAUAUCAAUACAUUGAUGGGAUAAAUCACUUAAGACUGGCUAUAUAUAUAUAUAUAUAUAUAUAUAUAUAUAUAUAUAUAUAUAUAUAUAUAUAUAUAUAUAUAUAUAUAUUAUAAAUUUUUACCUUUUAUCAUAUUUAAUUCCAUAUCAUUUUUAAGACACAGUUGCCUAAUUAGUUUAUGAAAGAACUAGAGAUCAGCCAUAAAUUCGGAGGUUUUGAGUUCAACUCCUACUCAAAGUGCUAUAAGGGUCACGGACCUUGUUCGGAGAGAGGAGAUAUACAUGAUUAAAUGACACUUCUGUCAUUUCAAAUGUACAACUGCUAGAAAUUUGGGCCGACUCGACAUAAUUACAUCAUGCGAAAAUCUCCUUCCCAAUUGCUCACCACCGAGGUCCGGUGAACCCCAACCAGAACUGUGAAGAUGGGCCCCUAUUUUUGGGCCAUGGCCACGAAUACAAGAUGGGGAAGGUUUGAGCCUCCUAAGAGAUGGAGAUGACCUAUAUAAUAGGCCAUGCACCACCAGCUUCAGGUGCUACAUUUUUUUUCUCAGGCCCAGGUGACAAAUAAAAAAAAGACUAAUAUAGAAUUUUGUGGGGAAGGACUCCAUGGCAGAAUUGAGCGUUUGUGGGAUUUCUCACUUAUGUGGCAGAAUUUUGGAUUGUCUUUUUUAUAGGAAUUGUUACAAUUAAACUAAAAGAUGAGCAUUUUUUCAUGGUAUAAGAAUAAGGCCGUAAACGAGUCGAAUCGAUUCGGAUUCUAGGCUGCUCAUAUUUGAUUCGAUACAAAAUUGUCUUACUCAUAUUCGAUUUGAAUUCAAAAUAGAAUUUAAACAAUGUACUUGUGUUCGACUCGAUGCAGAAAAUGGUACUCGAAGAUCUAUUCGAUUCGAUUCGAUUCGAAAUUAUGUUCGAACUAUUUGUUUUUAAACAAACUCAAGUACAAACGAGCUUGUAUAAUAUUAUUGAUUCUAAAUUUACAGUUUACAAUAUACAAUUUUGAAAAGUUUAAGGCAUAUGAAUUAUAAAAUACACAUUAGUAGCAGCAGCAUUAACAUUUAAGUUUAUAGCAGCAGCAUUAACAUUCAAGUUUCUAACAGUAGCAUUAACAUUCUAGUUUUCAGUAGCAGUAGUGCAAGUUUCCAAGUCCAGUAACAACAUUCAAGAGUCCAAGUUCAAGUCCAGCAGCAACAUUUAAGAGUCCAAUAGAACUGAUCAAUGUUAAUUACAAAAAUUCUAAGUUCUAAAUAAAACAAAAAACAAACAUUAAUAAUUUACAACAACAUCAUUCAGUUUAAAAUAUAAAAAAAAUAGCAACACACCAAACAUAUGAAGUUAAUACCAAUAGGCAAGGCAGUAGCAAACAAUAAUAAUUAAGUUUACAACACAAUCGAAAUAGUAUAAAUCCUCACUUCCACUCAACCGAAUAAACAAAAGAAAAAAAAUGAUUAGCAUCACAAUUUACAGCAACAGACAACAGACAACCUUCAUAAUCACAAGUGGAGAAAAUGAAAGAAUAAGUAUCAAAGAAAAGACCAGAGAAGAAAGUAAUUCUUAUUUAGAGCAAACAAGUGGAGAAAAUGAGAAUAUCUUGUAUCAUAUCUCCAUCCCAGGUAAAAGCAGACAGUACAAAUGAAGAACAAACAUCCAAAUACUUCAUGCAAAGUGAGGUAAAAUAUCAAAGGUCUAAAAUUCCAAUGCAACUACAUAUUGCAGUCAAAUAAUUAAAAAUAACUUGGUAAAUAUUUAAAAAUAACUUGGAAAUUUCAAAUGUUCCUAAUACAACUCUAAAUGCAAUAAUUGUUCCAAACUACAAUAACAACAUACAAAUGCCAGGAGUUAAAAUUUAAAAAAUACAACCAAACAAGAUGAAUGCAAGUUAUCUGCUCAUACUGCCAAACAAUUCAUUAAAACCAAUAGAGAAAACUUACAGGAGGGCUGCACAAACAGCCGUGUGUUUCCUCCCCUAGAAAGUCCUUCUUCAUCCUUGAGAUAUUUUUCGUCUUCUUCCUCUUCUGUAAGCUUUGAUGCAUGACGACCCCUGAACCAUACAAUUAUAAACAAUUAAACCAUCAUUGAAUCUAUUGAAUAUUAGAUUAUAUAAGACAUCUAAUUCCAUAUUAUGAUUUUAACAAAUAAAAACAUUCCAUAGUCGGAAAUUAGGAACUCAGUUUUUUGGAAAGAGAAAAAAACAAUCCGUAGUAGGAUGUGCUAUAUAUUGUGAGUUUAUGAUUGUAUUAGUGGCUGCUCCAUUUUUCUAUGAUAUUCUAGCAACAAUACUAACAAACAUACAAGAGAAGAUACUACCUUCUAAUUAAUAAGGAUGUCAACACCAGUAACAACAAUGCAAAGCUUUAGAACAUCUUCAGACAAUAGAAUACUAAAUUUUCCCUCAAUUACUAAUAUCCUCAAUAAACUAAUUACAUUCCAACUAAUGUUUUCGGCAGAACAGAAACAAACUCAAAUGAUAUCUCUAAUGAUCGUUUUCUCACAUAUAACUUACUUGGGUGAAACGAUGAUCCUCGAUUUGUCAUUCUUUUUUACUACUAACAAGUACGUAAGAAAGCCCAAGAGGGAAAGAUUUUUUGGGCACUCAUAAGUGUCCAUCCACACAAUAAGGAUUAGUACACCUGCCUAUGUUAAAUGUGUGCUCUUUUAGUGUACAGGACAUGUACACUACUAAAAAAUCAAUCUACAGCGACGGUCGUCGACCGUUGCUAUAGAUGAAAAGACCGUCGCUAUAUGCUAUAGCGACGGUCGGACACCAUCGCCAUAUAAGUCGUCGCUGAAACCUAUAGCGAUGGUCCUUUCUCCUAUAGCGAUGGUCAAAACGUCGCCAGAAAACUUCACAAAAACGCGCUUAAAGCUUUAUACCAACGGUCAGAGAAUAGAUAUAGCGACGGCCGUAACCGUCGCUAUAGAAGAUUUGGCGCGAAUGGUUAAGAUCUAUUGCGACGGGCUGGCCGUCGCUAUAGAAGAUUUGGCGCGAAUGUUGAAAUGUAUUGCGACGGUCGUGGCUGUCGUUUGGCGCAAAAUUUUUUUGCCCUUAGCGACGGUCCCGACCGUCGCUAUAUCUUUUCCAAAUUUUUAAAGAACUUGAUGUUCUUAUACAAUAUUUCUUAUUUAUUUUACCUGUUAAGAAGCAUAACUACAUUCAACCAUGCAAUCUGAAUAUAACAUUUACAACUAAAAGAACAAAACAAAUAAAGUCUAUUAAUGUAUAAUAUCAUCUAAAUAUACAUAACCAUCAAAAAUAUUGUUACUAUGUAUCAAAACAGUACAUAACCAGUAGCACAUUUAACAUAUUUUCAGUAUCACAUCUAACAAAUUUUCAUCCAAAAUAGUGUUACAUCUAACAAAUUUCCAGCAACACAUGUAACAUAUCUCUAGCAGCACGAGACAUGUCAUAGGUCCUCUAUAGGAUUAUUUGAUCCACUAAUAUCACCAUUAUCUCCUUCUGUGGAUCGAUCCUAAAAAUUAAUUAUCAAGUAAACUUGUUAAUCCAUACAAACAGAGUGAUAGAGCAAAAAUUUUAAGUAUAAGUGGAGUGAGAGAGCAACACCUGAUUGUUGGAAUGAGCAUUUGGAACUGAUGACUUCUUCAUAAAUUUUGUCAUGAUUGAUAAUAGUUCAUCCACUUUCCUUGCAGUAUCGUCUCCUUUUUCCCGCACCUUUUUCAACUCAACUUUUAAUUCUUGAUUCUCACGUUGUACCUCAUUAUUUGUGUCACGAGGCCCCCAAGUGUAGCUGUGGCACCAACUCCACCUUGUUGAAGUCUACCAUAUCGCUCCGGUCCAAGCACUUGUGCAAGUAUAUCAUUCUGUCUUGUACUAUUGCUUUCACCAGUCGAUUCCUGAGUCUUCUUUAACUCAAUAAUUUUUUUCUGUGAAAAUAUACAUAACUUAAAUAUACAAGGCAGUUCAACAUAACUUAAAGAAGAGUAGCAAAUAAUUUCUUUCCAAGGCUGUAUCCAAGCUUGUUUGCUUAGUCUUUAUCAGGAUUCGGUCACAUACUAAGUUGUUGCAUUAGCUUUUUGGCUAGAAUUUCAAUCUAUGGUACGUGUCUCAGUUAUUUUGAUCUCAUUAGUAAAAUACACAACCAAGUUUAAAAAAAUCAAAUAAUUAGUAAACUAACCAAUUUAUCCAUUCUUCAAAAUUUGCCUUCAAUUCCUUUGAUUUUUUCAUACUUAUGCAAUAUAUAAAUUUCCAUUUUAUACAUAUAUAACAUCCAGUGCUUAUCCCCCUUUUUGCUUAUUCAGUUAUACAAACAUUUGAUAAACUUUUACUAAUCAUAUAGUAAUCAGUUAUAUUCAAACAUUAUAUUCUUAAUGAAAGCAUAAAGACUAUAACCAUCUAGAAUCAUACCCUCGAUAAAGAGCUUAAAGACAAUAUAGAAUAAAGAGUUAAAAGACCCCAUUGUUUGAGGAUUGAUAAAUACGUACCACAUUCGAGGAUGCUCCCGGUAAAAUUGAGUUAUCACUUCGAGUGUGGGACUGUAUAUACAUAUCCGCUCGAUCAAUCUCUUUUUUUAUUUAUUUGGUAGUACAAAUAAAACAAAAAUUAGUACAUAAUUCAAGAAAUGCUCUAUUCAUAGAAGUCAAAUACAUGAUUAACGACAAAAAAUAUUGAAAGAACAUCAAAUAUUACCAAUUCAUGCUUCUUUUUUGGAAUUGAUUUAGUGCCCAACGUAUGACCUACCAACAUUUUUUUUUUCCGAUUUUCACAAUUUUUUGUUGCUAUAUCCUGCAUUGCAUGUAUUUAUAAAUUAAUAAUAUAAUAUCACAAUAACUAAGAAUUAAUAAUACAUAAAAUUAGAAUAAACACAACCUGUGCAUCAUCAGUUAGCCAAUAACCAACCAACGCAACCUAUUGAUUAGGAUUUACUCGAUCAUUGUUUAUAGUAUUCGCUAUAGAUUUGGCACGGUCACCAGCCACAAAAUUAUUACUCUUUAAGUUAGACUUCCAAUCUCUCCACCUAUUGUUCAUGAUAGCCAUCAGUUUUCUUUUAGCAUUGGGGUGAUCUGUGGUAAAUCAUUUCUACAACAAACAAAUUUACACAUAUAUUAAAUUACCUUCAAAGUGCUUAAUGUCAAAUUCUAUAAAAUAUUAUGAUUAAUAACCUGAAUUUCUUCCCAAGCCCUUGUCAUGUUAGCCUUUGUCAUAUUGAACCAUGUUGGAGUACUUAUUGGAAAAAAUUCUCCAUUACGAGCAAGACACCUGAGAAAGGUUGUUAACUUGUUGGUGUCUCCCCCAACAGGUUGACCACUUAAUUUGCAUCAUAAAUUACUUUCUUGGGUGCAUCAAUAUUUGACCAUAACUUUGCUCCCAUCGUUGGUCCAUGCUUUCUUUUAGGUCGAGAACCUAAAAGAGAGAAAGAAUCAUGAAAGAAAAUGAAAGAAACAAAGAGAAAAUAGCUACCUAACAACACAUCAAGCAACAUCGGAGGAGAGGCAAUUCAAAACGAAGAUAUAUUGACACAAUGUUGUUGUAGCUACAAGGUAGAAACAAUUGGAGAAGAUUUUCUAAUACUCAUUUAUAUCUACAACUGAUUUCUAGUGGAUAUGAGACAUUGUUUCACAACAAGUUCAGACAAAACUUUGUGGACUGUGGAGAGCCACAAAUUUAACUUAAAAUAGCCACCAAAGUCCAAAAGUAGCAAGACCAACUACAUGGGCAGCUCAACAAAACCAUGUAUCCAUGUCAGAACCAGGUAAGACAGAUAUUUUUGAAAAAUACUUUAUAGCUAUUUAUAACCAACUCACCCAAAGAAAAAUUCAGGUGAUUAGUGUUAAAGAACAUAGAAAUAUUACAAGACCUCGCAAAAGUAGCGACAUACAAGUGGCUUUCAAGCAACAAUUAUUGUGCUAAGAUCUAGAUUUAUUGGAACAAUGCAACACAAUUUUAAUAUAAAACCUCAAUAAUCUCAAUUUGAACUUAGCUUGAAGAAGUACAUUAUCAGCAAUUAUUAUAAGUGUAGAAGUUUCCUUCAUGACAAUGCAAGUAUAAGUGUAGAUAUAUGCAUGGUACUAGUUUCAGAAACUCUGCUGCCUAUACUUGAACUAGUGCCAGUUUCAAGAAUCAAGAUGCAUUGUGUUUAUGUUCUUGUAUUCAGUGUCUGUAAUAAGUUGAAACACUGUUGUAACUUAGAAUAAUGUAUUCCUGUAGUGAUUAUGUUUUAUGGAACUCUUUAUUAUCUCUAAAAUGUGGUUGAGUUUGUGUAACAAAUUCUGAACUUAAUUUGUACACAAAUAAUUGAUCCUUUGUGUAUGACAUUCUAAUUUUCACACAAAUAAAUAAUUGAGCCUUUGUAACACAUUCUAAACUUAAUUUGUGCUUGUUCAUUAGUAAUUUGAACCUCCUUAUGGUGUUGGACUUGGACCUGUCAAGGGAUAGCUAGCGAAAGUGGUUGUGUUGCCUUGCACCAUAUGUAUGUAUUUGCAAACCAUUUAUUAGACUCAUUUAUUUUUAGAGGUAUAUACCUUCAGCAUUCUCAUGAAUACUUUUCUCCUUUGCAUUCAUCGGCAUGGAUAUCAUUAUCUUCAUUUUCAUUAAUUUUCGGGCCAUUGGAACAGUUAGCACGAGAUCUAGAUGUUCUGUUAGAAGCCAUUAAAGCAACUUGAGAAACAAAAAUAUGAAUUCAAAAUAGUAAAGAAUAUCAAUUCAUAAGCUCAACAGUACUCCCUAAUCAAUACAUCAGCUCCAAGCAUAUUAGUAUAUAGGAGAAAAACUUAAUAGUACUCCCUAAUCAAAGGCCAGCAGAAAGAAAGGUAGUAGGAAAAGUCAAAAAACUUUCAAGCAUAUGAAUACAUUAGUAGUAUGUAUAUGAUCCUCACUCUUGCAGACAUUUUGGAUAUUCAUUAAAAGUAGCAAAACCAACCUAUAAUUAGUUCGAAAGUAGCAAAACAUAUUAUACAAUUAUGAAAUGCAGAUUCAAAUAUCUAUCUUUUGUUAGACAUAGACAUGAUCUAUCAAUUGUGACGUUUAUCCUCUUCAUUCUUCCUCAUCUUCAUUUUCCUCACUAUCACCCUCCUCUUCAUCUUCGGGACCCUCAUAUUCUCUUUCUCCUUCGUCUCCGUCUUCGUCUUCAUCUUCAUCAACAAUAUGUUCAAUCAUUCAUCUUUUGAAACGAGAUAUAUAAAUUUGAGAUCCUAUUUUUCACUUACUUUUAAUUCUUUUUCGUCCAUUUUCAACUAAUUCAGCAUCAAUGUCAUUCCUAACCCAAUUUAUGUUUUCAAUAUCAACUUCUACAACUAGAGUGAUGAAUUCUUCAUUGGUAUUGGGUAACUCGUCACUAUCAGAAUCUACUUCAGCAUCUUCACAUAAAUCUCUCGAAUUUAUUCGUAUAAACACACGUCAAUUGUUUUCCCUUUGAUCAUCAACAUAAAAUAUUUGUUGAACCUGAGAAGGCAUUACAAAGGGCUCAUCGGUUGAACCAAACUUUUGAUAAUUUACAAGCGUGAAGCCAUAGUCAUCAGUUUUGACCCCUCUAUCACGUGCUAAACUGUCAUACCACUUAAAUUUGAAUAGAACAACUUUGCUAGAUCCAUAAUAAUCUAAUUCAACAACAUCUUCCAAAAUACCAAAGUAUUCAACUACAUCUUCCUUAGGAUUUCGGUCUCUAGCAAAGGAAUAUCCACGAGUAGUUGCUACCACAUAUACCCCACUAUUAUGCGUUCUCCUCUUACUCAUAACUUGUAGAAUGUAAUCGAUACCCAUUUACCAAAUAACCAUCUCCUCUCCUGCUUAUCAAAUUUGGGCCAAAUGCACGAGCUUGAACUUCCUUUGAAGCAUCAUUAUUCAUAGUUGCCAUCUACAAAAUGGUUGCGAUAUAAGCAAAUUCCAUCCAUUUAUUAUUAAUAACCAUUACAAAAUUUUGCAUAAAAUUACGUUCACAUAAUGUAGUACUUAUAUAAUUCUUAAACCAUUCAGGAAAUUCCUUUUUCUUAGCAUUGUUAAUUUCCCUUGGCGUCGGUUUUUGCUUACGCUUUCCACGUCGUAACAUAUAUGAAUCUUUCCAAAUACUACAAACAAAUAAACAAACAAUUUUUUUUAUCAUAGCUAGCUGGCCGGCUAACAAAAGUUAUUAAUAUUGCUCAAAUAAAUGUCAUUCUUUAUUUACUCACCUUAGAUAUGACUCAACCUCUGUACAAUUGAAUAGCACAUAAAUGCGUGCACUCUUGACAUCAUCGCCACAUAGAGUACAAACUUUUGUGACAUUAAGAAAUCGACCUAUGUUUUUGAAUACAGAGAAACUUGAUUCACCUUGUUUGUAUCGAACUUCAUUUCUUCCAACUCGUUUCCAUGCAGUAUUAUUUUGACUCAAAUAUCUUGAGCAAAAUGUAACACAUUCUUCAGCAAUAUACCUGUAAGACCCCAACUUUUAUGAAUAAAGAAUGAUUUUUCUCGAAAUAUAUUUUUGAAUAUUAUGGUGUGGAUAUGAUAUUAUGUUAUAGUUGUGGGUAAUAUUUAUAAAUUUUGCAAAGUAAGCAAGUUGUUAUAAAAUAUUCGAUUGGUCGGGGAAUAUUCAUUUUAACAGGGAAUAUUCGUACGACGGCACAAUCAUUCGUGGACCCCACAACGGAAGUAUUUUCGUAGUUAGAAAAUGACAGAAUUAUCUUUUUAUAAAAAUAACGGCAAAAGUUUUACCGUUAAACUAUUGAACCACCCGGUGGUAAAAGUACAGUAAUACGCGUGGUUGCAUAGUAGCACACAGUAUUGAUUAUUGAUGCUUACGUGAGAAGUCACUCAGUUAUACUUAAUUAUUGCUACAGUAAUUACUGCAUAAUAUCUCUCAUAUUAUUGAUUCAAUUAUUUUCACAUUAUCAAUAUUUUAUAUUAUUAAAUCAAUAAUUGAGAUGACAAAAUUAUUCAUAUUGUUAUUUGCAAUAUUGACGAUGUCUAGAAAGUUCUGUCGAGGAGAGGUUUGGUCACUUAAUUGCGCGCCAAUAGGGAGAAAUCCUUAUUAGAAAGCCCCCUCUUUCCUAAGAAUGAUCUGGUUAUUAAAUAUUAUGAGUUAUAAUAUUAAUGAUGAAUAAGUUCAUGUUGAUUAAAAAUGAAAUUGAUAGUUCCAUUGUGUUGGGAUUAUUAGUGUUAGUGGAAAUCGACAUUUAUUUUGAUAAUAAUUGAUUUCUGACCAAUCGGGUAAUUAAUCGGAUAAAUGAGCAAUUAAUUUCUUUUAAUUCACAUGCUUAUAACUAUUUGUUCACAUAUGUGUAUUAUUGAUUUACAUGCAUGUACUAUUAGGGGAGGUGGUACAAGAUUGAUAAUACUUGCAUGACUAAAUUAAAAAUGGAGGUAUAGAUAAAUGUACUAUACUGUAACUAUUUUUUUCACAUGUAUAGAACUAUCGAUUCACAUGAAUGUACUAUUGAUUCAUAUGAUGUACUAUUAGGGGAGGUGGUGCAAGUUUGAUAAUACUUGCAGGACUAAAUUAAAAAUGAAGGAAAAGAUGAAGGUAUUAUGCUGUAAUAUUUCGAGUCCCAAAACGUGCAAUUAUCGAAACUAUAUUUUCCUAUAAAUAGAAGCUCAUUCUUCUAUCAUUCUCACCAAUUCACUAAGACUCAAAAGAGCAAUUAUAGAGAGAGAAGCUUUAGAGAGAGAAGAUAUAGAGAGAAAGAAGAAGAGAAGUCUGCUACUUCACUAUUCCAGUAUGCAGUCUUCUUCUAAGGUAAUGGAUGUUAUUUAUUUCUUAUUCGUAAGGGAUAUUAUUUUGUUCAGUAUUCAUAAGGAAUAAUAUUUUCUUCCAUACUCUGUAGUAUGUGAGUAAUAUUAUUUCAUCCCGUAUUCCUGAUUAUACCCUCAUUUUGUUAAAGUAUUGCUUCUAUACUCCGUGAAAUUAGUAGAAUAUCCUUGAAAUUUGUGCUUGAUCUAGUAUCGUUUCACAAGGAUAUUUUCUGCACAUUCUUGUUAAAUUUUAAGCUUUUCAUGCCAGAGUACUGUCCAUGAGUACUAUUAAUUUAUACGGUACUAUUCAUAAAGUACUAUUCGCGGAUACUUUUCACAAAGUACUAUUCAUGAAGUACUAUUCACGAGGUACUAUUCCUGAAGUACUAUUCACGGGGUAUUAUUCACCCAGGUACUAUUCACCCGGAGUACUAUUCAUGACAAAAAUUGAUUUCUUUUCGGUCCAAAUUAUUUUUGAUACAAUAUCAUUCUUGAAUUUUACUCCAUAAAGCAGUAUUAUGUUGGCAAUUUGAUUAUUAUUGAAUUCUAGAUAAAUUAAAUUAUAAAUAUUUAAAAAUUUAUCCUUUGUUUUCUUUUAAUUGAAUUCUUAUAUCAUUGUCAUCAUCCUCAUACUUAUAUUGUGAUGAAAGUCAUCUUUGGCUUACGUGCAUAGAUGGACUGUUGAUUGGUAUGAUUAUGACCAGGGAUCAUUCGGUAUAAUCAUGACCCGUAAUGUUACAAAUGAUGUGGUAAAAGUCCUCAUUGGCCUGUAGUGCAUAAAUGGACAGUUGUUGGUAUGAUUAUGACCAGGGAUUAUUCGGUAUAAUCAUGACCAUUGAUGAUUACAUGAAUAUCCUUGGCCCGUAAUGCAGGGAUGAUUCGAUAAUGUGGUUUAUUUAUUAAGCUGAGUCUCAGCGAUAAAGUUGAUGAAAAACUUUUUAAAUCAUAGAAGAUAGUAGAUAUCAUGCUCUACUUGACUCUUUUAAUCGAUUGUUUUUUCCGCUGUAGUUAAACUUGUUGUCUAUUAUAUUCUAUCAGUUUAACAUUGUGGAAGGCUAACGAUAACUUAUUCUGCAUUAUCUUAGUCAUAAUAUUUUUUACUGGGCUAAUUGAGCUCACCCUUUUGCUUUCAUUAUUCUCUUUAGGAAAUGAGAACGUAGCCGGGACUAGUCGGGGAACAGAGUGAUGGUCCGAGAUGGUGUUAUAGUAUUCCUCACUAUUCUAUGAAAUAGUAUGACAAUAAAUGUAAUGAGGACUCCAUUUGAGUUUGGAUAUUGUCUAGAAGACAAUAUUCAUGUAAAAACUCAGCUAUGUUUUGUCGUAUUUUUAUACAACAGUUGUAUUAAAGAAGUUGUAUUUGAUUUUUGUACCAUGUAUUUGGCAACUCAAGAGGGGUGAUGUAUACAUAUUUUGGGGGCGUCAUAAUACCCUUCUACAAUUGACCCUUCUGGACAACUUCUGUUGCGAAUAUACCCUUUUAACUUGCCCAUGUAUCUUUCAAAAGCCCACAUUUAUCGAUAUUUCACAUUUCCAGUUAUCUUCGCCUCUUCAGCAAGGUGGACACACAAAUGUACCACUAUAUCAAAGAAAGCAGGAGGAAACACCAUCUUAAGCUUGCAAAGUAUUAACGGAAUUUUCUUGUUCAACCGUUCAUAAUCUUCCGAUGUGUUAUAGUUGGAACAUAAUUCUCUAAAGUAGUUACAAAGUUCAAUUAUUGUUGAGCAGACAUGUCUAGGAAAGUUGGUACAUCGUAUUGCUAUUGGAAGUAAUUGUUGCAUUAAAAUAUGGCAGUCGUGACUUUUAAGACCUGAGAUCUUACCCCCUUCAAAUUGAUGCAACGUGAAAUAUUUGAAGCAUAUCCAUCAGGUACCUUAACAUGUUUCAACACUUGCAAGAAAUCAUGUCUUUCUUUCUUAGACAUUGAGUAGCUUGCAGCUGGCAAAAGGUACUUUGAAUUGCUUGCUUGCACGGGUAUUGGUGUGAUGCCCCCAAAAUAGGUAUACAUCACCCAUCUUGGGUUUCCAAAUACAUGGUACAAAAUUCAAAUACAACUUAAUUAUACAACUAUCAUGUAACAUACGACAAAACAUAAGCUGAGAGUUUUAAAAUGAAUAUUGUCUUCUAGACAAUAUCCACACUCAAUGGAGUCCUCAUUACAAUUAUUAUCAAACUAUUUCACAGAAUAGUGAGGUCUACUAAUGCACCAUCUCGGACCAUCACUCCGUUCCCCGACUAGUCCCGGCUAUGUUCUCAUGUCCUGAAGAGAACAAUGAAAGCAAAAGGGUGAGCUAAACUAGCCCAGUAAAAAAUAUUAUGAUUAAGAUAAUGCAGAAUAAGUUAUCGUUAGCCUUCCACAAUGUUAAAAUGAUAGAAUAUAAUAGACAACAAGUUUAACUGCAGCGGAAAAAGCAAUCGAUUAAAAGAGUCAAGUAGAGCAUGAUAUCUACUAUCUUCUAUGAUUUAAAAAGUUUUUCAUCAACUUUAUCACAGAGACUCAACUUAAUAAAUAAAACACAUCAUCGAAUCAUCCCUGCACUACGAGCCAAGGAUAUUCAUGUAAUCAUUAAUGGUCAUGAUUAUACCGAAUAAUCCCUGGUCAUAAUCAUACCAACAACUAUCCAUCAAUGCACUACAAGCCAAUGAGGAUUUUUACCACAUCAUUUGUAACAUUACGGGUCAUGAUUAUACCAAAUGAUCCCUGGUCAUAAUCAUACCAAUCAACAGUCCAUCUAUGCACGUAAGCCAAAGAUGACUUUCAUCAUAAUAUAAGUAUGAGGAUGAUGACAAUGAUAUAAACAUUAAUAAAAAAAAAAUCAAGGAGAAUUAUUAAAGACUUUAAAUUUAUCCAGAGUUUAAAAAUAUCCAAAUUGUCAACAUGAUACUGCUUUGUGGGGUAAAAUUCAAGAAUAAUAUCCCUGUAUCAAAAAUAAUUUGGAAAGAAAGGAAAUAAAUUUUUUAGUGAAUAGUACCCCAUGAAUAGUACCCUAUGAAUAGUACUUCAAGAAUAGUACCUCGACAUGAAAAAUGCCCCGAAUACCUGAGUGAAUAAUAUUUGAGUGAAUAAUAACUGGGUGAAUAGUAACCUGUGAAUAGUAACUCGUGAAUAGUACCCCGACACGAAAAGUGCCCCGAAUACCCGAGUGAAUUAUAUUCUAGUGAAUAGUAACCUAUGAAUAGUACCCCAGUGAAAAUAUUGAUAUUUAAUAAGAGAGUUCAGAUCAAUAUUCCAAUAAAACAAUACUGGAUGAAGCGCAAAAAUCAAGGAUAUUCCACUAAUUUCAAGGAUUAUAGAAGCAAUAGUUACCAUAGUAAGUUUAAAUUUAAUAAUAUGAAAAGAAAUAACAUACGAAACUGCAAAUGGAUUUUCACCUGUCAUACGGUACGUAAUUCGCGUAGACAGGUUAUUCCGACAUAUUAAAGAAUGAAUACGAAAAAUAGUAUUCCUUCUGAAUACGAAAGAAAUAAUACCCCUUACGAAUACAACAAAUAAUAUCCCUUACCUUAGUAGAAGACUGGAUACUGGAAUAGUGAAGUAGUAGAAUGCUCUUCUUCUUGCGCUCUAUAGUUUCUCUUGUGAGUCUCAAUGAAUUGGUGAGAAUGAAAGAAGAAUUAAGCUUCUAUUUAUAGGAGAAAUGACUAAAUAGUAACUAAUUCACGAACAGCCCAGAUUAAUUUACUAUUAGAACGGACGGUCCAUAUUGAUUACUAUUAAAACCACAACCGACGGUCCAGAUUGAUUUACUUUUAAAACCACCUAUGACGGUCCAGAUUGAUUUACUAUUAAAACCACCAUCGACGGUCCAAAUUGAUUUACUAUUAAAACCACCAUCGACGGUACAGAUUGAUUUACUAUUAAAACCACCAUCGACGGUCCAGAUUGAUUUACUAUUAAAACCACCACCAAUGGUCCAGAUUGAUUUAACUUAUUACACUUUAGUACCCCUAAAGUUUUCCAAGUUUGCAUUAUUCCCCUCUAACUUUUAUAAUUCACUUAUCUUCAAUAAACACAUUCUUAAUACUUCAACAAUUAUUCAUCAUUAAUAUUAUAAGUCACAAUAUUUAACAACCAGAUCAUUCCUAGGAAAGAGGGGGCUUUCUGAUAAAGAUUUCUCCUUAUUGGCGCGCAAUUAGGUGACAAACCCCUUUCCUCGACAGAACUUUCUAGACAUUGUCAAUAAUGUAAUAAUCAUACGAAUAAAUGAGUUUUCUCAACUAUUGAUUUAAUAAUAUAAAAUAUUGUGCAGAUGAUACUGUGACAAUAAUUAAAUCAAUAAUAUGAGAUAUUAUGCAGCAAUUACUGUUGUAAUAAUUGAGUAAAACUGAGUGACUUCUCACGUAAGCAUCAAUAAUCAAUACUGUGUGCUACUGUACUUUUACCACUGGGUAGUUCAACAGUUUAACGGUAAAACUUUCACCGUUAUUUUUAUAAAAAGAUAUUUUUGUCGUUUUCUAACUACGACAAUACUUCCGUUGUGGGGUCCACCAAUGAUUGUGCCGUCGUACAAAUAUUUCCUGCUAAAACGAAUAUUCGCCGACCAAUCGAAUAUUUUAUAACAACUUGCUUACUUUACAAAAUUUACAAAUAUUACCCACAACUAUAACAUUAUAUCAUAUCCACACCAUAAUAUUCAAAAAUAUAUUUCGAGAAAAAUUAAUUUUUAUUCAUAAAAGUUGGGGUCUUACAAUUGGAUGGAGCUAUCUUCUUAUACCCAUUUUCAUCAAGUCCAAUCCUGCUUUUAAAUUAUCUUUUAACUUUCCUUGCACACUCAACAAUGUCCCAAUCAGGCUAUCACAAAUGUUUUUGGCAAUGUGCAUUCCAUCUAGAUUGUGGCGCAACAAAAGUAUCCGCCAAUAUGGCAAUUCAAAGAAAAUAGAUUUCUUCCUCCAAUUAUGUUUUAAGUCAUGGGGAAUGGUCUUCGUGCUAGUGGGUGUCUUUCCAAAAGUGACAUUAAUGGCAUUAACUUGUUCAAGAAUAUCAAAUCCUGACGGCACCACCGGAGCUUCACUAUGGUCACAUUCUCCGUUAAAUCUUCGUGUAUCAAACCUAUAACUAUGACCUGACUCCAGGAAACAACGAUGCCCGAUAUAACAUUCCUUGCUUUUUAUCUACAAGAAUGAGUGUUCAUUUGACAUGAUGGACAAGCCAACUUACCUUUAAUGCUCCAACCAGAUAACAUAGCAAGAGAUGGAAAAUCACUAAUUGUCCACAACAGUCCAGCACGCAUUUGGAAAUUUGUACCAGUAGAUGCAUCAUACGUUUCAACCCCAUAACUCCAUAGUAUCUUCAACUCCUCAAUUAAAAGUUUCACAUACAUCAAUAUCAUUACAUGUAGAGUUUGGACGAGGUAUUAACAACGAGAUGAUAAAAUACUCCUGCUUCAUAUACAUCCAUGGUGGUAAGUUAUAAACAACUGUCACUGACCAUAUACUAUACAUUGACCCAUGGGUAAAAGGACUCAUGCCAUCAGUGGACAGUCCGAGUCUUACAUUUCGAUGUUCUUGAGAGAAUGUAGGGUUCAUUGUAUCCAAAUACUUCCAAGCUACAGAGUCAGUUGGAUGACGAUUAACUUCAUCUUUCCGUCGCUUCACAUGAUGCCACGUCAUGUAUUUUAUAAUUUCUACAGACAUAAAUAGCCUCUGUAAUCUCGAAAUUAAUGCUAAAUAACGUAAUUGCUUCACAGCUACUUUGCUCCUCUUAGCAUUUGUAUCUAUUUGUGCCUUCUCUGGUACAACCAUCUCAGUCUGCUUCCAUCUCAAUGAUUUGCAAACUGUACAAGACUCUAAUUUUUCAUUCUCCCUCCAAAAGAGCAUACAAUCAUUCUCGCAUACAUCAAUCUUCUCAUAACUAAACCCUAAAUGGCCAACCAUUUCCAUUUUCUUCAUUUCAUAAAAAUUAUCAGGCAAGUUUGCAAAUGCUGGAAAUGAUGACUUGAACUUACGGAGCAAAUCAUCAAAGGACAAAUCAGUCCAUUUGCUAACAUUUUUAUGAUUGAAAAGCCAUAUAAUGAAUGAAAGGACUGUCUCAAUUUCACAUCUAGGAUAUAAAGGUUGAUUGGCCUCUGACAUGUACUUUUGGUAUUUUGAAGCUUCAGCCGACGAUUCCACACCGUGAUCCCUAAAUAUAUCAUUUAUCAUCUCAGGCAUACGAUGAUCAUCUUUGGAUUAUGAUGGUUCGUCGUGAACAUCAUCAUUGCUCACAUCCCUAACAAUCUCAUCUUCCCCUUGAUGCACCCAAUUCGUGUAGCCAAACAUAAAUCCAUCACAAAUCAAAUGUUCACGAAUAGUUGUUUGAAUCUGGUAUCUUCCAUUCACACAAUUCUUACAUGGACAAGGAAUUCUUCCUGUGACCAUGCCCACUUUUUCGAAACCAAAGUUCAGAAAUCUAUCUAGGCCUGCAAGAUAUUUGCUAGAAUAACUAGGUAAUUCUAUCCACCCCUUAUCCAUAAUAUUGUGUCCCUAAUUUAAAUUGAAAUACCAUCCAAUGUUAGGUACCAAACAAGAAGCAUCAAGAAAGCAUGUGGUAGGGACAAAGAGAAAUUGAUGGCGAAAAAAGAUGAUGAAAGUAAAAAAGGAAUGGAUAUGGACAGGGCAAAUCGUUGGAGGUCAACAUUGAACGAAGUUGUAGGCUUAGAAUGUGGUCCGAACAUCUCUUGUUAAUCAAACAAUAUAAUUCCUCUUAUUACAUCAAGGUUACAAAUCGAUCCGCCUAAGCAUAUUACAUCAAGAUUAUAAAUUUAUUCUAAAGAGUGUGAUCUUUUAGUUUAGUUUUUCGUUUUCCAUAUUCUCAUCAAUUUCAAAGACCGCAGUAAAUCCAUUUAAUAACUCGAACAAUGUAUGCAACCCUCAACCAUAAAAGUGAAACAAAUGUAAACAACAACAUUUGAAAUUAUGUGAAUGCAACUAAAAUCGGUCCGCCUAAGAAUAUUACAUCAAGGUUAUACAUUUAUUUUAAAGAGUUUGAUUAUUUAGUUUAGUUUUUCCUUUAUCAUAUUCUCAUUAAUUUCAACGACCACAGUAAACUCAAAUAAAAACUUUAUGUAAUAAACAAAAAUGAGUGUCAACAAUAGUAUACAUCUCUAGAAUCAAACUGAUAUAAACAAAAACUAAUGGUCAUAAAUGCAUAAAAAUAGUAAUUAAGACAAUUAAAAUAGUAGACUAGAGAAGUUAGGAAAAGAAACUUGUAGCACCGGUGUAAGAAGACAGUUGCCUACAUCAAAAAGAAGCAAAACUAUAUACAAUAUUCAGAAACGAAAUUACCUCAUUAAAAAAAACAAAUUUGCAUUAUAUGGACUUCAAGAUGCAUGUUAGAGAAUUUUCCCUAGUUUAUCAAUGAAGUAUUACGGCAACUAGGAAAUCAGGGUUCAAUUCUCAUUGCAAAUUAUUUAAUUUAAAAAAAAUAAAGAAAUAUUUAUGCAUGCCAAUUGUAAGGGAAGUUCUAAUAAUGUGUAGGGAAUUACUCUGUAGCCCAACCUAGCUGCUCAGCCAAAGGUAUGAUGCCUAUUAAGCUCGGGAAGAAGACCCAACCCUGAAAUCAUACUAAUAAUGUGUAAGUAUCAUACCUUUUAUUGAUGUAUGAUUCCUAGUAAGCUCAACCAAAGCUAUGAUGCCUAUUAAGCUCAGGAAGAAGACCUAAUAAUGUGUAAGUAUCAUACCUUUUAUUGAUGUAUGGCCUACUACCGAAAGAUUGAGAAAUGGUGAGCGAGGAGCGAGAUGGUUGAUCGAAGGACUGAGAAAUGGUGAGAGAUGAGCGAGAUGGGUGAUCGAUCGACUGAGAAAUGGUGACAGAGGAGCGAGAUGGUCGAUCGAUCGACUGAGUUUACUGAUUAGCAAAUAUCUAGACUGAUUUGGGUAAAUUGUUUUUACUAAUUUGGGGAAAAAUAGGAGCUAACAGAUUUUUAUGCGCCCAAAUUACCCUCAGCCCAAAAAAACUCCCUACAUCGACAGCCAAAUAGUGACCGUCGCUAUAUGUAUCCUAUAGCGACACUUCCUCCCCAACCGUCGCUAUAUAUUGAAUUUCUAGUAGUGUAAACAAGUAAAACUGUUGAACCAUCCAGAAAAGUGUGAGUUAUAUAAAUCAAUAUAUCGUGUUUAUAAAAUCCAAUCGAGUGCAACUCAUACCUUACCUUUUUGUUCUUCUGCGAUGAUUUGUCACCUUUGGCAAACCCUUUUCCCUUGUUAUUCUGUAUUAAAAAGAAAAACAUUACAAACCAUGAUACCACUACACCAACAAACUGAAUUAUGACUAAAACCCAAAAAGGGAUUUCCAUGGAACACACCAUAUUAGCGUUAAUAGCGACAUUUUGUUCAUCCAACAUUUCUUGUAUUUUUUGUUUCUUUAACCUCUGCAUCUCCCUCAACCUAGCCCUUUCACGCUUGCUAAUUUCACCAUUAGCCUCUGCAUUUCCAUCCUAAAAAUAAUAUUCCAAUAGACUGUGAACUAACAAUAAAAUGGUAAAACAAAAGACAAGUUAAGUUACAUUACUUUUUAAGUGAUUGAACUAAAAACAAUUGGAACAGAUUUGAGCAGAUUUUCCAGCAUGAAUUGGAACAAAAUGGAACAGAUUUUCCGACAUGAAUUAAAACGGAUUUUCCAUCAGUUCCAUCUUCGUCUGUUAUCCUCCUUUCACAAUUGGAACAAAUUUUUCAGCAUGAAUUUGAUAAGGACCAAUGUUGUGCCCGUUCAAUAUCACAUUCCUGAAAUAAAACAAGAAAUAGUAGUCAAUAUCCCAAUUUUAAAAAUACAGGAGAAUAAAUAUAUGAAUUCUCAGUUCCUUAUCUCAAGUUUUCAAUAAUAAGGAAUCAUCUAAUAAUCAUUCAAACAAAUAAUAAGUUCAGCAAAUUACAAUUUAAUACCAAAAUUCAAACACAACCAAUUCAAACAAAACCCAAAUAACAAACUCAGAGUUUUAAAGAAUUUUAGGAUGAGAGUUAAUUUAGAAGAAAAUAAAACUAUGGUUUCAUAUGAUUUGGGGAAAAUGAAAAUUAGGGUUAUAUAAAUGAAUUUGCGAACUGAUAAUUUACCAACAAUUGAAGUUAAGCCCUAUACCUCUUUAAAUUCUCUCAAAUCAUAGCCAUGCAUAGAUCUUGAAAUUGUUUACAAAAUAAAUGAUGAAAAAAGUGUAAAUUGUUAUUUCGUAGACAAAAAUUUAAGGCCUCUCUUACGAUUCUCUAACAAUAUUGAAGGAACUGAAUGAAGUAUUGAUUACAGACUGUCUGGGUCAGAAUUUUUUGUUAAUCUAUCGACUCGAUUGUUAAAAUACAUAGAGGAUGCUCAAAAGCAUGGGACACAAGUUUGGAUCAAUUUGAUACAAGUCCAAUUCAGAAAUUAGAGAAGAUUUUAUUUCCUAAAAUAAUAGACAGAUUAUACUGUAUUUUGUUGCCUUUUGUUUUAGGUAAUUAGCACGAUUUUAGGGAUUUUCAGAUACUUAUCAAAUUUUAUUAUAAUUAGGAUUUAUUAUUAGCUAAGAUUUACUUUCUAAAUAGGUUUCUAUUAUUGUAUAGAAAUAGGAAUUUCUAUUCCAAAUUGGUUUGUAAUUCCUAUUAGGAUUAUGAUUUUUGUAACUAGUAUAAAUAAGGGUUACAUCUAUUGUAAUUAACAACAUUUAAUAUCAUUAUUAUUAUUCAAUAUAUUUGUGAGGUUUAUUAUUUUCUUUGGUUCUUUGAAGAAUUCCCAAGUAAUUUCUUAGUUUAUUUUUUGAGAUUCAAUUUGACUUAUCAUACAACAAUACAUAUUUGUGUGUGGCGUCUUCUACCACAUCAAUCGUUGAUUGUAUCGAGGUUCCUGUUUCAAUAUAAACCAGGGGUUUAGGCAUCAUUGGUGUUCCAUUCAAUGCAGAUUUCAUUGCUAAAUUGAUUGUACCAAGGUUCUCGUCUCAAUAUAGACGUUGGGUUGAAGUGUCGAGAGAGUUCCACUCUAUCAACUGUGCUAGAAACGAUCCGGGCGACGACCACGUCACGCAAGCGUGUUGUGGAGCUAUCAUUUGGUAUCAAAUCUAAGUUUUUCUAGCUAGUUACUUAUCUUAAUUUUCUAUCGAAAUAUAAAUUGCAAAAAAAAAAAUUUAAAUUAGUGAAAAAAAGAGCAAAGAAAAAUUUUCAAAUUAUUUUUCUACUGUGCUAACCAAAUUUGUAGCACAUCAUCAAAUCAUCAAAUUCCAACCAAAAUUUCAUUUCGUUCCAUUCAUUAUCAAUUUCAACUAAGCAACAUCAUAACUUUUCGGAGAGUACAAAGCGAUCACCCAUAAUACUUUGUGGUAUCUCGAUAUUCAUACCUUAUAUAUUUUGUUCUUAAUAAGUUACUUUUGAAUUGCAUUGUAAAACUGUGAAUUUAUUUGGUGAAUUCAAAAAGAACCUAUAAGAAAGAAUAUUAGAGGUAAAAGGAAAGAGUGUGAGUUUAUUAGAGGGUAAAAGCCAAUUGAGCAAUACACGAGAGAUUCAUCAUUGUUUGAGUGAAACACGUAAGGGAGUGUGAGGAAAUUUUUUUUAUCUACUAACUUUUGUUUUGCAACGAACAUAUAUGGCUACAAUUAUGAAAGUUCUUAUGGGUCUCGAAGGAAUACUUUCCAAUGUAAUAUUGAUACAGAAGCAUAUCUGAGAUGGGAUAGAAAAAUGGAGCGAGAGUUUGACUAUUAUGAUUACUUCGAGCGGAGGAAGGUCAGCCGGGUAGUUCAAGAGUUCUCUAAUCAUGCAAUUUUAUGGUAGGAGUUUUGCAAAAAUUUUGGAAAGCAUUCGAUCGAGACAUGGGCAUAAUUAAAAAUAGCAAUGAAAAAGCGGUUUGCUUUAGUACAGCGAGAUAGGAGGGAGGACUAUACAUCUCAAAGACAUGUAAACCAACCUUCAAGGCAAUCAACAUUAGAAGACGAUAGAAGGGUUCACCGACAUGUAAACAAGGAGGAUUCCCAUUGGAGAAAACCACAAUUAAGACAUUUUAAAGGCAUCUAAUAACAUAAAAGAAGACAUCAUGGAGGCGUGUCGCAAGGGAUUGGAGGAUUGUUGGAUGCAACUACGAAACACUUCUAAGGUGCAAAGGGAGCAAGUUCAGCAGAGGGGGGAAGAAUAUAUAAUCGAAUAUGCAGUCCAAAGAGAGCUAUUGGGUUCUAAUGUUCACGAUGAUAUCCAUGAUCAAAAGCAAGUUGGUGAACAAUCGAAAGAAAAUGAUCAAGAGGAUAAGUUUGUAAAAAAAAUUACAUGUAAAAAUAAUCGACAAAAAGAAAUUUAUCUAAAGAUUGAUAGUGAAAUAGAAAAAGUUGAAAAGAGUGAGGAAGAAAACAAAAAAGAGAUUGAGAAAAUGAGAAUGAAAAAAUAGUGAGAUUAAAAAUGAUGAGAGAGAGAAAACAAACAAGAGAUUGAGAAAAAAAAUAAGUGACUAUGAAAAAGAGAGUGAGUUAGAAAGUGAGUUUAUUUUGAACAGUCAAUGACUAUACUCGUACAAGACCACACUUUUGAAUACCAAUAAGGUUAACUCUUCUUUGUCUAGUUCUGUUAUUUCUCUUGUGCAGGUUGUUGAUGAUAUACCUCGUGCUAUCAUUCCAUGUUGAUCAGCUGAUAGUAUUCCCGAGGAGACGAUGGAGUUACCGAGGCGGGUUGGAGAUUUGAUGAAAUUAAGUGGGUAUCGUGAGAGAAGACAUGAGUUCUUGUGCUAAUUAUGAUAUUGAUGAGUAGAUUUUAUACCUAUGAAUCCGAUAUUAUUAAACUUAAUUAUUGCUAUCUUUAAGUUUUUUUUUAGUAUCUUUUUAUGUGUUUUUGUGUUUAUUUCUUAUAGGUUGGAGCUGGAGGGACAAAUUGGUCAUUUGGGAGAAGAAAAAGAUCAAAAAUCACUAAAAUUAGAGAUGAGUGGCAUUUUUGUAAAUACAUGGUCCUAGUCAAGCGCCUAGGCGCUUGGAAAUAACCUGGGUUGAGCGUCUAGGCGCUCAUGUGCGGCUAAAGAGGGAUUUUGCCACUGAUGAGUUAAUUUUCGAAGCCAAAAAGGAAUUUGAAUAAGGGUUUUGACUAAUACAAAUAGGAGAAGACUUUAGAAAAGACGUAUCACUCAAUUUUUCAAGAGAUUUGCAGAGAGGACAACGAAGAAAAACACGAAGGAGAAUUGGAAGGGCUGAAGAUCAAAGAGAGAGUAUUGGAGCAAAUUCAGAGUUUCUUCUUCUCUUCCCUAGUUUUAUCUUUUGUAAUUAUCUGGGAUGUUUAGAUUAUUAAUCUGGAUGAUGUUUUUCUUUAUUAUUAUCAUGAACUAAAUUUUCAUUAAGAUUGUAACGAAACUUGGUAUGUAGUUUAAAUUAAACCUUCCCAUUAAAUAAAAGUUGGUUUUUAUUGAAUUGUUUAUUAUAUCGUUUGCUUAUUGAUUAAUUGUUUGGUCAGCAAUUACUGUGAUAAUCUAUAUAAAAUUGGAAGAUGGAAUAUAGAUUUAGAUCUGGAUAUAAUAACAUCUGUUCAUAUAAUCUGAUUAGGGUUAAUAUGAUUAGCAUAUAGGAUAGGAAUAUACCUAUGUGUCUUUUGUAUCCAUUGAAAGAAUUUGUGCGUAAAGCUCUAAUAAACUUGAUUCACAUAGGAAUAUAGUGAAUUAAUUAAAUAGGGUAUUCCUUGUAAUUAUGUGUCUUAAUGAUUGGAUUAAGGAGGAUUUGUUCACGUGUCUUUGGAAAACUUUAGGGGUACUAAAGUGUAAUAAGUUAAAUCAAUCUGGACCAUUGGUGGUGGUUUUAAUAGUAAAUCAAUCUGGACUGUCGAUGAUGGUUUUAAUAGUAAAUCAAUCUAGACCAUCGAUUGUGGUUUUAAUAGUAAAUCAAUCUGGACCGUCGGUGGUGGUUUUAAAAGUAAAUCAAUCUGGACCGUCGGUGGUGGUUUUAAAAGUAAAUCAAUCUGGACCAUCGGUUGUGGUUUUAAUAGUAAUCAAUAUGGACCAUCCAUUUUAAUAGUAAAUCAAUCUGGACCGUUCGUGAAUUAGUUACUAUUUAGUCAUUUCUCCUAUAAAUAGAAGCUUAAUUCUUCUUUAUUUCUCACCAAUUUACUGAGAUUCACAAGAAAAGCAAUAGAAAGAAAAACUAUAGUGAACAAGAAGAAGAGUAUUCUGCUACUUCACUAUUGCAGUAUCCAGCCUUCUACUAAGGUAAGGGGUUUUAUUUCUUUCGUACUCAUAAGGAAUGCUAUUUUUCGUAUUCAUCCUUUAAUAUGUCGGAAUAACCUGUGCGCGGAUUACGUACCGUAUGACAGGUGAAAAUCCAUUUGCAGUUUCGUAUGUUAUUUCUUUUCAUAUUCUUAAAUAUAAACUUACUAUGGUAAGUAUUGCUUCUAUAAUCCUUGAAAUUAGUGGAAUAUCCUUGAGUUUUGCGCUUCAUCCAGUAUCGUUUCAUUGGAAUAUUGAUAUGAACUCUUUUAUUAAAUAUCAAUAGUUUCACCGGGCUACUAUUCACGGGUUACUAUUCACCCGAUUACUAUUCACUAAAAUAUUAUUCACUCGGGUAUUCGGGGCACUUUUUAUGUCGGGGUACUAUUCACGAGUUACUAUUCACGGAUUACUAUUAACCCAGUUACUAUUCACUAAAAUAUUAUUCACUCGGGUAUUCGGGGCACUUUUCAUGUCGGGGUACUAUUCACGGGGUACUAUUCCCGAAGUAUUAUUCACAGGGUACUAUUCACCGAAAAAUUUAUUUCUUUACUGUCCAAAUUAUUUUUGAUACAUGGAUAUUAUUCUUGAAUUUUACUCCACAAAGCAAUAUCAUGUUGACAAUUUGGACAUUAUUGAAUUCUGGAUAAAUUAAAUUAUAAAUCUUUAAAAUUUAUCCUUUACUUUCUUUUAAUUGAAUUAUUAUAUCAUUGUCAUCAUCCUCAUGCUUAUAUUGUGAUGAAAGUCAUCUUUGGCUUACGUGCAUAGAUGGACUGUUGAUUGGUAUGAUUAUGACCAUGGAUAAUUCGGUAUAAUCAUGACCAUUGAUGAUUACACGAGUAUUCUUGGCCCGUAGUGCAAGAAUAAUUUGUGGACGUGAUACUAAUGAAUAUCCUUAGCCCGUAGUGCAGGGAUGAUUCGAUGAUGUGAUUUAUUUAUUAAGUUGAGUCCCAGCGAUAAAGUUAAUGAUAAACUUUUUAAAUCAUAGAAGAUAGUAGAUAUCAUGCUCUACUUGACUCUUCUAAUGAAUUAUUUGUUUCGCUGUAGUUAAACUUGUUGUCUAUUAUAUUCUAUCAGUUUAACAUUGUUGAAGGCUAAUGAUAAAUUAUUAUGCAUUAUCUUAAUCAUAAUAUUUCUUACUGGGCUAGUUGAGCUCACCCUUUUACAUCCAUUGUUCUCUUCAGGAAAUGAGAAUGUAGCCGGAACUAGUCGGGGAACGGAGUGAUGGUCCAAGAUGGUGUUAUAGUAGUCCUCACUAUUCGAUAAAUUAUAGUGUGACAAUAAAUGUAACGAGGACUCUAUUUGAGUUUGGAUAUUGUCUAGAAGAUAAUAUUUGUGUAAAAACUCUCAGCUCAUGUUGUAUAAUUAAAUUUGUAUUUGUAUUCAGUACCAUGUAUUUGGCGACCCAAGAUGGGUGAUAUAUACCUAUUUUGGGGGCGUCACAGUUGGUAUCAAAGCUUAGGGAUAUGAUCCCUGGCUGAGAUGUGAGACAAGAACUAAGAGGGGAGAGACGGAGAAUUCCUUCGCUAGUAUGACCUACCUAAGUUUAUUUGGUAUUUAAUUGGUCGGUCAGAGUAUAGGGAUAAUAUGUGACAUGUGAAUUAACCCUUGUUUUGUGGUAGUGUUUGAAAAUGGCAUCUGAAAAAUGUUGAGAUCAACAAUGAAGCACAUAAGACCGUUGAGUCACCAACGAUCAAUACCUAGGAUAAUGUGAAACAAGAAGACAAUAAUCCUCAGGUAAACAACAACACCGAUCAAAUGAUAAACGAUGGGAUUUUCAGAGGCUUUAUGCAAUUUAUGCAACAUCAGGCGAGAGCGGCUCCUGUUCAAAAUGCAGCUGGAAACACUGGCAACUUACAGAUGGUCACCGCUAAGUAAUUCAAGGAGUUGGGACCAUCGAAGUUUUGGGGAAAGCCAGAACCACUUAAGGUGGAGACGUGGAUAAAGCAGAUCACCAAGAUAUUUGAUGUCUUGGGAUGCUCCGAGGAGCAAAAGGUUCCCUUUGCCACCUUCAUGUUGAGAGGAGAAGUAGAUUACUGGUGGGAAUCAGUAAUGCGUACUCAGCCUGCCGCACUCAAAAUGUCUUGGGAGAAGUUCGAAGAGUUGUUCAACGACAAGUAAUUUCCCGAAAGUAUUCGUCACAUAAAGGAGGUGGAGUUUAUCAAGUUGGAACAAAACAAUAUGACCGUGUCACAGUAUGAGGCUAAGUUUGCUGAGUUGUCCCGGUUCGCAUCCCAUUUGGUUGAUAAUGAGGAGAGAAUGACGUGAAUGUUUCUACGAGGUUUGAGACCCGAAAUACAUCAAUACCUCAUUUCUCACAAACUAUGUUUGUAUUCAGAUGUUGUAAAUUGGGCUCAGUUAUUGGAGCACGAUAAUGAGUCAACCCAACGAAGAGAGAGCAGCCGGCAAGUCGAUAAUACCAGUGGUAGCAGUCAUCAAAGCGGUGACAAAAAACGUGGAGGGAAUCAAUAUGCUUAAAUGGUAACCACUCCGGUGGUAAUCAUGGCUAAAAUAAUAGAAGUGGAAAUAUCAAGAAGAGGAGAUUCAAUAAUGAUGGAAAGACGUCAGCACCAACACCUGUUGUUUAGGAAGGAGAACGACUACCGGUCGUAUGUUACAAAUGCAGAGGAGAGGGACACAUCAGUCCAAACUGUACACAACAGUCCAAAGAAUGUUACAAUUGUGGAAGAGAAGGUCACCUAGCCCAAUUUUGUCGUGCACCAAAGUCAAGUCCAGCUGAGAUGGAGGCAUCAAAGGCCGUCCCAGACAAGACAAAACUGAUAGUUUAAGGGAGAGCGUUUGUCGUAACCUCCCAAAAAGCAAGGAAUCUAAAUGAGGUGAUCACGGGUAAGCUAAGCAUACACUCUAAUGAAGUCUAUACCUUAUUUCAUACCGGUUCUACCCAUUCUUUUAUUUCUCCUACUUGCGCUCAACGUUUAAAUUUGACUCCGGAGAAAUUAGACUUUAACUUAUCGGUUGAAACUCCAUUGGGGGAAACCUUUAUUACAUCCACUGUUUAUAAGUCUUGUUUGAUUCAAAUCGGUAACCGCACGUUACCUGUCGAUCUUAUUUCCUUAAAAAUACUUUGGUUUGAUGUGAUUUUAGGGAUUGAUUGGUUAACUUCUCAUCAUGCAAAAAUUGAUUAUUUUUAUAAGGUUUUUAGCUUUCAUAUUCCUAACCAACCUAUUAUGCGAAUUUAAGCGACCAAACCACUAAAGUCAAUCAUUGUCAUAUCAAGCCAUAAAGCUAUUCGUUUAUUAAAAAAUUGAUGUCAAGCUUUCUUAGCCCAUGUCAUAGAUUUAAAUAAAAAUAUGUCAGAUUUGAAUGAUAUUUCUAUUGUUAAUAAAUUUCCUGACGUAUUCCCUGAAGAACUUCUUGGCCUACCCCCAGAGCAUGAAAUUAAAUUUUGUAUCGACCUUGAACCCAGUACAAAACCCAUUUCCAAAGCCCCAUAUCAAAUGGCUCCUGUUAAACUUCAGGAGUUAAAGACCCAACUGCAGAAAUUGUUAGACAUCGGUUUCAUUCAUCCUAGUACAUCUCCUUGGGGUGCUUCUAUUCUCUUCGUAAAGAAGAAAGAUGGAAGUAUGUGACUUUGUAUUGAUUAUCGGGAGUUGAAUCAUGUCACCGUCAAAAAUAGGUACCCGUUGUCACGCAUUGAUGACCUGUUUGACCAGUUGCAAGGCGCCAAAUUCUUUUCAAAGAUCGAUCUUCGUUUCGGAUAUCAUCAGUUAAAGAUUAAAACCGAUGACAUCCCAAAGACUGCUUUCAGAACUCGGUACGAGUAUUAUGAAUUCCUAGUCAUGUCUUUUGGAUUGACUAAUGCUCAUGCUGCCUUCAUGGAUAUGAUGAACCGAGUAUUCAAGGAAUAUUUGGAUCAUUUUGUAGUCGUCUUUAUUGAUGAAAUCUUCAUAUAUUUCAAAAGCCGUGAAGAUCAUAAGCAACACUUGAGGCUGAUACUCCAAAAGCUUUGUGAAAACAAGUUUUAUGCCAAGUUGAAGAAGUGCGAGUUUUGGCUUGAGGAAGUAGCAUUCCUUGAACACGUGAUAUCAAAUCAUGGAAUAUCUGUUGACCCAACAAAGAUUGAAGUAAUUCAAAGCUGGGAGCAACCCAAGUCAGUGACCGAAGUACAUAGCUUUCUGGGCUUAGCUGGUUAUUAUCGGAGAUUCGUGGAAGGAUUUUCUCGAAUCGCUACUCCAUUAACUCAGCUGACUCGAAAAGAUAAAAAAUUCGGUUGGAGCGAGGAAUGUGAGAAGAGUUUUCAAGAACUCAAAGGGACACUCAUUUCAGCACCUGUUCUGACAAUACCAUCUGGCUCGGAGGGAUUCGUCAUCUACAGUGAUGCUUCAGGCAAAGGGUUAGGAUGUGUUCUCAUACAAUAUGGGAAAUUCAUAGCAUAUGCCUCUUGACAACUCAAAGAUUAUGAGAGGAAUUAUCCUACUCAUGAUCUAGAGUUGGUAGUUGUUGUCUUCGCACUUAAAAUUUGGAGGCAUUACCUGUAUGGGGAGAAAGUGGAGAUCUAUACGGAUCAUAAAAGCCUUAAAUAUUUCCUCACUCAAAAGGAACUCAACAUGCGGCAACGACGAUGGCUUGAUCUGUUGAAAGAUUAUGAUCAUACCAUCCAAUACCAUCCUAGAAAAGCGAACGUGGUAGCUGACGCAUUGAGUAGAAGAUCAUAUGCGGGUACAAGUGCGAUAUUGUCAAUGCAAAGGCCCAUUUUGUAUGACUUACAAAGGAUGAAGAUAGAGUUAAAGACUCCAGGGACCCAUGUGAUGAUGGCGAAUAUACGAGUAGAACCGACUUUAAUCAAUAAAGUUAAAGCUGCUCAAGUUACAGAACUGGAGCUGAUGUGUAUGAGGAAGAAAGUGAAAGCAUGUGCUAUUUCGGAAGCAAGAAUCGAUGAAGAAGGAAUAAUUCGAGUCAACUCCAGACUUUAUGUUCCUAACGAUUCUGACAUAAAGUAUAAAAUCAUGAUAGAGGCGCACAACACACCGUUUGCAAUCCAUCCUGGAAGUACCAAAAUGUAUCGUGAUCUUCGACAUACAUUUUGGUGGAGCAAUAUGAAGAGAGAGAUAGCGGGGUUUAUCUCAAGGUGUUUAACUUGUCAAGGAGUUAAGGCGGAGCAUCAAAUGCCAAAAGGUCCUUUGCAACCACUUGAAAUUCCAGAAUGGAAGUGGGAGCACAUUACCAUGGAUUUCGUUACUGGUCUUCCCAAGGUUUCUCAAGGCAUUGAUGCGAUUUGGGUUAUUAUUGAUAGAUUAACCAAGUCUGCUCAUUUCUUACCUAUACGAGAAACUUAUACACUUGAACGUCUUGCUCAUAUGUACAUAAAUGAGAUUGUAAGACUGCAUGGCAUGCCAGUAUCCAUAGUUUUUGAUCGAGACCCAAGAUUCACUUCACGAUUUUGGGUUAGUUUAAAAAAAGCUAUGGGCACGAAUUUACGAUUUAGUUCGACAUAUCAUCCUCAAACGGACGGGCAGUCGCAGAGGACUAUUCAAACUCUUGAGGAUUUAUUAAGACUUUGUGUCCUUGACUUCAAAGGAAGUUGGGACAAAUUCUUGCCAUUAGUGGAAUUCUCCUAUAACAACAGUUAUCAAGCAAGUAUUGGCAUGGCUCCAUUUGAGGCGUUGUAUGAACGCAAGUGUCGUUCUCCAGUAUAUUGGGAUGAGGUGGGUGAAGCAACGUUGUUGGGACUAGAGUUGGUACGUAUGACUACGGAAAAGAUUCAAACGAUCCGACAACGUAUAAAAACCUCACAAGAUCGACAAAAGAGUUAUGUUGAUCUUCAUCGAAAGGACGUGGAAUUCAAUAUCGGAGAUUAUGUGUUGUUACGUGUUGGUCCAUGGAAAGAAGUUACAAGAUUUGGAAAGAGAGGAAAGCUCAAUCCUCGAUUCAUUGGCCCAUUUGUAAUCCUCGAUCGAGUAGGAACUGUGGCCUAUAGACUCGCCUUAUCGCCAAGUAUGUCUCGUGUUCAUAACGUUUUUCACAUAUCUAUGUUACGUAAAUAUGUGAAAGACCCAAAUCACAUUAUUGAAUUAGAAUCGGACGAGAUAACGGAAGAUUUAACGUAUAAAGAGGUAGCUGUUAAAAUCUUGGAUAAGAAGGAUCAUAUUCUACGCUCCAAGGUUAUACCUCAAUUCAAGGUUUUGUGGAGAAACCACGAUGUUGAGGAAAUUACCUGGGAAUUAGAAUCCGAAAUGAAAUCAGGGUAUCCUCACCUAUUCAAUAUAUCAGGUACGUAUCCUAAUUUCGAGGAUAAAAUUUCAUAAGAAGGGGAGGUUGUAAGACCCCAACUUUUAUGAAUAAAGAUUAAAUUUUUCUCAAAAUAUAUUAUUGAAUAUUAUGGUGUGGAUAUGAUAUAAUGUUAUAGUUGUGGAUAAUAUUUGCAAAUUUUGCAAAGUAAGCAAGUUGUUAUAAAAUAUUCGAUUGGUCAGGGAAUAUUCAUUUUAGCAGGGAAUAUUUGUACGACGGCACAAUCAUUGGUGGACCCCACAACGGAAGUAUUGUCAUAGUUAAAAAAUGACAGAAAUAUCUUUUUAUAAAAAUAACGAUGAAAGUUUUACUAUUAAACUGUUGAACUACCCGGUGGUAAAAGUACAUUAAUAUGCAUGGUCGCAUAGUAGCACACAAUAUUAAUUAUUAAUGCUUACGUAAGAAGCCACUCAGUUUACUCAAUUAUUGCUACAGAAAUUAUUGCAUAGUAUCUCACGUUAUUUGAUUCAAUUAUUAUCACAGUAUCAUCUGCAUAAUAUUUUAUAUUAUUAAAUCAAUAAUUGAGGUUACAAAGUUAUUCAUAUUAUUAUUUGUAAUAUUGACGAUGUCUAGAAAGUUCUGUCGAGGAGAGGUUUGGUCACCUAAUUGCGCGCCAAUAAGGAGAAAUCCUUAUCGAAAAGCCCCCUCUUUCCUGGGAAUGAUCUGGUUGUUAAAUAUUGUGAGUUAUAAUAUUAAUGAUGAAUAAUAGUUGAAGUAUUAAGAAUGUGUUUAUUGAAGAUAAGUGAAUUAUAAAAGUUAGAGGGGAAUAAUGCAAACUUGGAAAACUUUAGGGGUACUAAAGUGUAAUAAGUUAAAUCAAUCUGGACCAUUAGUGGUGGUUUUAAUAGUAAAUCAAUCUGGACCGUCAAUGGUGGUUUUAAUAGUAAAUCAAUCUGGACCGUCGGUGGUGGUUUUAAUAAUAAAUCAAUCUGGACCGUCGGUGGUGUUUUUAAAAGUAAAUUAAUCUGGACCGUCGGUGGUGGUUUUAAAAGUAAAUUAAUCUGGACCGUCGAUUGUGGUUUUAAUAGUAAUCAAUAUAGACCGUCUGUUCUAAUAGUAAAUCAAUCUGGACCGUUCGUGAAUUAGUUAAUAUUUUGUCAUUUCUCCUAUAAAUAGAAGCUUAAUUCUUCCUUCAUUCUCACCAAUUUACUGAGAUUCACAAGAGAAGCUAUAGAGAGAGAAACUAUAGAGAGCAAGAAGAGUAUUCUGCUACUUCACUAUUACAGUAUCCAGCCUUCUACUAAGGUAAGGGGUAUUAUUUCUUUCGUAUUCAUAAGGAAUACUAUUUUUCGUAUUCAUCCUUUAAUAUGUCGGAAUAACCUGUCUACGUGGAUUACGUACUAUAUGACAAGUGAAAAACCAUUUGCAGUUUCGUAUGUUAUUUCUUUUCAUAUUCUUAAAUCUAAACUAACCAUGGUAAGUAUUGCUUCUAUAAUCCUUGAAAUUAGUGGAAUAUCCUUGAGUUUUGCGCUUCAUCCAGUAUCGUUUCAUUGGAAUAUUGAUAUGAACUCUCUUAUUAAAUAUCAAUAUUUUCAUCGGGGUACUAUUCAGGGGUUACUAUUCACCCGAUUACUAUUCACUAAAAUAUUAUUCACUCGGGUAUUCGGGGCACUUUUUAUGCCGAGGUACUAUUCAUGAAUUACUAUUCAUAGGUUACUAUUCACUCAAAUAUCAUUCACUCGGGUAUUCGGGGCACUUUUUAUGUCGGGGUACUAUUUACGGGGUACUAUUCCUGAAGUACUAUUCAUAGGGUACUAUUCACGGGGUACUAUUCACCAAAAAAUUUAUUUCUUUUCUGUCCAAAUUUUUUUUGAUACAUGGAUAUUAUUCUUAAAUUUUACUCCACAAAGCAGUAUCAUGUUGACAAUUUAGACAUUAUUGAAUUCUGGAUAAAUUAAAUUAUAAAUCUUUAAAAACUUAUCCUUUACUUUCUUUUAAUUGAAUUUUUAUAUCAUUGUCAUCAUCCUCAUGCUUAUAUUGUGAUGAAAGUCAUCUUUGGCUUACGUGCAUAGAUGAACUGUUGAUUGGUAUGAUUAUGACCAGGGAUAAUUCGGUAUAAUCAUGACUAUUGAUGAUUACACGAAUAUUCUUGGCCCGUAGUGCAAGAAUAAUUUGUGGACGUGAUAAUAAUGAAUAUCCUUGGCCCGUAGUGCAGGGAUGAUUCGAUGAUGUGAUUUAUUUAUUAAGCUGAGUCCCAGUGAUAAAGUUAAUGAUAAACUUUUUAAAUCAUAGAAGAUAGUAGAUAUCAUGCUUUACUUGACUCUUAUAAUGGAUUGCUUGUUCCGCUGCAGUUAAACUUGUUGUCUAUUAUAUUCUAUCAGUUUAACAUUGUUGAAGGCUAAUGAUAGCUUAUUCUGCAUUAUCUUAGUGAUAAUAUUUCUUACUGGGCUAGUUGAGCUCACCCUUUUACUUCCAUUGUUCUCUUCAGGAAAUGAGAACGUAGCUGGAACUAGUCGGGGAACGGAGUGAUGGUCUAAGAUGGUGUUAUAGUAGUCCUCACUAUUCGAUAAAAUAGUGUGACAAUAAAUGUAAUGAGGACUCUAUUUGAGUUUGGAUAUUGUCUAGAAGACAAUAUUCAUGUAAAAACUCUCAGCUUAUGUUGUAUAAUUAAGUUUGUAUUUGUAUUCAGUACCAUGUAUUUGACGACCCAAGAUAGGUGAUGUAUACCUAUUUUUGGGGCGUCACACAAACCUUUUCUCCAAGCCAAUCAUACACUCUAGACUUUCAGGAUCAAGUUCCUAAUUAUGAAGAAGAAAGGAUGUCAAACUUGGAGGGACUUCUUUUCAAGUUCAUGGUUUUGAUUGAGGAGCAGACGAAUAGUCAAGAGAUGUCGAUUCAAAAUCUUGAGAACCAGAUGGGAAAACUUUUCAAUGCCAUUAUCAAUCGCCCUCAAGGAGAAGUGUCAAGUAACAUGGUUCCCGAGACUGAUGGAUUGCCCACGCUAAAUCUGGAAUCGGAUGUGCCAAAAAAAAAGGACGUGGAAAGGGAGGAGACAAGUGGGGAGCAGGAAAAGAAGGUUGCCAAAGAUCUAUCCUUGAGUUCCGACAUAGAUGAACUGAUUUUGAUAGUGCCCCAUAUAUCUUCUCUACCAAAUUUUAAGGAUCCGGCUAGAUUUGCAAUCUCGUGCCCAAUUGGUAGUCAUUUUUUCGAUAAAGCUAUAUAUGACAUGGAAGCUAGCUUAAAAUUGGUGACAUGGUGUGAAGAGAAUGGGAAGAGUGAUGAAGAACCAGUUGUUCUAGAAAAGCUUCAACGUAAGAAUUCAUUCACAGAUACAACUCAGAAAAUGCCUAGUUAUUUGAAGGUUAUAAAAGAGAAUCUACCUAUAAAGAACAAGCUAGGUGAAUUUGAAUUAAUGACCCUUACUAGAGGGUUCCUUAAUUUUCAAAGGGGAAUUGUAUAGAGAAAGUUAAAGCAGUCGGGCUGAGGACGUUAAACUAAGCGCUCACUGGGAGGCAACCUAGACUUGCAUUUUAUCUCUUUAAAUUUUAGUUCAUUAAUUUUAUUUUAGUAUUUUAGUUCAUUUAGCUAUGUAUUUUAUCUUAGUUUAGGGUUGUAUGUUCAGUUGUAAUCUCCUUGCAAAUGAUAACUGAGAAUUGGGUUCAUGGCUUGCAGGUUAGAAGGAUAAAAGAGCACAAAUUUUGGCUAAGGUUGGCCCAAGCACCUAGGCGCCCAAAACAAGCAUAUUCCAAGCACCUAAGCGCUUAAUUGCAGAAUGUCCAGACAUGCCCAAGCGCCUAGGCGCCCACUUCAAGCUCUUUUCAAGCGCCUAGGCGCUCCAACCUUCACAAUUUCAAGCGCCUAGGCGCUCUACAUGUGCACUUGAAAAAAAAUAAAGCCCUAAGCCAGGAAAUUCUAAUUCAAACCCAAUUCCUUUCACUCCUAAUUCAAAAGCAACUCCUUCCAAGACCAUGCACCUCAAUAACACCAACUCUUGCACUCUCUCAAUCAAAAUCUAAUUCAUCUUCUCCAAACCACAAUCAAGAAGAAAUCAAUCUAAAGUCAACUUCUUUAUCUCCUACUUGGAUUCCAACAUCAACAAUUCAAAGCAAGGUUCAAGCUUCAAGAUUUGCUCUAAACCAAGUUUAGGGGAGGUUAACAUAGGGGUCUAAGCCUGCAAGUGAUUGACGCUCCAUACCAGUUCCCACCACCUCCACCCUUGUCUGUGUACCCCCCGACUGACUUAGCUCUUGAGGUUGAUGCUAAUACAGAAGUAGUAGAUGAUGCUGAUGAAGAGUAAAGCUUCAAUCUUUCACGGAAGUCCUCAGUGCCUAAUUUCUUAUGUUUUUUAUAUACAAUGAGGACAUUGCAUAUGUUAAGUUUGGGGGUGCAUUCUUCUAAUUGCAUUGCAGUCAUUUAGUAGCAUUCAUUUAGUAUUUGCAUUCGUUUAAUAUAACACAUUUAUCUUGUAGUUUUGCAUGUAGUUGUCAUUCUAAUUUCUAAAAAAAAAAAUCUUGCAUUUAGUUAGUUCAUAUUACAUGAAUCCGAGCAUGUCAGUUAGUGUGAGUUUGACUUGGCCAAUGAUGAGAUUUGGAUCGCGUGUAUAUUUGAAUAAUAUUACAACUAAGACAUGGAUGUAGUGUCGUAUCAUGAUGUAAAUCUUAUCCUAUUUGAAACUGAUGUAACCAGCUAGCACGUUAGAUUGACCAUUUUGAUCAACUUAGUUUUAAAUGAUCGCAUAAUUGUCUUCUCGGGGAAAAUCUUGGUUUUAAUGAAGAAAAAUUGAUAAACUUGUAAUAAAGGCUAGGAUGACGUAAAAACUCAUGUUUGGGGGAAAAUAUAGGAAUUCUAUUGAAAAAAAAUAAUAGAAAGAAAAUCCAAAAAAAAAAAUUCAUACGAAUAAACACUUUAGCUAUUUUAUUUAUGUGGCCUUUGAUACUUGACUAGGUAAGCUCUUAGCUAGUUUAUUUGCAUUGCUUGGGGACAAGCAAUUUGUUAAGUUUGGGGGUAUUUGAUGAGUAGGUUUUAUACCUAUGAAUCCAAUAUUAUUAAACUUAAUUAUUGCUAUCUUUAAGUUUUUUUAGUAUCUUUUUAUGUGUUUUUGUGUUUAUUUCUUGUAGGUUAGAGCUGGAGGGACAAAUUGGUCAUUUGUGAGAAGAAAAAGAUCAAAAAUCACUAAAAUUAGAGCUGAGUGGCAUUUUUGUAAAUACGUGGUCUGGUCAAGCACCUAGGCGCUUGGAAAUUACCUGGGUUGAGCGCCUAGGCGCUCAUGUGUGGCUAAAGAGGGAUUUUGCUACUGAUGAGUUGAUUUUCGAAGCCAAAAAGGAAUCUGAAUAAGAGUUUUAACUAAUACAAAUAGGAGAAGACGUUAGAAAAGACGUAUCACUCAAUUUUUCAAGAGAUUUGCAGAGAGGACAAUGAAGAAAAACACGAAGGAGAAUUGCAAGGGCUGAAGAUCAAAGAGAGUAUUGGAGCAAAUUCAGAGUUUCUUCUUCUCUUCUCUAGUUUUAUCUUUUGUAAUUAUCUGGGAUGUUUGGAUUAUUAAUUUGGAUGAUGUUUUUCUUUAUUAUUAUUAUGAACUAAAUUUUCAUUAAGAUUGCAACGGAACUUGGUAUGUAGUUUAAAUUAAACCUUCCCAUUAAAUGAAAGUUGGUUUUUAUUGAAUUGUUUAUUAUAUUUUUUGCUUAUUGAUUAAUUGUUUGGCCAAUAAUUACUGUGAUAAUCUAUAUAAAAUUGGAAGAUGGAAUAUAGAUUUAGAUCUGGAUAUAAUAACAUCUAUUCAUAUAAUCUGAUUAGGGUUAAUAUGAUUAGCAUGUAGGAUAGGAAUAUACCUAUGUGUCUUUUGUAUCCAUUGAAAGAAUUUAUGCGUAAAACCCUAAUAAAAUUGAUUCACAUAGGAAUAUAGUGAAUUAAUUAAAUAGGGUGUUCCUUGUAAUUAUGUGUCUUAAUGAUUGGAUUUAGGAGGAUUUGUUCACGUGUCUUUGGAAGAAGUGCAUGAGCACUAUUAAACAUUCUUGGAUAAUGAUUCAUAUUAAUUAAUUGAUUUAAAUGAGAAGUAAAUUGGUUUAAAUGAAAUACCAAGGGAAGUUGUAAUCUUAACCUGUUAAAUCUAUAAUUAUUCUUGUGAAAUUCUAAUUUUAAUUAUUAUUUUUGUUAAGUUUAAUUUUUAAAUUACAAAUAAUAUUUCGUAGUUUAUAGGAUUAAUUGCAUUGGAAUUAGUAAUUGAUAAAUAUUAGUCUAUUUCCUCGUGGGAACGAUAUCUUUGCUUGCUGAAUAUUAUAAUUGAACGCGUAUGCUUGCCUGUUAAAGUGUUAUUAAGAAAUUAGGCAACAGAUAUCAUAGUAUCUACGGGGGAUGGGACAACGAGUUUCUGCAUCGAUUUUGAAUUGGUAAACAAGUUUCAUUAUUCUUUUCUUUUUUUAGAUAAUAUGUUUGAUAGAUUGCAUAAUACUUGUGUUUUAUCGAGAUGUAAUGAUCAUGUGAUAACCACGCCUAAUCAGUUUAGCAUGAGAAAAUGUGAUAAAUGGGAAAUUAUUUUAACAUGUGAAUUAUAUAGAUGGAUAGUUAUUUCUAAUAGAUUAAAUGAUUCAUUUAGUGUUUCAUGAGUUAUUUAAAACAUGUUUUCCAUGCUUCUAUUGGUAAAUUUAUUUUUAGCUACUUUGAGGUUAGAAUCAUCUUUAUCAUAAACUAUGUCGGAUAUUUUAUCUUUGUUGAGUUACUUUAUGAUCAUGAUAUAUAUUCUCGUUUUCAAUGUUCGUACUUGCAUGACAUUCAUUCUAGUUCUUCUUAUCCAUAUAUUGAGUUAGGGUUUCAUGCUAGUUAAUCUUUACAUAAGAUGUCGUUAAUUGACAAUGGUAGUGUUCAUGCUUGUCUGUUCAAGAAAUUUUCAUGGCAUGAGGAACUAUAAUAUGGUUUUGAUUUGAGAAAUGUUUAUCAUCAAGAUGGAUUGAGAUAUGAGUUAUUUGCAUGUUUAGUUAGUUCACUUGGAUUAACUAAGGCAUUGCAUACUUCCAUGGGAUUGUUGAAUCAUAUUUUGUAUUCUUUCAUGAAAAAAUUUGUUAUUCUCUAUUUUGAUGAUAUUCUGAUUUUUGUCAAUAAUUUGGAAAAUUCUGUAGCAUAUGUUGAGUUUGUAUAUCAUGAUAAGUAUGAUAUUGAGUUUUUAUAUUGUGAAGUUGGUUGUGACCUUUUUAUUCCGUUUAUAACUAUAUGAUCUUGACUGUGUUAAUGUCAAUGAGAAGAGAAAGGUUAAAUUUGUUUUACAUGUUCUUGAUGGGUUCAUAUUCAUCAAGAAGGAAAAUACGAAUUGUUGGUUAAUAAAUCAAGAAAACUAUUCAUAUGGGCACCAUUAUGGGACGUCAUACCAACAAGCACCAAGACUAAUCUAAUUCUGUACAGCCACGCAUUCAGCCAACUUGUAAAGGAAAUCCUAUUACAAAUAUCAUGCGGGCCUACUAUUUGGAAUAUUAGAUUCAUUCAUAAGCUAAAGUGGUAAAGCAUGUGGAUGUGGGAAUGGAUGAGUCCUUCUACAGGGAUAUUUUUUUUUAGAUAGUCUGUACAAUCCUAUUCUUGUAUACGUAUCCAAAUUAUAUAUAAAAUACUAUAUUUUGUAAAAAUUCUAAUUGAAAUAAAUAUUAUACAUUUUGAAAAAUCACGAGAAAAAAUAAUUAAAAAUGUCCAAUAUUCUAGUUGGACAAACCUGUCCACCAAGACUUAUUGGGGAAUGGAUAUUCAGGUACAUAAUGUGUGGGCCACGAUUAAAAAAAACCAGUAUUCAUCAAGCUAAGCAUUACAUGGAAAUUCAAAGCAAAUCUUGCAAAUCAAGUCGCACGGAAAUUCAGUUGGUUUCACGCGGCAACAUAAGAUCCGGACACAACAAGAAAAGAAAAUAAUUACACGACAAUUGUGGAUUUUUGGAGUUCUAGAAAAUUGUUUUUUUUUUCAAUUCUAUUGAAUUAGGAUUUAUUAUUAGUUAAGAUUUAUUUUCUAAAUAAGUUUCUAUUUUCUUAUAGAAAUUAGGGUUAUGGUUUGUAAUUUCUAUUAGGAUUAGAAUUUUCGUAACUAGUAUAAUUAGGGGUUACAUCUAUUAUAAAACUACACUUCAAAUUCAAUAUACUUGUGAGGUUUAUUCUCUUCUUUGGUUCUUUGAAGAAUUCCCAAGUAAUUUCUUAGUUUUUUCUUUGAGAUUCAAUUUGACUUAUCAUACAAUAAUACAUAGUAUAGUUGUGUGUGGCGUUUUAUACCGCAUCAAUCGUUGAUUGUGUCGAGGUUUCUGUUUUAAUAUAAACCACGGGGUUUAGGCGUCGUUGGUAUCCCAUUCAACAUAGAUUUCAUUACUUGAUUGAUUGUACCAAGGUUCUCGUCUCAAUAUAGACGUUGCGUUGAGGUGUCAAGAGAAUUUCACUCUAUCAACUGUACUAGACAUGAUCCGGGCGAUGACCACCUCACGCAAGCUUGUCGUGGAGUCUAUCAAAUAUACUGUAGGAGGAAGUGGAAGUACCGAACUAACCCAACUGGGGAAGAGAAAUAGUUAAAAACUCAGCCGCCCAGGAAUCUGUAAGGAAUAGGUAGGGAUAUAGAAAUAAAUAUAGGAUUAGUGGGGCAUAAUGGUAAUAGUGGUAUUCUAAGUAAAUAUUGUAAGACCCCAACUUAUUAUAAAUGAAAUUGAAUUUCCUCUCUUUAUUAUUUUGAAAUAGUAAGGGUUGAUUUGAUUAAUGUGGUUAGUUAUGGGUAAAAUGCGCAAAUAUCUUAAAUAAGCAAGUGGUUAUAAAAUAUUCAUUGUUGUCGGGGAAUAUUCGUACGAUGGCGCAGCCUUGUGUGGGCCCCAUAACGGAAAGCAGUCGGAUGAAAAAAACGACAAGUAUAAGUUUUUAUAAAUAGCGACGUAAUUGUUACCGUUAACACUGUUGGAAUACCCGGUGGUUAAAACACAGUAAUAUGCGGUGUUGCAUAGUAGCACACGGUAUUGCACCAAUUAUUGAUUCUUACGUAAGAAGGCACUACUCAAUAAUUGUUACAGUAAUUACUGUUCAAUAUUUUAGUAAUUCAAUAAUUGCUACGUUGAUAUUUAUAUUAUUGUUGUUUCAAUAAUUGUCACUGCACAGUAUUUUCCAUUAUCAGAUCAAUAAUUCAUAUUAUUUGAAUAAUAUUAUUAGAUAACAUUAUUGGCAAUGUCUAAGGAAGUUCUGUCUAAGGAGAGAUUUGGUCACCUAAUUGCGCGCCAGUAAGGAGAAAUCCUUAUUGGAAAGCCCCCUCUUUCCUAGGAACGACUUGGUUGUUAUUAUUGUGAUUUUGUAAUAUUAUUUGUGAAUAAUUAAUUAUUGAUUUAUAUGAUAAGGAAAAUAUUUAUUUACGUGGAUAUAAAUGGAGGAAUUUUUAGAAAAGUGACAAUUGUUGAGAAUUGAUAUUUUAUCUAUUUUGAUAAAAUAAAUCAUUAUGCCAGAAUAUUGGUAAAAAAAAAAUUUCUUUCAAUAUCAUUAUGCCGGAAUAUUGGUAAAAAUUUUCUUGUAAAAUUCUUGUCUUUUUGUGUCGGGGUUACUAUUCACGUAUACGACACUAUUCACAGAAAAAUUAAAAUUUUCUUUUCUUUGUUUAAGUUGUUUAUUAUGAUUACUAGCUUUGAUUUUAUCCAUGUUUUGAAUUUCAUUCUUGAAUUUUGCUCCACAAUGGUUUAUUAUGGAGUAUUUUUGAACUUAGAUAAGCUAAAGUACGAAUCCUUAAUAUUUGUUCUUUUGUCUCACUGGAUUCAUUUUCUUUAAAAUAUUUUUCAUCAUCCUCAGUCCUAAAUGAUGAUAUUACUGAAUAUCUUUGGCCUGUAGUGUAAAGAUGAAUAUUUGAUUCAAAAUGUAUAUUGAAUGAUGCUACAGGGAUAAAAUAUUGAUGAUGGACUUUUAAAUCAUAGAAGAUAGUAGAUUUCAUUCUCUACUUAACUCUUCUAAUGAAUUGUUAUUUUCGCUGCGAAUAUUGAUCUGAAACUUGUUGUUUAUUAUAUUCUAUCAGAUUUUUCCUUGUUGAGGAGUAAUGAUAAUUUUUUAUAUAUUAUCUUAGUCAUAAUAUUCUUUACUAGGCUAGUUGAGCUCACCCUUUUCUUUUUUGUUCCAUUUUUCUUCUCAGGAGGCAAGAAUGUAGCGAGUACUAGUCGGGAUAUAGAAUAAUGGUUCUAGAAAGUUGUUUUAGUAGUCCUCACUAUUUUUGUAAAAUAAUGUAUCAAUAAUUGUAGUGAGGACUUAUUUGAGUGUGGAUAUUGUCUAGAAGAUAAUAUUUGUAUUUAAACUCACAGUUUAUGUGUUUUCGUAUCUUGUACGGCAAUUGUAUUAAUAAAGUUGUAGUUGUUUCUGUAUCAUGUAUUUGGCGACUCAGAAUGGGUGAUGUAUACCUAUUUUGGGGACGUCACAGUUGGUAUCAGAGCUUAGGGAUAUGGUCUCUGGCAGAGAUCGGGGAAUAGAACUAGGAGGAGAGAGACGAGUAACUCCUUCGCUAGUGUGUCCUACCUAAGCUUAUUUGUUGGUUGGUCAAAAUAUAGCGAUAUUAUGUGAUAUGUUAAUUUCUUUAAUUAACCCUUGUUUUAUGGCAAUAUUUGAGAGUGGCAACUGAGAAUGUUAACAGUGGAGUAAAUGAGACCGUGGAGACACCAUUAAUCACCAACGAGGAGAACGUGCAACAGGCCGGCAAUGUUCCUCCUGUAAACAACAUCACUGAGCAGACAAUGAAUGAUGAGAUGUUUAGAAGCUUUUUGCAGUUCAUGCAAAACCAAACGAGGGAGACUCCUGUUCAAAAUGCGGGUAGAAACAAUGGCAACUCAUAGUUGGUCACUGCUAAGCAAUUCAAGGAGUUGGGACCGCUGGAGUUUUGGGGAAAGCCGGAUCCGAUCAAAGUAGAAACGUGGGUUAAGCAAAUUACCAAGAUAUUUGAUGUCUUGGGAUACACGGAGGAACAGAAGGUUCCAUUCGCGACCUUUAUGUUCCGUAAUGAGGCAGAUUACUGGUGGGAAUCUGUGAAGCGUACCCAUCCAGCCGCACUCAGCAUGUCUUGGGAGACAUUUCAGAAACUGUUCAAUGACAAGUACUUUCCUGAAAGUAUUCAUCAUAUGAAGGAGGUGGAGUUUAUUAGACUGGAACAGAACAAUAUGACGGUAUCCCAGUACGAGGCGAAGUUCGCAGAGUUAUCCAGGUUUGCACCUUAUUUGGUGGAGAAUGAGGAACGUAUGACGCGGAUGUUUCUGAGAGGUUUGGAACCCGACAUACGUCAAUAUCUCAUUUCUCACAAAUUUUCUCUAUAUUCAGAUGUUGUCAACAUGGCUUAAUUAUUAGAGCGAGAUAAUGAGUACGUUCAACUGAGGGACCACAACCAGGGUCAUACCGGUGAUAGCAGUCAUCGAAGCAAUGAUAACCAGCGGGGAGGGAAAAUUUCAGACAAAAGCGGUAACCACUCUGGUGGUAAUCGUGGCCAUGAUAAUAGGAGAGGCGAGUCAAGUGGAAGUUUCAAAAAGAGGAGAUUCAACAAUGAUAAUGUGAAGACGUCAGCACUAAUAACAACUGUUUCUAAGGGAAUUGAACGACCACCAGUCGUAUGCUAUAAAUGUGGAAAAGAGGGACACAUCAGUUAUAAUUAUGGAAAGGAAGGACAUAUCGCUCGAGAUUGUACUGUAGCGAAACCAAGUCCAGCGGGGGUGGUGACUCAAAAGGCUGUCCCAAAAAAGUCAAAGUCAACGGUUCCUGGAAGAGCAUUUGCCGUGACUGGCCAAAAUGCGAGGAACCCAAACGAGGUGAUCACGGGUAAGAUAAUCAUAAAUUCUUGCGAAGUUUAUACCUUACUACCCAUUCAUUUAUCUCUUCUGCUUGUUUUCAAUGUUUAAACUUGACUCCGGAGAAAUUAGACUUUGACUUAUUUGUAGAGACUCCAUUAGGAGAAACUUUCAUUACAUCCAUUGUUUAUAAAUCUUGUUUGAUCCAAGUUGGCACCAUCACAUUACCUGUUGACCUUAUCUCUUUAAAGAUAUUUGCAUUUGACGUGAUUUUAGGGAUUGAUUGGUUAACUACUCAUCAUGCCAAAAUUGAUUGUUUUCUUAAGGUUGUUAGUUUUCAUAUUCCUAACCAACCUGUUAUGCGAAUUCAAGCAACUAAACCACUAAAAUCAAUCACUGUCAUAUCAAGCCAUAAAGCCAUUCAUUUAUUGAAAAAUGGAUGUCAAGCUUUCUUAGCCCAUGCUAUGGAUUUGAAUAAAGACACAUCAGAUUUGAAUAAUAUUUCUGUUGUUAGUGAAUUUCCUGAUGUAUUUCCUGAAGAACUUCCCGGUCUACCCCCAGAAUGUGAAGUUAAAUUCUUAAUUGACCUUGAACCUUGUACAAAGCCAAUUUCUAAAACCCCAUAUCGAAUGACUCCUAUUGAACUUCAAGAGUUAAAGGUCCAACUACAGGAGUUAUUGGACAUCGGUGUCAUUCGUCCUAGUACAUCUCCUUAGGGUGCUCCUGUUUUAUUUGUAAAGAAGAAAGACGAGAGCAUGCGACUUUGUAUUGACUACCGGGAAUUGAACCAUGUCACCAUCAAGAAUAGGUAUCCGCUACCUCGCAUGGAUGACCUAUUUGACCAGUUGCAAGGAGCACAAUUCUUUUCAAAGAUCGAUCUUCAUUCUGGAUAUUAUCAAUUGAAGAUUAGAACUGAGGAUAUUCCGAAGACUGCCUUUAGAACUCGGUACGGGCAUUAUGAAUUUUUAGUCAUGUCUUUUGGAUUGAUUAAUGCUCCUGCGACUUUCAUGGAUAUGAUGAACCAAGUAUUCAAGGAAUAUUUGGAUCAGUUUGUUAUUGUCUGUAUUGAUGACAUCCUCAUAUAUUCCAAAAGUCGUGAAGAUCAUGAGCACCAUUUGAAGCUGGUACUCCAAAGGCUUCGUGAAAACAAGCUAUAUGCCAAGUUGAAGAAAUGUGAGUUCUGGCUUGAGGAAGUAGCAUUCCUUGGGCACGUUGUGAUGCCCCUAAAAUAGGUAUACAACACCCAUUCUAAGUCCCUAACUACAUGGUACAAAAAGCAAACUACAACUUCAAUAAUAUAAUUGUCGUGCAAAAUACGACAACACAUACUGUGAGUUUAAAUACAAAUAUUGUCUUCUAGACAAUAUCAACACUCAAAUAAGUCCUCAUUACAAUUAUUCAUACACUAUUUUACAAAAAUAGUGAGGACUGCUAAAACAUCUUUCUAGAACCAUCACUCCAUACCCCAACUAGAUCCUGCUAUGUUCUCACCUCCUGAGAAGAAAAAUGGAACAAAAAGGAAAAGGGUGAGCUCAACUAGCCCAGUAAAGAAUAUUAUGACUAAGAUAAUAUACAACAAAUUAUCAUUAGUCUUCAACAGGGAAAAAUCUGAUAGAAUAUAAUAGACAACAAGUUUUAGAUCAACAAAUGCAGCGGAAACAACAAUCCAUUAGAAGAGUCACGUAGAGAAUGAAUUCUACUAUCUUUUAAGAUUUAAAAGUUCAUCAUCAAUAUUUUUAUCCCUAUAACAUUAAUCAAUAUAUAUCUUUAAUCAAAUAUUCAUCUUUGCACUACAGGUCAAAAAUAUUCAUUAGUUAAUCAUUCAUCUUUGCACUACAGGCCAAAGAUAUUUAUUUAUAUCAACAGUCGGUCAUGUUCAUCUCAACACCUGCUCAUCUUUGCACUACGGGCCAAAGAUAUUCAAUAAUAUCAUCAUUUAAGGACUGAGGAUGAUGAAAAAUAUUUUAAAGAAAACGAAUCCAGUGAGACAGAAGGACAAAUAUUAGGGAUUUGUAUAACAGUUUAUCCAAGAUCAAUAAUACUCCAUAAUAACCAAUUGUGAAGCAGAAUUCAAAAAUAAAGAUCAAAACAUGGAUAUAAUCAAAGAUAGUAACCAUAAUAGACAUCUUGGAUAAAAAGGAAAAUUUUCAUUUUUUGGUGAAUAGUGUCAUAUUCGUGAAUAGUUCCGUAUACGUGAAUAGUAACCCCGACACAAAAAAGUUCCAAAUUUGAUUAAAAAGUUCAAACCAAUAUUUCGGUAUAAUGAUAUUGAAGAAAAUAAUAUCAUUUCGAAAGAAAAUAACAUCCCUUACCUCAAAAUAACCGUACUUCUGACUGAAUUUCGGAUAUAGUGCUGACAGAAACUUGCACCGUAUAGCAACACUCAAAGUAUCAAAAUACUCACAAGAAUACGCUCGAUAAUAUAGAGAGAGAAAGAGAGAAAACUUAUUUCUGGUGUGAUUUCCAAUUCUAACUUAGCCCUCUAUUUAUAGAAAAAUGCUAGAAUGUCAAAGGAGACUAAAUUAAUAAAAUAUUAAUAAUUCUUAUCUUUUCUCUACACAUGCUAGGCUGGACAAUCAGCCAUCUUUGAACAAAAUUAGCAGCCCAUGUGCAUUCAACACCAACCAAAAAGUGGGUCCCACCCAUAAUUUAAUAAAAAUCAUUUUAUUUUCCGAAACUUCAGUAAUUAAAAGAAAAUAGCCCGUUUAUCAGAAAAAUAUGAAUUUUAUGUCCAUUCCACACGAAAUUAAAUUCUCUACAACUUUGUAGCUUUGAGUUUCUCCAAAUUCCAAACCGAAAAUAUCUAAAAUCCACAAACGGAUGAUUUUUAAUACCUCCAUUCCGACAAAAAUACUGAUAAAACACCUCAGCAUUAAUUCCUUCAUUUAUAACCAUAUAAAAUAAAUAAAUCCAUCAUUUAUAUCCACAUCAAAUAAAUAUUUCUUUAUCAUAUAAAUCAAUAAUUAAUUAUUCACAAAUAAUAUUACAGAAUCACAAUUAUGACAACCAGACCGUUCCCAGAAAAGAGAGAGAUUUCCAAUAAAAAUUUCUCCUUACUGACGCGCAAUUAGGUGACCAAACCUCUCCUUGACAGAACUUUCUAGACAUUUCCAAUAAUGCUAUCUAUUAAUAUUAUUCAAAUAAUAUGAAUUAUUGAUCUGAUCAUGGGAAAUACUGUGUAGUGAUAAUUAUUGAAACAACAAUAAUAUUAAAUAUCAACGCAGUAAUUAUUGAAUCAAUAAAAUAAAAUAUUGAACAGUAACUACUGUAACAAUUAUUGAGUAAUGCCUUCUUACGUACAAAUAAAUAAUUCAACAAUACUGUGCAAUACCGUGUGCUACUAUGCAACCACGCGUAUUACUAUAUUUUAACCACCAGGUAAUCCAAUAGUGUUAACGGUAACAAUUACGUCGUUAUUUAUAAAAACUCAUACUUUGUCGUUUUCUUCAUCCGACAGUUAUUCUGUUAUGAGCCCCACGAAUGGCUGCGCCGUCGUACGAAUAUUCCCCGACAAAAAGAAUAUUCCACGACCAAAAGAAUAUUCUCCGACAAAAAUGAAUAUUUUAUAACCACUUACUUAUUUUGUAAAAUUUGCACAUUUCACCCAUAACCAAAGCAUUAUAUCAAAUUAACACCUUAUUAAUUUAAAAUAAUCAAUAGAGAAAAUUCAAUUUUAUUUAUAAUAAGUUGGGGUCUUACAACCUCCCCUCCUUAUAAAAUUUCGUCCUCGAAAUUGACGUACGUACCUGGUGUUUCGAAUAGGUGAGGGUACCUCGCUUUCAUUUCCGAUUCCAACUCCUAGGUCAUUUCCUCAAUAUCAUGGUUCCUCCACAAAACCUUAACUUGUGGUAUAACCUUGGUGCGUAGGACAUGUUCUUUUCUAUCCAAGAUCCUAACAGGUACCUCCUCGUACGUUAAAUCUUCAACUAUCUCGUUUGGUUCUAACUCAAUAAUAUGGUUCGGGUCUUUCACAUAUUUACGAAGCAUAGAUAUGUGGAAAAUAUUGUGAACACGAGACAUACUUAGAGGUAAUGCGAGUCUAUAGGCUACAUUUCCUAUUCGGUUAAGAAUCUCAAAUGGACCAACAAAUCGUGGAUUGAGCUUUCCUCUCUUCCCAAAUCUUAUAACUCCCUUCCAUGGAGCAAUACGUAAUUGUACAUGAUCUCCAAUAUUAAAUUCCACGUCCUUUCGAUGAAGAUCAGCAUAACUCUUUUGUCGAUCUUGUGAGGUUUGAAUACGUUGUUGAAUCAUUUGGAUCUUUUCUGUAGUCAUGCGUACUAAUUCUGGUCCCAACAACGUUGCUUCUCCCACCUCGUCCCAACAUACUGGAAAACAACACUUUCGUCCAUACAGCGCCUCAAAUGGAUCCAUGCCUAUACUUGCUUGAUAACUAUUAUUGUAGGAGAAUUCCACCAGUGGUAAAUACUUAUCCCAACUCCCUUUGAAGUCUAGAACACAGAGUCUUAAUAAAUAUUCAAGAGUUUGAAUAGUCCUCUCUGAUUGUCCGUCCGUUUGAGGAUGGUAUGCUGAACUGAAUCGUAAAUCCGUGCCCAUAGCUUUCUGCAAGCUAACCCAAAAUCAUGAAGUAAUCUUGGGUCACGAUCCGAAACUAUGGAUACUGGCAUGCCAUGCAAUCUCAUAAUCUCAUCCACGUACAUACGAGCAAGACGUUCAAGGGAAUAAGUCUCAUGUAUCGGCAACAAAUGAGCAGACUUGGUUAAUCUAUCAAUAAUAACCCAAAUCGCAUCUAUGCCUUGAGAAACUUUGGGAAGACCUGUAACAAAAUCCAUAGUAAUGUGUUCCCACUUCCAUUUCGGAAUCUCAAGUGGUUUUAAUGGACCUUUUGGCACUUGAUGCUCCGCCUAUACUCGUUAACAAGUUAAACACCUCGAGAUAAACUCCGCGAACUCUCUCUUCAUAUUGUUCCACCAAAAUGUGUGUCGAAUAUCAUGAUACAUUUUGGUAUUCUCAGGAUAGAUUACAAACGGGGUGUUGUGUGCCUCCAUCAUGAUUCUAUGCUUCAAGUCAGGAUCAUUAGGAACACAAAGUCUAGAGUUGACUCGAAGUAUUCCUUCUUCAUCGAUUCUUGCUUCUGGAAUAGCACCUUCUUGCACUUUCUUCUUCAUACGCAUCAGCCCCCAGGUCCGUAGCUUGAGUAGUUUUAACUUUAUCGAUUAAAGUCGAUUCUACUCGUAUAUUCACCAUCAUCAUGUGGGUCCCUGGAGUCUUUAACUCAACCUCCAUCCUUUUUAAAUCGUACAAAAUGAGUCUUUGUGUUAACAACAUUGCACUCGUACCUGCAUACGAUCUUCUACUCAAUGCGUCAGCUACUAUGUUUGCUUUUCCAGGAUGAUAUUGAAUAGUGUGAUCGUAAUCUUUCAAUAGCUCAAGCCAAUGUCGUUGCCGCAUGUUGAGUUCUUUUUGGGUGAAGAAAUAUUUGAGGCUUUUAUGAUCCAUAUAAAUCUCCACUUUCUCCCCAUACAGGUAGUGUCUCCAGAUUUUCAACGCAAAAACGACUGCUGCCAACUCCAGAUCAUGAGUAGGAUAAUUCCUCUCAUAUUCUUUAAGUUGUCGUGAGGCAUAGGCUAUGACUUUCCCAUGUUGCAUGAGAACACAUCCUAACCCUUUGUCUGAAGCAUCGCUGUAGAUAACAAAUCCAUCCGAACCAUAUGGUAUUGCCAGAACAGGUGCCGGAAUGAGUCUCCUCUUAAGCUCUUGGAAACUCUUCUUGUAUUCCUCGCUCCAUACGAAUUUUAUAUCUUUUCGAGUCAGCUGAGUUAACGGAGUAGCGAUUCGAGAAAAUCUUUCCACGAAUCUCUGAUAAUAACCAGCUAAGCCCAGAAAGCUACGUACUUAAGUCAUCGACUUCGGUUGCUCCCAACUUUGUAUUGUUUCAAUCUUCGCCGGAUCAACAGAUACUCCAUGUUUUGACACCACGUGCCCAAGGAAUGCUACUUCCUCAAGCCAGAACUCACAUUUCUUCAGCUUGGCAUAAAGUUUGUUUUCACGAAGUCUUUCAAGUAUCAGCUUCAAAUGGUGUUCAUGAUCUUCACGGCUUUUGGAAUAGAUGAGGAUGUCAUCAAUAAAGACAACAACGAACUGAUCCAAAUAUUCCUUGAAUACUCGGUUCAUCAUAUCCAUGAAAGUAGUAGGAGCAUUAGUCAAUCCAAAAGACAUGACUAAGAAUUCAUAAUGCCCGUACCAAGUUCUGAAUGCAGUCUUUGGAAUAUCCUCAAUUUUAAUCUUCAGCUGAUGAUAUCCAGAACGAAGGUAGAUCUUUGAAAAGAAUUGUGCUCCUUGUAACAGGUCAAACAUGUCAUCAAUGCGAGGUAGCGGAUACCUAUUCUUGAUGGUGACAUGGUUCAAUUCUCGGUAGUCAAUACAAAGUCGCAUACUCCCAUCUUUCUUCUUUACGAAUAAAAUAGGAGCACCCCAAGGAGAUGUACUAGGAUGAAUGAAACCGAUGUCUAAUAACUCAUGUAGUUGGACUUUUAACUCCUGAAGUUCAAUAGGAGCCAUUCGAUAUGGGGUUUUAAAAAUAGGCUUUGUACCCAGUUCAAGGUCAAUAAAGAAUUAAACAUCACGUUUUGGGGGUAGACCAGGAAGUUCUUUAGGAAAUACAUCAGGAAAUUCUCUAACUACAGAAAUAUUAUCCAAAUCUGACUUGUCUUUAUUUAAAUCCAUAACAUGGGCUAAGAAAGCUUGACAUCCGUUUUUCAAUAAACGAAUAGCUUUGUGGCUUGAUAUGACAGUGACUGAUUUUAGUGGUUUAGUUGUUUGAAUUCGCAUAACAGGUUGGUUAGGAAUAUGAAAACUAACAACCUUACGAAAAUAAUCAAUUUUGGCAUGAUAAGUGGUUAACCAAUCAAUUCCUAAAAUCACAUAAAAAACAAGUAUCUUUAAAGAGAUAAGAUCAACAGGUAAUGUGAUAGUGCCAACUUGGAUCAAGCAAGAUUUAUAAACUGUAGAUUUAUCGAAGGUUUCACCCAAUGGAGUUUCAACAGAUAAGUUAAAGUCCAAUUUCUCCGGAGUCAAGUUUAAACGUUGAGCACAAGCAGGAGAAAUAAAAGAAUGGGUAGAACCAGUAUCUAGUAAGGUAUAAACUUCACAAGAAUUCAAGAUUAGCUUAUCCGUGAUCACCUCAUUCGGGUUCCUCACGUUUUGGCCAGUCACGACAAACGCUCUUCCAGGAACCGCUAAUUUCUACUUAUCCGGGACAGCCCUUGGAGUCACCAUCCCCGCUGAACUUGGUUUUGCUACAGAACAAUCCCGAGCUACGUGACCUUCCUUUCCACAGUUAUAACAUACCUUGGAUUUUUGUGGAAAAUUUGGGCAGAUAUGUCCCUCUUUCCCGCAUUUGUAACAUCUAACUGGCGGUCGUUCUCCUCCCCUAGAAUUUGUUGUUGGUGCUGGUGCUGCUGCUGAUGUCUUCCCAUCAUUGUUGAAUCUCCUCUUUCUGAAAUUUCCACUUGACUCACCUCUCCUAUUAUCAUGGCCACGAUUACCACCCGAGUGGUUACCGCCUUUGUCCGUAUUUUUCCCUCCUCGCUGGUUAUCAUCGCUCUGAUGACUGUUGUCACCGAUAUGACCCUGGUUGUGGUCCCUCAGUUGAGUAUACUCAUUAUCUCAUUCUAAUAAUUGUGCCCUGUUGACAACAUCUGAAUACAGAGAAAAUUUAUGAGAGAUAAGGUAUUGACGAAUCUUGGGUUUUAGACCUCUCAAAAACAUCCGCGUCAUACGUUCCUCAUUCUCUACCAAAUGAGGUGCAAACCUGGAUAACUCCGCGAACUUCGCCUCGUACCGAGACACCGUCAUGUUGUUCUGUUCCAGUCUAAUAAACUCUACCUCCUUCAUAUGAUGAAUACUUUCAGGAAAGUACUUGUCAUUGAACAGUUUCUGAAAUCUUUCCCAAGACAUGUUGAGUACGGCUGGCUGGGUACGCUUCACAGAUUCCCACUAGUAAUCUGCCUCUCCAUAGAACAUAAAGGUGGCGAAUGGAACCUUCUGUUCCUCUGUGCAUCCCAAGACAUCGAAUAUCGAAUAUCUUGGUAAUUUGCUUAACCCAUGUUUCCGCCUUAAUCGGAUCGGGCUUUCCCCAGAAAUCUAGUGGUCCCAACUCCUUGAACUGCUUGGUUGUGACAGACCGCGCGUUGCCAUCAUUUCCACUCGUAUUUUGUACACGAGUCUCCCUCGUUUGAUUUUGCAUAAACUACAAAAAGCUCCUAAACAUUCCAUCGUUCAUCGUUUGCUCGGUAGUGUUGUUUACAGAAGGAAUAUUGCCAUCCUAUUGCACGUUCUCCUGGUUUGUGACUAAAGGUUGUUUCACAGUCUUAUACACUCCAUUGUUAACGUUCUCAGCAGCCAUUCUUAAAUACUGCCAUAAAAUAAGGGUUAAUUAAAAAAAUUAACAUAACACAUAAUAUCCUAUAAUAGGACCAACCAACAAAUAAGCUUAGUUAGGAUAUACUAGCGAAGGAUUUACUCAUCUCUCCCCUCCUAGUUCUAUUCCCCGAUCUCCGCCAGAGACCAUAUCCAUAAGCUCUGAUACCAACUGUGACGCCACCAAAAUAGGUAUAAAACACCCAUUCUGAGUCGCCAAAUACAUGAUACAGAAAGCAAACUACAACUUCAAUAAUAUAAUUGUCGUGCAAAAUACGACAACACAUACUGUGAGUUUAAAUACAAAUAUUGUCUUCUAGACAAUAUCAACACUCAAAUAAGUCCUCAUUACAAUUAUUCAUACACUAUUUUACAGAAAUAGUGAGGACUGCUAAAACAUCUUUCUAGAACCAUNNNNNNNNNNNNNNNNNNNNNNNNNNNNNNNNNNNNNNNNNNNNNNNNNNNNNNNNNNNNNNNNNNNNNNNNNNNNNNNNNNNNNNNNNNNNNNNNNNNNNNNNNNNNNNNNNNNNNNNNNNNNNNNNNNNNNNNNNNNNNNNNNNNNNNNNNNNNNNNNNNNNNNNNNNNNNNNNNNNNNNNNNNNNNNNNNNNNNNNNNNNNNNNNNNNNNNNNNNNNNNNNNNNNNNNNNNNNNNNNNNNNNNNNNNNNNNNNNNNNNNNNNNNNNNNNNNNNNNNNNNNNNNNNNNNNNNNNNNNNNNNNNNNNNNNNNNNNNNNNNNNNNNNNNNNNNNNNNNNNNNNNNNNNNNNNNNNNNNNNNNNNNNNNNNNNNNNNNNNNNNNNNNNNNNNNNNNNNNNNNNNNNNNNNNNNNNNNNNNNNNNNNNNNNNNNNNNNNNNNNNNNNNNNNNNNNNNNNNNNNNNNNNNNNNNNNNNNNNNNNNNNNNNNNNNNNNNNNNNNNNNNNNNNNNNNNNNNNNNNNNNNNNNNNNNNNNNNNNNNNNNNNNNNNNNNNNNNNNNNNNNNNNNNNNNNNNNNNNNNNNNNNNNNNNNNNNNNNNNNNNNNNNNNNNNNNNNNNNNNNNNNNNNNNNNNNNNNNNGCUCGAUAAUAUAGAGAGAGAAAGAGAGAAAACUUGUUUCUGGUGUGAUUUUCAAUUCUAACUUAGCCCUCUAUUUAUAGAAAAAUGCUAGAACGCCAAAGGAGACUAAAUUAAUAAAAUAUUAAUAAUUCUUAUCUUUUCUCUAUGCAUGCUAGGUUGGACAAUCAGCCAUCUUUGAACAAAAUUAGCAGCCCAUGUGCAUUCAACACCAACCAAAAAGUGGGUCCCACCCAUAAUUUAAUAAAAAUUAUUUUAUUUUUUGAAACUUUAGUAAUUCAUAGAAAAUAGCCCGUUUAUCAGAAAAAUACGAAUUUUAUGUCCAUUCCACACGAAAUCAAAUUCUCUACAACUUUGUAGCUUUGAGUUUCUCCAAAUUCCAAACCAAAAAUAUCCGAAAUCCACAAACGGAUGAUUUUUAAUACCUCCAUUCAGACAAAAAUACUGAUAAAAUACCUCAGCAUUAAUUCCUUCAUUUAUAACCAUAUAAAAUAAAUAAAUCCAUCAUUUAUAUCCACAUCAAAUAAAUAUUUUUUGAUCAUAUAAAUCAAUAAGUAAUUAUUCAUAAAUAAUAUUACAAAAUCACAAUUAUGACAACCAGGCCGUUCCCAGGAAAGAGGGGGCUUUCCAAUAAGGAUUUCUCCUUACUGGCGCGCAAUUAGGUGACCAAACCUCCCCUUGAUAGAAUUUUCUAGACAUUGCCAAUAAUGUUAUCUAAUAAUAUUAUUCAAAUAAUAUGAAUUAUUGAUCUGAUAAUGGGAAAUACUGUGCAGUGAUAAUUAUUGAAAAAACAAUAAUAUUAAAUAUCAACGCAGUAAUUAUUGAAUCAAUAAAAUAAAAUAUUGAACAGUAACUACUGUAACAAUUAUUGAGUAAUGCCUUCUUACAUACGAAUCAAUAAUUCAACAAUACUGUGCAAUACCGUGUGCUACUGUGCAACCAUGCGUAUUACUGUAUUUUAACCACCAGGUAAUCCAACAGUGUAAACGGUAACAAUUACGCCGUUAUUUAUAAAAACUCAUACUUUGUCGUUUUCUUCAUCCAACAGUUAUUCUGUUAUGAGCCCCACGAAUGGUUGCGUCGUCAUACGAAUAUUCCCCGACAAAAAGAAUAUUCCAUGACCAAAAGAAUAAUUCCCGAUAAAAAUGAAUAUUUUAUAACCACUUACUUAUUUUGUAAAAUUUGUACAUUUCACCCAUAACCAAAGCAUUAUAUCAAAUUAACACCUUAUUAAUUUAGAAUAAUGAAUAGAUAAAAUUCAAUUUUAUUUGUUAAUAAGUUGGGGUCUUACACACGUGGUAUCAAAACAUGGAGUAUUUGUUGACCCGACAAAUUUUGAAGCAAUACAAAGUUAGGAGCAACCAAAGUCGGUGACCGAAGUACGUAGCUUUCUGGGCUUAGCUGGUUAUUAUCGGAGAUUCGUGGAAGGAUUUUCUCGAAUCGCUACUCCGUUAACUCAGCUGACUCGAAAGGAUACAAAAUUCGUAUGGAGCGAGGAAUGCGAGAAGAGUUUUCAAGAACUCAAGAGGAGACUCAUUUCUGCACCUGUUCUGACAAUACCGUCUGGUUCGGAUGGAUUUGUUAUCUACAGCGAUGCUUCAGGCAAAGGGUUAGGAUGUGUCCUCAUGCAACAUGGGAAAGUCAUAGCCUAUGCCUCGCGACAACUUAAAGAAUAUGAGAGGAAUUAUCCUACUCAUGAUCUAGAGUUGGCAACAGUCGUUUUUGAGCUAAAGAUCUGGAGGCACUAUCUAUAUGGGGAAAAAGUGGAGAUAUAUUUAGACCAUAAAAGCCUCAAAUAUUUCUUCACCCAAAAGAAACUCAACAUGCAGCAAUGACGUUGGCUCGAACUGUUGAAAGAUUACGACCACAUCAUUCAAUACCAUCCUGGAAAAGCGAAUGUGGUAGCUGACGCGUUGAGUAGAAGAUCAUAUGCGGGAACGAGUGCGAUGUUGUCAACACAAAGGCACAUUUUGUGUGAUUUACAAAAGAUGAAGAUAGAAUUCAAGACUCCGGGGACCCAUGCGAUGAUGUCAAGUAUACGCAUAGAACCAACUUUAAUCGAUAAAGUUAAAGUUGCUCGAGCCACAGACCCGGAGCUUAUGCGUAUGAAGAAGAAAGUACAAGAAGGUGUUAUCCCAGAAGCAAGAAUCGAUGAAGAAGGAAUACUUCGAGUCAACUCCAGACUUUGUGUUCUUAACGACUCUGAUUUGAAGUAUAAGAUCAUGAUGGAGGCAUACAAUACACCGUUUACAAUCCAUCCUGGAAGUACCAAAAUGUAUCGUGAUCUUAGACAUACAUUUUGGUGGAACAAUAUGAAGAGAGAGAUCGUGAAGUUUGUCUCGAGGUGUUUAACUUGUCAACGUGUAAAGGCUGAGCAUCAAGUGCCUAAGGGUCCAUUACAACCACUUAAGAUUCUGAAAUGGAAGUGGGAACACAUUACCAUGGAUUUCGUUAUGAGUCUUCCCACGGUUUCUCAAGGCAUAGAUGUGAUUUGGGUUAUUGUUGAUAGAUUAACUAAGUCUGCUCAUUUCUUGCCGAUACAGGAGACUUAUUCCCUUGAACGUCUUGCACGUAUAUAAGUAAAUGAGAUUAUGAGAUUGCAUGGCAUGCCAGUAUCCAUAGUUUCGGAUCAUGACCCAAGAUUUACUUCACAAUUUUGGGUUAGCCUGCAGAAAGCUAAGGGCACGGAUUUACGAUUCAGUUCGGCAUACCAUCCUCAAACGGACGGACAAUCAAAGAAGACUAUUCAAACUCUUGAAGAUCUAUUAAGACUCUGUGUCCUAGACUUCAAAGGGAGUUGGGAUAAGUAUUUACCAUUGGUGGAAUUCUCCUACAACAACAGUUAUCAGGCAAGUAUAGGUGUUGCUCCAUUCGAAGCCUUGUAUGGACGAAAGUGUCGCUCUCUAGUAUAUUGGGAUGAGGUGGGUGAAGCAACAUUGUUGGGACCAGAGUUGGUACGUAUUACUAUAGAAAAGAUCCAAAUAAUUCGACAACGUAUACAAAUGGCACAUGAUCGACAAAAGAGUUAUGCGGAUCUUCAUUGAAAGGAUAUGGAAUUUAGUAUUAGGGAUCAUGUAUUGUUGUGUGUUGCUCCAUGGAAGGGAGUUACAAGAUUUGGAAAAAGAGGGAAGCUCAAUCCAUGAUUUAUUGGUCCAUUUCAGAUUCUUGACCGAGUAGAAAAUGUUGCCUAUAGACUCGCGUUACCUCCAAGUAUGUCUCGUAUUCAUAAUGUUUUUCACAUAUCUGUGCUUCGUAAAUAUGUGAAAGACCUGAACUACGUUAUUGAGUUAGAACCAGACGAAAUAGCUGAAGAUUUAACGUAUGAGGAGGUACCUGUCAAGAUCUUGGAUAGGAAGGAGCAUGUCCUACGCACAAAGGUUAUACCACAAGUCAAAGUUUUGUGGAGGAACCAUGCUAUUGAGGAAAUGACAUGGGAGUUGGAAAUGGAAAUGAAAGCGAGGCAUCCUCACCUUUUUGAAAUACCAGGUACGUACGUCAAUUUCGAGGAUGAAAUUUCAUAAGGAGGGGAGGUUGUAAGACCCCAACUUAUGUGGGCCCCAUAACGAAAAGCGAUUGGAUGAAGAAAACGACAAGUAUAAGUUUUUAUAAAUAACGGCGUAGUUAUUACCGUUAACACUGUUGGAAUACCCGAUGGUUAAAACACAGUAAUACGCGGUGGUUAAAACACAGUAAUACGCGGUGUUGCACAGUAGCACAUGACAUUGCACCAAUUAUUGAUUGUUACGUAAGAAGGCACUACUCAAUAAUUGUUACAGUAAUUAUUGUUCAAUAUUUUAUUGAUUCAAUAAUUGCUACGUUGAUAUUUUAUAUUAUUGUUGUUUUAAUAAUUGUCACUGCACAGUAUUUUCUAUUAUCAUAUCAAUAAUUCAUAUUAUUUGAAUAAUAUUAUUAGAUAGCAUUAUUGGCAAUGUCUAAGGAAGUUCUGUCUAAGGAGAGGUUUGGUCACCUAAUUGCGCGCCAGUAAGGAGAAAUCCUUAUUGGAAAGCCUCAUCUUUCCUGGGAACGACCUAGUUGUCAUUAUUGUGAUUCUGUAAUAUUAUUUGUGAAUAAUUAAUUACUGAUUUAUAUGAUAAGGAAAAUAUUUAUUUAUGUGGAUAUAAAUGGAGGAAUUUUUAGAAAAGUGACAAUUGUUUAAAAUUGAUAUUUUAUCUUUUUUGAUAAAAUAAAUUAUUUAAAUAUAUUAUUAUAUUAUAAUAAUAUAAUAAUGGUGAUAUUUUUACAUUGAAUGUGUGAUUUAUGAAUAAAUGAGGAGGAAGAGUAUUUUUGUUACAAUAAAUGUUAAAAACAUGUUAAACAUGUUGGUGGGCCCCAUUUCUUGACUGAAAUUUGAUUAUAGCCUGCAAAAUCGCCCGUAUAUGGAUUUCGGUUAAUUUCUGCUUAGAAUUUAGAAAAACUUAAACUUACAAAGUUGUAGAGAAUUGAAUUUCCUAUGGUAUGGACAUAAGAUUCAAAUUUUUCUAAUAAAAGGGCUAUUUGUUAUGAAUUAUUAAAGUUCCGGAAUAAUUGAUUUUUGAAGUUUUAAAUAUUUUUUAAAAGAAAAAUGUUUUAUUCAUUUUGGUGGGCCCCACAUGUGUGGUAAAUGAGAUGAAUUAAGUUUUCUUUCGUGUGCGUAGGAAAAAUUUAAGAAAUAUUAUUAGUUUAUUAAAUUUUUUGCUUUGGUGUUCUAAGCAAUUUCCUAUAAAUAGAGUGCUUAGGUUAGAAUUAAAAAUCACACCAGAAACUAAAGUUUUCUCUCUAUAUAUAUAUAUUAUCGAGCGUAUUUUGUGAGUAUUUUGAUACUUUGAGUGUUGCUAUACGGUGGAAGUUCCUUCAGCACUAUAUCCAGUAUUCCAGUCAGAAGUACUGUCCUUUUGAGGUAAGGAAUGUUAAUUUUUUUUUACAAAUGAUAUUAUUUCUUUCAAUAUCAUUAUGCUGGAAUAUUGGUAAAAAUUUUCUUGUAAAAUUCUUGUCUUUUUGUGUCGAGGUUACUAUUCACGUAUACGGCACUAUUCACGUAUACAGUACUAUUCACAAAAAAAUUAAAAUUUUCUUUUCUUUGUCCAAGUUGUUUAUUAUGAGUACUAGCUUUGAUUGUAUCCAUGUUUUGAACUUCAUUCUUGAAUUUUUCUCCACAAUGGUUUAUUAUGGAGUAUUUUUGAACUUGGAUAAAUUAAAGUACGAAUCCUUAAUAUUUGUUCUUUUGUCUCACUGGAUUCAUUUUUUUUUAAAUAUUUUUCAUCAUCCUCAAUCCUAAAUGAUGAUAUUACUGAAUAUCUUUGGCCUGUAGUGCAAAGAUGAAUGAUUUCCUGAUGAAUAUCUUUGGCCCGUAGUGCAAAGAUGAACAAGUGUUGAGAUGAACAUGACCAACUGAUGAAUAUUUUUGGCUUGUAGUCCAAAGAUGAAUAUUUGAUUCAAAAUGUAUAUUGAUUGAUGUUACAGGGAUAAAAUAUUGAUGAUGGACUUUUAAAUCAUAGAAGAUAGUAGAUUUCAUUCUCUACUUAAUUCUUCUAAUGAAUUGUUAUUUCUGUUGUGAAUAUUGAUCUGAAACUUGUUUAUUAUAUUCUAUCAGAUUAUUCCCUGUUGAGGACUAAUGAUAAUUUGUUCUAUAUUAUCUUAGUCAUAAUAUUCUUUACUGGACUAGUUGAGCUCACCCUUUUCCUUUUUGUUCCAUUUUUCUUCUCAGGAGGCGAGAAUGUAGCGAGUACUAGUCGGGGUAUGGAAUAAUGGUUCUAGAAAGUUGUUUUAGUAGUCCUCACUAUUUUUGUAAAAUAAUGUAUCAAUAAUUAUAAUGAGAACUUAAUUGAGUGUGGAUAUUUUCUAUAAGACAAUGUUUGUAUUUAAACUCACAGUUUAUGUGUUGUCGUAUCUUGCACGACAAUUGUAUUAAUAAAGUUGUAGUUGUUUCUGUACCAUGUAUUUGGCGACUCAGAAUGGGUGAUGUAUACCUAUUUUGGGGGCGUCACAAAUAUAUAGCUGAGUUGUAAUUGUAUUUAGGAUCAGUGAAUAAUAAUGUGAUAUUUUCCUUCUCUCUCUACAGUUUUAUCUCCUUAUUCUCUUCUCUCUCUCAACUCAAUUUUCUGUUUCUCCUCUCCUGAAUUCCCGUGAUAAUUUCAGUUAUGUUUCUCCAAUUCAUUACAGAAUCAAUGUAAGACCCCAAUUUUUUUUUAAAUAAAAUCGAAUUGCCUCUAAUUAUUAUUGUGAAUAAUAAGAAGUUAAUUGCAAGUGGUUAUAAAAUAUUCAUUGUUGUCGGGGAAUAUUCGCUUAGUCGUGGAAUAUUCUUGUUGUUGGAGAAUAUUAGUACGACGGCGCAGCCAUUCGUGGGCCUCAUAACAGAAUAACUGUCGGAUGAAGAAAAUGACAAAGUAUGAGUUUUUAUAAAUAACGGCGUAAUUGUUACCGUUAACACUGUUGGAAUACUUGGUGAUUAAAAUACAGUAAUUCGCAAGGUUGUACAGUAGCACAUGGUAUUGCAUAGUAUUGUUGAAUUAUUGAUUCGUACGUAAGAAGGCACUACUCAAUAAUUGUUACAGUAGUUACUGUUCUAUAUUUUAUUUUAUUAAUUCAAUAAUUGUUGCGUUGUAAGUUUAUAUUAUUGUUGUUUCAAUAAUUGUCACUGCACAGUAUUUUCCAUUAUCAGAUCAAUAAUUCAUAUUAUUUGAAUAAUAUUAUUAGAUAGCAAUAUUGGCAAUGUCUAGAAAGUUCUGUCAAGGAGAGGUUUGGUCACCUAAUUGCGCGCUAGUAAGGAGAAAUCCUUAUUGGAAAGCCCCCUCUUUCCUGGGAAGUGCCCGGUUGUCAUAAUUGUGAUUCUAUAAUAUUAUUUGUGAAUAAUUAAUUAUUGAUUUAUAUGAUAAUGAAAUAUUUAUUUGAUGCGGAUAUAAAUGAUGGAUUUAUUUAUUUUAUUUGGUUAUAAUUGAAGGAAUUAAUGUUGAGGUGUUUUAUCAGUAUUUUUGUCGGAAUGAAGGUAUUAAAAAUUAAAUCAGUAUUUUUAUGAUAUAUUGCGUGAGUUAUAAUUUUUAAUCCGACCGUUGGAUCGUUGUGAUUUUUGGAUAUGUUAUACAUAUAUAAGUUGAGUAUAUGUCCACAAAUUUUGAACCGUUAAAAAUGAACGUAUGAUUUGUUAUGAAUUUUAAGAGGUGACUGAUUCGGAAAUUAGGUUUAAAAAUGAUUUUGGUGGAAAAUUCUAGAAUUGAGUGGGCCCUACUUGUGGUUGGUGAAUAAAUGUGCUGAAUUUUAUUUCAAAUAUGGUGGGUGGCAAUAGUAGUAGGUAAAUCAAUCAGGUAGCAGGUCACGUCUGCUUCGGCGUGCUAACAUUUUUCUAUAAAUAUAGGGCUAAGUUAGAAUUGAAAAUCACACCAAAAACAUAAGCUUUCUCUCUUUCUCUCUCUAUAUUAUCGAGCGUAUUUUGUGAGUAUUUAGAUACUUUGAGAGUUGCUGUUCAGUACAAGUUUUAUUCAGCAUCACUUCUGACCUUUCAUUCCGAAGUACUGUUUCUUUGAGGUAAGGGAUGUUAUUUUCUUCUUAAAUGAUAUUAUUUUCUUCAAUAUCAUUAUGCCGAAAUAUCGGUUUGAAAUUUUUAAUCAAAUUUGGAACUUUUUGUGUUGGGGUUACUAUUCACGUAUACGGCACUAUUCACGUAUACGACACUAUUCACAAAUAUGGCACUCUUCACCGAAAAAUGAAAUUUUUUCUUUUUGUCCAAGAUGUCUAUUAUGGUUACUAUCUUUGAUUGUAUCCAUGUUUUCAUCUUUAUUUUUGAAUUCUGCUUCAAAAUUGGUUAUUAUGAAGUAUUAGUGAUCUUGGAUAAACUGUAACACGAAUCCCUAAUAUUUGUCCUUCUGUCUCACUUGAUUCGUUCUCUAAAAUGUUUUUCAUCAUCCUCAGUCCUUAAUGAUGAUAUUAUUGAAUAUCUUUGGCCUGUAGUGCAAAGAUGAAUGAUUAACUGAUGAAUAUCUUUGGCCCGUAGUGCAAAGAUGAACAGGUGUUGAGAUGAACAUGACCAACUGGUGAUACAAAUGAAUAUCUUUGGCCUGUAGUGCAAAGAUGAAUAUUCGAUUAAAGAUGUAUAUUGAUUGUUGUUACAGGGAUAAAAUAUUGAUGAUGAACUUUUAAAUCUUAGAAGAUAGUAGAACUCAUUCUCUACUUGACUUUUCUAAUGGAUUGCUGUUUCCGCUGCAGUUUUGAUCUAAAACUUGUUGUCUAUUAUGUUUUAUCAGAUUUUUCCCUGUUGAAGACUAAUGAUAAUUUUUUGUAUAUUAUCUUAGUCAUAAUAUUCUUUACUGGGCUAGUUGAGCUCACUCUUUUCCUUUUUGUUCCAUUUUUCUUCUUAGGAGGUGAAAACAUAACAGGAUCGAGUCGGGGUAUGGAGUGAUGGUUCUAGAAAGAUGUUUUAGCACUAUUUCUGUAAAAUAGUGUAUGAAUAAUUGUAAUGAGGACUUAUUUGAGUGUUGAUAUUGUCUAGAAGACAAUAUUUGUAUUUAAAUUCACAGUAUGUGUUGUCGUAUUUUGCACGACAAUUGUAUUAUUGAAGUUGUAGUUUGCUUUCUGUACCAUGUAUUUGGUGACUUAGAAUGGGUGUUGUAUACCUAUUUUGGGGGCGUCACAGUUGGUAUCAGAGCUUAGGGAUAUGGUCUCUAGCGGAGAUCGGGGAAUAGAACUAGGAGGGGAGAGAUGAGUAAAUCCUUCGCUAGUGUGUCCUAUCAAAGCUUAUUUGUUGAUCGGUCAUAAUAUAGGGAUAUUAUGUGAUAUAUUAAUUUGUUUAAUUAACCCUUGUUUUAUGGCAGUAUUUAAGAAUGGCUGCUGAAAACGUUAAUAAUGGAGUGUAUGAGACUGUGGAACAACCUUUAGUCACAAACCAGGAGAACGUGCAACAGUAUGGUAAUAUUACUCCUGUAAACAACGCUACGGAGCAAACGAUGAAUGAUGGAAUGUUUAGGAGGUUUUUGCAGUUCAUGCAAAAUCAGACGAGGGAGACUCGUGUACAAAAUAUGGGUGGAAGUGAUAGCAACGCACGGUCUGUCACAACCAAGCAGUUCAAGGAGUUGGGACCACCAGAUUUCUGGGGAAAGCUCGAUCCGAUUAAGGCAGAAACGUGAGUCAAGCAAAAUACCAAGAUAUUCGAUGUCUUGGGAUGCACGGAGGAACAGAAGGUUCCAUUCGCCACCUUUAUGUUCCGUGGAAAGGCAGAUUACUGGUGGGAAUCUGCGAAGCGUACCCAGCCAGCCGCACUCAACAUGUCUUAGGAAAGAUUUCAGAAACUGUUCAAUGACAAGUACUUUCCUAAAAGUAUUCAUCAUAUAAAGGAGGUAGAGUUUAUUAGACUGGAACAGAACAACAUGACGGUGUCUCGGUACGAGGCGAAGUUCGUAGAGUUAUCCAGGCUUGCACCUCAUUUGGUAGAAAAUGAGGAACGUAUGACGCGGAUGUUUCUGAGAGGUCUAAAACCCGAGAUUUGUCAAUACCUUAUCUCUCAUAAAUUUUCUCUAUAUUUAGAUGUUGUCAACAGGGCUCAAUUAUUAGAACGAGAUAAUGAAUAUACUCAACCAAGGGAUCACAACCAGGGUCAUACCAAUGACUGCAGUCAUCGGAGCGAUGAUAACUAGCGAGGAGGGAAGAAUACGGACAAAAGUGGUAACCACUCGGGUGGUAAUCGUGGCCAUGAUAAUAGAAGAGGUGUGUGACACCCCUAAAAUAGGUCCACACGACCCAUUCUGAGUCGCCAGAUAUCACUCCAUAAAAAUCAAAUACAAAUUUCAUUUAUACAACUGUUGAACUGUCGUGCAGAGUACAACAACAGAUAAGCUGUGAGUUUCAAUACCAAAUCUAUGUAACUCUCAUGGUGCCUCGACCACAACACCUUACAAAGGUAGUUUACAUAAAAGUACAGUCAAUAACUGUUUUAGAAAUUAAAAUCUUUGGGAAAAGCUCAAGGAAGCCUUCAUACAUAGGAGGCCAUGAAUCUAAGUUAUGAUAGAUAUCAUAUGCCCAGAGAAUUUUCCUUGGUUGGUCCAAUAGACCCCAAAGAAAAAUGAGAAGAUUACUAUCAUAUUCCUUCCAAUGAUGAGUCUUCUCUUGACAUAUAAUUAUCUCAGUUAUCUCCAAGUGAGAAUUAUAUCUCAAAUAUACUCCAAGAUCAUAUAGGUAGUGCUUGUAGAUAUACUCAGCAAGUGGAUGUGAACGACCCUGUCUUAUGAUAACAUGAGAUUGUAUGUCAUUAGACAUCUUGUAUGAUAAUGGCAAAACACCCUUCCAAAGUUGGGUUCUCAUCAACCUAUUGUUGUUCACCAAAAUCAAUUAUCAAGUGACGUAUAAAAUACGACACGCACAUCUUAGGUCCUCAAUGCAAAUAUAUAUUGCAUGUCAUGCCGUUUUAUAAUGUAUUGAGAAACUUCAACAGUCUCGGACCAUCUCACUAUUUCCCUGUUAUCCCCGCUCGACCCAGCUACACUCUUAUUACCUGAAAGGAAUUGUGAAGCAAAAGGGUGAGCACAACUAGCCCAGUAAAGAAUAUCAUGACUAAAGAUAAUUAAAUUAUCAAUAGCAUUCAUCAAUAAUAAAUCAAAGAUUUAGAACAUAUGGUAGAUGAUAAAACUUUUCAACCAUAGUUGCAGCGGAACAAGCAAUCCAUUAAAAGAGUCAAAUAGACCAUCAGGUCUAUUAUCUUCUCCAAAUUAAAAGUCCACCAAUAAUGUUUUAUCCCUGUAACAUCAAUCAACAAUUCCUGUCCACAAUCAUAUGAAUAACUCAAUAUCAUAAUUGUGAUUUGAAUUACUUUUCGCACCUAGGACGGAGAUAAUUUUCAUCACCUAUCUUCACCUAAAACAUCAAAAAUCAUGGUUAUAGUAAAUCACAAUUUCUGCUCAUAAUCAUACUAAUAAAUUCAUCUUUACACUACGGCCAAAGAUAUACAACUGUAUAACUAGUAACCAACAGUUCAUCUUUGCACUACAGGCCAAAGAUAUACAACUGUAAAACCAAUAAUGCUGAGACUCAGCUUAAUAGUAUCACGACCAUGAAUUAUCCAUGCACUACAGGCCAAGGAUAUUCGUAUUUUCAAUUACGGUCAUGAUUAUACCGAACAAUCUCUGGUCAUAAUCAUACCAAGUCCAUCUAUGCACUACGGGCCAAAGAUGACUUUUACCACAUCAUUUGUAACAUUACGGUCAUGAUUAUAUCGAAUAAUCCCUGGUCAUAAUCAUACCAAGUCCAUCUAUGCACGUAAGCCACAGAUGACUUUCAACACAAUAUGCAUUAGGAUCAUGACAAUGAUAUAAAGAAUCAAUCAAAUGAGAUAAAGGAUAAAUAUUAAACAUUUAUAAUAUAAUUUAUCCAGGGUUCAAGAAUAUCCCAAUGUUAUCAAUCACUUAAUAAUCUCAUAAUCUAAUAUCAUUAAUAUUAUAACAAUAUUUUAAUCACUUCUUAAACUUAUAAACAAUUUAUUUCAAUUAUUUACACUUUACCACAUAAUGCAUUUAAUCAUUCAAAAAUGCCAUACUCAUAAGAUAUCAUCACCAAUGAUCAAAUCCCUUAUCAAAAAUAUGCAUAUACCCUAUAUAGGAUUCUCAAGCCAUAAAAUCCUAUUUUCUAAUUUUGUUACUUCACAUAACAUAUUUAACUCAUAUGUUCGUAAGUAAACCAUUUUCAUGAAAAAUACCAAAUCAGUUCCAAAAAUAUUUCUUUUCUGGGAUUUAGCAGAAUAUAGUCCCAUAAUUAACAUAUAUUUUUCUCAGAAUUUUUAAAAUUCAUUUACUAUUUUUCAAAAAUCAAUUUCUAAUUAAUUCCUUAAGAAAUUAGCUACCUCAAGUUUAACUCCAAAAAUUCCCAAAUCUUGGCAGAAUCUUACACAUGUUAACGUGAGCUUCUAGUUUAAAUUUCAUGGUCAUCGGAGUUAUAGAACUCUGAUUAUAGCAUUUUUCGUCGAAAAAACCUAAAUAUUGAAAUGGUCAUAACUUGCUCAUUUUAAGAUGGAAUGAGCUCAUUUUUGGACAGGAGGUACUUUAUACCAUAUACUUUCAUGUCCCAAAAGGCCAGAAUUUUUCGCAUAAAUUAAGUGGCCGAAACAGCCCUUUUAAAUUUAUGGGCAGUAGUUUUUUCGUAAAUUGCAGCUUUGGACUCCUUUGCUAAAAUCAGUCCACACGAAAAUCUACAACACCUUUUCUAGUGAUUCCACUUGGAUAAGUUACAAAACUCAUAGACCUAACUCUAGAACUUGACCUCACUCAAAAAUUCAAAAUAUAAUAGGAGAUAUGGUCAAUUGAAUUUCAUGUUCCGUUUUCACCAAAAUCUAAUUUUCAACCCUUUGUGAUUUCUAAGAAACUUUCAUGUUUUCACAUAUUAACCAACAUAACUUAUCAUAACACUUACUAACACUACAUAUACCCAUGGUUUUCAUUAAUCCAUUACUUUUAUUAUGACUUCCUUCAUAAUCAACAUAACCAGAUCAUUUCCACAAUUUAAUAAGGAAUGAAUACAAAGGAUCAUUCACCAUGCAUGUGGUAAUCCACAUAGACAGGUUAUUCCAACAAAUUAAUAAAGAAUGGAAUAACAGAAUGAUUCACCAUGCAUGCGAUAGAGACCGCACAGACAGGUUAUUCUCAACAGAAUAAUAAAGAUGGAACCAGGUCCGACGUAAAACACACAGACAGGAUAUUCCAACAGAAUAAUAAAGACGGAACCAGGUCCGGCGUAAAAUGCACAGACAGGAUAUUCCAACAGAAUAAUAAAGAAUGAAAUAACAACAGAAAUCACCAUGCAUGCGAUAGACCGCACAGACAGGUUAUUCCAACAGAAUAAUUAAUGGAACCAGGUCAGGCGUAAUACGCACCGACAGGAUAUUCCGACAGAAUAAUAAAGAACAGAAUAAUAGAAGAAUUUCACCAUAUAUGCGGUACUUUGCAUAAACAGGUUAUUCCAACAUAAUAAUAAAAAAUGGAAUAACAGAAGUUCUCUUCAUGAAUACAAAAGAAUAACACCCUUUACGAGUACAAUAAAUAAUAUCCCUUACCUUAUAAAGAAACUGGAUAUAGAAGUAGUGAAGUAGCAGAAUACUCUUCUUCUUUCUCUCUAUAAUUUCUCUCUCUAGAGUUUCAGUGAAUUCGUAAGAAAUAAUGAAGGAAUGAGCUUCUAUUUAUAGAAAAACUGAGAGUGGCUCUUGGUCUUAACGAAGGGUCAAAAUGACUCUUGGUAAUAUUGAAGAGACAACUACUAUUUACGAAGGGGCAAUUAACCCUUGGAACACCGAAGAGGCAAGUAACUCUUGGUAAUAUUGAAGAGACAACUACUAUUUGUGAAUGAACAAUUAACCCUUAGAACACCGAAAGGGCAAGUUACUAUUAAAACUUUAAAUCAACGAUCCAUAUUGAUUUACUAUUAUAAUUUCAACCAACGGUCUGAAAAAUUAGCAUAUCUCCUCAUGGAAUAAUAUUGUACCCAAAAAUGAUUUGGAUUGAAAAUUAAUAUACUGUUCUGGUGAAUAGUACCCUAUGAAUAGUACUCAUGAAUAGUAACUCUUGAAUAGUAACUCAUGAAUAGUAACUCGUGAAUAGUAACUCAUGAAUAGUAACUCGUGAAUAGUACUCCGACACGAAAAGUGUCCCGAAUACCCGAUUGAACAAUAUAACCUUCAGACAUCAAUUAUUAUCGAAAUAAAUGUCGAUUUCCACUAACACAAAUAAUUUCAACACAAUGGAACUAUCAAAUUCAUCUUUAAUUAACACGAACUUAUCCAUCAUUAAUAUCAUAAUUCACAAUAUUUAACAACCAGGUCGUUCCCAAGAAAGAGGGGGCUUUCCAAUAAGGAUUUCUCCCUAUUGGCGCGCAAUUAGGUGACCAAACCUCUCCUUGGCAGAACUUCUAGACAUUGUAAAUAUUGCAAUUUAAUAAUAUGAAUAACUUUGUCGUCUUAAUUAUUAAUUUAAUAAUAUAUAAAAUAUUGACAAUAAUUGAAUAAAACUGAGUGACUUCUCACGUAAGCAUCAAUAAUUUAAGAUAUUGUACAAUACCGUGUGCCACUAUGCAACCACGCGUAUUACUGUACUUUUAUUAAUUUAACCGUUUACUAAAUAAAAUAAUAAUUAUAAAAAUUAAAUACUUUCAUUUCAUAAAAUUCGGGGUCUCACAAGGUGAGUCUAGUGGAAAUUUCAAAAAGAGGAGAUUCAACAAUGACGGGAAGACAUCAGCAGCAACACCAGCAUUAACUGUUGCUAGGGGAGGAGAACGACCACCGGUCGUAUGCUAUAAAUGCGGGAAAGAGGGCAUAUCAGUCCAAACUGCCCAUAACAGUUCAAGGUAUGUUAUAAUUAUGGAAAGGAAGGACAUAUCGCUCGAGAUUGUACUAUGGCGAAACCAAGUUCAGCGGGGAUGGUGACUCAGAAGGCUGUCCCAAAAAAGUCAAAGUCAACGGUUCCUGGAAGAGCGUUUGUCGUGACUGGACAAAAUGCGAGGAACGCGAACGAGGUGAUCACGGGUAAGCUAGUCAUAAAUUUUUGUGAAGUUUAUACCUUACUAGAUACCGGUUCUACCCAUUCAUUUAUCUCUCCUGCUUGUGCUCAACGUUUAAACUUGACUCCAGAGAAAUUAGACUUUGACCUAUCUAUGGAGACUCCGUUAGGAGAAACUUUCAUUACAUUCACUGUUUAUAAAUCUUGUUUGAUCCAAGUUGGCACCAUCACAUUACCCUUUGAUCUUAUCUCUUUAAAGAUACUUGCAUUUGAUGUGAUUUUAGGGAUGGAUUGGUUAACUACUCAUCAUGCCAAAAUUGAUUCUUUUCAUAAGGUUAUUAGUUUUCAUAUUCCUAACUAACCUGUUAUGCGAAUUCAAGCAACUAAACCAUUGAAGUCAAACACUUUCAUAUCAAGCCAUAAAGCCAUUCGUUUAUUGAAAAACGGAUGUCAAGCUUUCUUAGCCCAUGUUAUGGAUUUGAAUAAAGACACGUCAGAUUUGAAUAAAAUUUUUGUUGUUAGUGAACUUCCUGACGUAUUUCUUGAAGAAUUUCCUGGCCUACCCCCAGAGUGUGAUAUUGAAUUUUGUAUCAACUUUGAACCCGGUACAAAACCCAUUUCUAAAUUCUCAUAUCGAAUGGCUCCUAUUGAACUUCAGGAGUUUAAAACCCAAGUACAAGAGUUGGUACCCGAGCCUCUAUCUCGUGACUUCCUUUAUGGAAUGCACUAAAGCCAGACUCUCCGUAGGAGACUCUAUAUUUGUGUGGUCGUAAAAUGAUAGGUACCAUUGUCACGUGUUAUCCAAGAUUGGGAUAUGAAUCACAGUUGAGAGCAACCGAAGUUGGUGACCAAAGUACGUAACUUUCUGGGCUUAGCUGGUUAUUAUCGGAGAUUCGUGGAAGGAUUUUCUCGAAUCGCUACUCCGUUAACUUAGCUGACUCGAAAAGAUACAAAAUUCGUAUGAAGCGAGGAAUGCGAGAAGAUUUUGCAAGAGCUCAAGAGGCGACUCAUUUCGGCACUUGUUUUGACCAUACCAUCCUGGAAAAGCAAACGUGGUAGCUGACGCGUUGAGUAGAAGAUCGUACGCGAGUAUGAGUGCAAUAUUCUUGAACACAAAGACCUAUUUUGUAUAAUUUACAAACGAUAAAGAUAUAGUUAAAGACUCUAGGGACCCACGUUAUGAUGUUAAAAUAGAAUCGACUUUAAUUGAUAAAGUUAAAACUGCUCAAGCUGCACACCGGAGCUGAUGAAUAUAAAGAAAAAGGUGCAAGAAGGCGUUAUUCUAGAAGUAAGAGUCGAUGAAGAGAAAAAAGCUCAAACCUUCAAUUUAUUUGAAAUCCUCGAUCGAGUAGGAACUGUGGCCUAUAAACUCUCCUUAACGCUAAGUAUAUCGCAUGUUUAUAACGUUUUUCACGUAUCGAUGUUACGUAAAUAUAUGAAAGACCCGAAUCACAUUAUUACGUUAGAACCAGACGAGAUAGCCAAAGAUUUAACGUACGAGGAGGUACCUGUCAAAAUCUUGGAUAGGAAAGAGCAUGUCCUACGCACAAAGGUUAUACCACAAGUUAAGGUUUUAUGGAGGGACCAUGCUAUUGAAGAAAUAACCUGGGAGUUGGAAUCAGAAAUGAAAGCAAGGUAUCCUCACCUUUUUGAAACACCAGGUGCGUACGUCAAUUUCGAGGAAGAAAUUUCAUAAGGUGGGGAGGUUGUAAGACCCCAAUUUUUUUUAAAUAAAAUCAAAUUUUCUCUAAUUAUUAUUGUGAAUAAUAAGAAGUUAAUUUGAUAUAAUAUUUUGGUUAUGGGUGAAAUAUGAAAAUUUUGCAAAAUAAGCAAGUGGUUAUAAAAUAUUCAUUGUUGUCGGGGAAUAUUCGCUUGGUCGUGGAAUAUUCUUGUUAUUGGGGAAUAUUCGUAUGACGGCGCAGCCAUUCGUGGGCCUCAUAACAGAAUAACUGUCGGAUGAAGAAAACAACAAAGUAUGAGUUUUUAUAAAUAACGGCGUAAUUGUUAUCGUUAACACUGUUGGAAUACCUGGUGGUUAAAAUACAGUAAUAUGCGUGGUUGCACAGUAGCACACGGUAUUGCACAGUAUUGUUGAAUUAAUGUUUCGUACGUAAGACGGCACUACUCAAUAAUUGUUACAGUAGUUACUGUUCAAUAUUUUAUUUUAUUGAUUCAAUAAUUGUUGCGUUGUUAGUUUAUAUUAUUGUUAUUUCAAUAAUUGUCACUGCACAGUAUUUUCCAUUAUCAAAUUAAUAAUUCAUAUUAUUUGAGUAAUAUUAUUAGAUAGCAUUAUUGGCAAUGUCUAGAAAAUUCUGUCAAGGAGAGGUUUGGUCACCUAAUUACGCGCCAGUAAGGAGAAAUUCUUAUUGGAAAGCCCCCUAUUUCCUGGGAACUGCCUGGUUGUCAUAAUUGUGAUUCUAUAAUAUUAUUUGUGAAUAAUUAAUUAUUGAUUUAUAUGAUAAUGAAAUAUUUAUUUGAUGCAGAUAUAAAUGAUGGAUUUAUUUAUUUUAUGUGGUUAUAAUUGAAGGAAUUAAUGUUGAGGUGUUUUAUCAGUAUUUUUGUCAAAAUUGAGGUAUUAAAAAUCAAAUCAGUAUUUUUACGAUAUAUUGCAUGAGUUAUAAUUUUUAAUCCGACCGUUGGAUCGUUGUGAUUUUUAGAUAUGUUAUAUAUAUAUAUAUAAGUUGAGUAUAUGUCCACAAAUUUUGAACCGUUAAAAAUGAACGUAUGAUUUGUUAUGAAUUUUAAGAGAUGACUGAUUCAGAAAUUAGGUUUAUAAAUGAUUUUGGUGGAAAAUUCUAGAAUUGAGUGGGCCCCACUUGUGGGUGGUGAAGAAAUGUGCUGAAUUUUAUUUCAAAUAUGGAGGGUGGCAAUAGUAGCAGGUAAAGUCAUCAGGUAGCAGGUCAAGUCUGCUUCGGCGUGCUAACAUUUUUCUAUAAAUAGAGGGCUAAGUUAGAAUUGAAAAUCACACCAAAAACAUAAGCUUUCUCUCUUUCUCUCUCUAUAUUAUCGAGCGUAUUUUGUGAGUAUUUAGAUACUUUGAGAGUUGCUGUUCAGUACAAGUUUCAUUCAGCAUCACUUCCGACCUUUCAUUCCGAAGUACUAUUUCUUUGAGGUAAGGAAUAUUAUUUUCUUCUUAAAUGAUAUUAUUUUCUUCAAUAUCAUUAUGCCGAAAUAUUAGUUUGAACUUUUUAAUCAAAUUUAGAAGUUUUUGUGUCGGGGUUUCUAUUCACGUAUACGGCACUAUUCAUCGAAAAAUGAAAUUUUUUUUUUUGUCCAAGAUGUCAAUUAUGGUUACUAUCUUUGAUUGUAUCCAUGUUUUGAUAUUUAUUUUUGAAUUCUGCUUCAAAAUUGGUUAUUAUGAAGUAUUAGUGAUCUUGGAUAAACUAUAACAUGAAUCCCUAUUAUUUGCCCUUCUGUCUCACUGGAUUCGUUCUCUAAAAUAUUUUUCAUCAUCCUCAGUCCUUAAUGAUGAUAUUAUUGAAUAUAUUUGGCCUAUAGUGCAAAGAUGAAUGAUUAACUAAUGAAUAUCUUUGGCCCGUAGUGCAAAAAUGAACAGGUGUUGAGAUGAACAUGACCAACUGGUGAUACAAAUGAAUAUCUUUGGCCUGUAGUGCAAAGAUGAAUAUUUGAUUAAAGAUGUAUAUUGAUUGUUGAUAAACUAUUGAUGAUGGACUUUUAAACCUUAGAAGACAGUAGAAUUCUUUCUCUACGUGACUCUUCUAAUGGAUUGCUGUUUCCGCUGCAUUUGUUGAUCUAAAACUUGUUGUCUAUUGUAUUCUAUUAGAUUUUUCCCUGUUGAAGACUAACGAUAAUUUGUUGUAUAUUAUCUUAGUCAUAAUAUUCUUUACUGGGCUAGUUGAGCUCACCCUUUUCCUUUUUGUUCCAUUUUUCUUCUCAGGAGGUGAGAACAUAGCAGGAUCGAGUCGGGGUAUGGAGUGAUGGUUCUAGAAAGAUGUUUUAGCAGUCCUCAUUAUUUUUGUAAUAUAGUGUAUGAAUAAUUGUAAUGAGAACUUAUUUGAGUGUUGAUAUUGUCUAGAAGACAACAUUUGUAUUUAAAUUCACAGUAUGUGUUGUCGUAUUUUGCACGACAAUUGUAUUAUUGAAAUUGUAGUUUGCUUUCUGUACCAUCUAUUUGGCGACUCAGAAUGGAUAUUGUAUACCUAUUUUGGGGGUGUCACAAUCAAACUUAACUUUACAUAUAUUCAUAAUUGCGAACCAUAAUCGAACAUAUUCGAUCAAAUUCGUGGCGAAUGAUUUGAAAUCUAUCGAGUUACUCAUGAAGAAUUCUGAGUCUGUUUAAUUUUUUAUCGAGUCGACACCGAUCCGAGCCCUACUACUCGUUUUCAGCCCAGUUUGUUGACAAAUGGAAAUUUCAAUAUUCACUCGCAUGUGUAUCCUUUUAAAGCAUAUAUGACUAAAAUAGAUAUUAUUGGUAUUGGCUAUAAAGAUAUACGUCAAUAAUAAAUACGCAUAAAGACAGAUCAACAAAAGUAUAUUCAUAGUUGUUUAACAUAUGUUUAUUAAUAUAUCUGGAAUAUAACAAAAAAUUAUAAAAAAAAUUAAAAAAUUAUAAUUUUUUUCGAAUAUGUUUUUUUCUCCUAUUAGAGUUUAAAUUAGAGACAACAUUCUUCUUUAUCUGACAAUUUAGAUUUUUUGGAAGAAUUAAUUACUUAGUUUUCUCGUUUUAUCCCUAUAAAUAAACACUAAUUUGUUUCUCUUACCAUUGCAAUGAAUUUUAAAAAGUAAUAUUGAGAUUUUAUAUUCAAAUUAAUAAAUUAAACAAUUAAUUAUAUUUUUUCCAUGUACUUGCUCCUAAAACGUCAACUAAAAAUGAAUAUUGGAGGGCGUGAUAAAUUCUUAAUUUAUAAAUGUUGACAAAAUAGUAAAAUUAUAAUGGUAUAUUAUUAUGUUAUUUUGUACUAUUAUAAAAAACAAAAAUUAUACAUUUUUUUAAGUGCGACCCAGCUUACCAUUUUUAGCGACGGAUCGAGCGACGGUUUGGUCCGUCGCUAUAGAAUAGAUAAACGAUUUAUAUGUUAUGGCGACAGUUCGAUGCGUCACUACGCGAUGGAUCGAACCGUCGCCCGAUCCGUCGGUAAAGGUGGUGAGCAAGGUAUGUUAAAUAAAAAAAAAUGCAUGUGAUUCUCUCCGAUUAUAUAUAUAUAUAUUCCAGUUUCAAAUUCUAACAUCAAAAAUAAUAAAUGUAAAAUUAAAGAGGGAAAAAAUACGUUAAUGAAAAUAAAUUUAAUAAACUAUACUUCUGAAAAAUCUAACAUCAAGAACAAUAUUAAAAUAUAGUGUAUUAAAUGGUUUAAAAAAGCUCCAUUGAGUUUCAGGAUUUCAUUUCCAAUCUUAUUUUCACAAGUUUUCCAAAUUUCAUACACACAAUUCUAGAAUUUCAAUUUUUCAGCCCCAUCCCAAAUAAACAAGCAGAUCAAUUUUGCCAGUUCAGUUGUAAGUGGAUUAUACAUUUAUAAAGGUAAAUAUGCUUUUACUCAGAUUAAAACAGGUGUAUGCAUGAUUAUACAUAUUGAAACAAUUCGGGUCAAAUUCUGUAUUCAGAACAAAUCCCAGAUUAAGUCUUAAGUUCGAAUCAAAUAACAUUCAUUCAAAUAACGUCUUAAAUCACUGACCCAAUAGUAUCUUUUUGGAUAGAUACACCCAAAAAGUCAUGACUUGAAGGUAUUAUUGGUAAUAACUUAUUUACUUAUAUGUAGACAAAUUUUUCUUCUAUCUUUCGAUGUGAGACUGGGAUGUUACAAACUCCCCAACUUAAAUUUCUGAUAUCCCCAUCAGAACCAAUCACACACGGCCCAAAUAUCUUUACCUCUCUAGCCAUUGUGGGAUAAUACCAGUUGAUUUCGUGUCCCUACCUCCGAAACCUUCAUCUCUCAAUUGUGGGGUUAAAUGUUUUCUAAGUCACUGUAAUUUAUGUCAACUUACAACUAGAUCACUGAAUUUUUUUUUUCUUAUAGUCAACUCACUAUACUCGACUUUUCUAACACAAAGUUAAAAAACCGUUAAAAGCUUUGACUUUAACGAAAAAAGAUAGCUAGACAGCUGAGUUGUCCGUUAAAAAGCUGAUGUGACGUCCUUGCGUGACGUGACAGUGAUUAUGUGGAUUUGGAGAAAAUAAUUUAUGAAAAAAAUGAAAAAAAUAUUUUAAAGUAUAAUAUAAAUUUACAAGUGUGCCAAAAUAUAAGAAAAUAAAUAAAAUAUAUAUAUUUAAUUAUUUUUGUAAUUAAUAUCAAAUAAAAUUUUAUUUAUAAUUAAGCCAUUUAUAAAAUACAAAAUCCAAAAAUAUGCUAAUUAAAAUUCAGGGGAAUGUGAAAUAUAUUUAGGGGAAAUGAAAGAAAAUUAUAAUAAAAUCAGAAAAUUUAGCAAAAAAUACAUGGUAGAAAUUAAAAAAUAAAAAGAGUUAUUUAGUUAUUUUUGUAAUUAAUAGAAAAUGUAUUUUUAUAUAAUUAAUAACAAAUAUAAUUGAGGAAAUUAUAAAAUUUAAAAUAUUUUCAAAUGUGGACUAGGAUAAAUAUAAUAAUUAUAAUUUUAAAAAUAAGAUAAAUAAAUUUGUACUUUAAAAAUAUAAUUAAUAAUUAAAAAUAUAAUUAAUUAAAAUUAAUAAUUAUAAAUUUAAAAAUAUAAUUAAUAAUUUUUUUUUCUUUUCUAACUAGGAUAAAUAAAUGUGUACUUUUACAUGCAAAUAAUUUUUAUCAAAUAAUUUUUAAUUUUAUCAAAUAAUUUUUUAUUUUAAUUUUAUCAAAUAAUUUUUAUUUUAUCAAAUAAUUUAUAUUUUAAAAUUAUACAAAAUUUAAAUUUUAUAAUUUAAUUUAAUCAAAUUUAAGAAAUAAUUAUUUUUAUUAAAAAGAGCAUGAAAAAAAACCCAAACUGCUCUCUUUUUCUCUCUCUCUCCUCUGUUCCCUACUCCACUUGUUUAGGGGAACGAGCACCAAAGUAUCACCAGGAAUCACCACAUAGACAUCUUCUUAGGGCCAACGUCACCAUAAUCGCCACAAAAAUUAAAACCUUUACCAACAAAUAGGGACCAAAUCAGAGAGCAGAGGCAUGUGUAAUGAACUAGCUUAAUUAAUUCAGUACCUUAGCAGCUGAAAAUGAGACAUGUCUCAGUAAUUGGAUUUAUUUAGUGGAAUUUGACAGGAAAAUAACAGGAAAUAGAGUAAGGGAGAGGAAGAAAGAGAGAAUAAUAGAGAGAGAUAACAGUUAGAGUGGAGAAGAAGAUAGAGAGAGAAUUCAGAGAAUUAGGGAAGAAACAUAUAGUAUAUUCAUGCCCAUUUCCAUACAAUAGUUCAGUAUUAAUACUACUAGCUAAUUAACUUAGAAAGGAAAAGACUAACAAAGACUAACAAGUCCUUAUUGUAUCAAAUGUUAAGACUAAAAUAGCCUUAAGUAACUAACAACACUUAAUCAGCAAUUAGUUCUAACAGACUUCCUGACAAACCCCUCUCCAUCAGAACAACCUUGACCUCAAGGUUGAAAAUGGGGAUAUCUCUGGUGGAGUGAUUCCCAAUCCUCCCAAGUAGCAUUAUUUGGUAAAGUGUUAGACCACUGCACCAAUACUUGAGCAGCAGCAGCAUUAGCAUUUUUCUUCUUAACCAUUCUUCUAUCCAACACAGCCACUGGUUCCACAAGGAGCUGGCCAUCAUCAUCCAGCUGAGGCAAGAUAGAAGAACUAAUGCAUUCCUUUCCAAUUUUUUUCUUUAACAAAGACACAUGGAACACAGGAUGGAUUUUAGAAUCUGUGGGAAGAGUGAGCUUGUAUGCUACUGAAUCGAUUUUCUGUUCAAUAGGAAAGGGACCAAAAAAUUUAGGAGUUAACUUCCCAAACUUAGGAUAAGCUAGAGUAGUCUGCCUAUGAGGCUUAAUCCUCAAAUAAACCAAAUCCCCCACCACAAAUGACCUCUCAUUCCUGGCCUUAUCAGCAUACCACUUCAUUCUGGACUGGGCAUCAAUUAAAUUCUGUUUCAAAAGCUACAAAAACACAUUCCUAUCUUGACAAAAUUGCUUAGUAGCUGAAUCAGAAACCCUUCCAUACUGAUGAAAGUUCAGAUGAGGAGCUCUAUAACCAUAUAAUGCCUCAAAAGGUGUAGCUUUUAGUCCAUUGUGGUAGUGGGUAUUAUACCACCACUCAAAAAAAGGUAACCAACUAAUCCAAUUGUUGGGUUUCUGAGCCACCAUGUAUCUAAGAUAACAUUCCAGUAUUUGAUUCAACCUCUCAAUCUGUCCAUCAGACUGAGGGUGAUAAGCAGUACUCAAAUGCAAUUUAGUUCCAAUCAACUUAAACAAAGACUACCAAAAUAAACUAAUGAAGAUCUUAUCUCUGUCUGAAACCACAGUGGAAGGAAAUCCAUGCAGUUUAUACACCUGAGAAAUGAAUACCUGUGCUAAAUCAUGAGCAGUGAAAGGGUGUUUAAGAGGAAUGAAAUGGCCAUACUUUGUAAACCUAUCAACCACCACCCAUAUAACAGUAAACCCAUUAGAUUUAGGCAACCCUUCAAUAAAAUCCAUUGCAAUAUCUAACCAAGGACUAUCAGGUAUUGAUAAUGGUUGUAGCAACCCAGACAAAGCCACAUUCUCAUGUUUCUGUUGCUGACAUAUAUCACAUUCCUUUACAAAUUUAAGGACAUCAGCUCUCAUAGAAGACCAAUAGAAGUACUGACUAAGUCUUUCAUAGGUUCCCCGAAUCCCAGAAUGGCCACCAACAGGAGAAGAAUGAAACUCACCAAGUAAUUUAGUCUUCAGAUUCAUAUCAGAUCCAAUGACUAACCUGUCCCUAAACUUAAGCCUUCCAUGUACAAAAGUAUAAUCAGGAACAGACUGAGGAUCAAACUGGAGUUUAAGAAUAAUGUCCCUUAAUGUAACAUCAUCUUCUCACGACUGUGCCACCUCCUGAACCCAUUGAGGAACCACUACAGAUAAACCCAAAUAGCUGUGCUCUUGAUUUUGCAACUCAGAAUAGCGAGAUAAACAAUCUGCUGCCACAUUUUCUUUGCCUUUCCUAUAUUCGAUCUCAUAAUCCAAACCCAUCAAUUUUGUAACCCAUUUCUGUUGAUUUAUAGUAGUUAUUCUUUGAUCCAAUAGGUACUUCAAACUGUGAUGAUCAGUUCUAAUGAUGAUUUUAUUACCUAACAAGUAAUGCCUCUACUUCUGAACCGCAUGUACCACAGCCAUUAAUUCCUUCUCAUAAGUAGACCAACCCAAAUGUUUGGAAGCAAUAGCCUUACUGAGAUAAGCAAUAGGUUUCCCUUGCUGCAUUAGAAUUUCACCCAAACCAAAAUAGGAAGCAUCUGUCUCCAAUACAAAAGGUUUAGUAAAGUCUGGUAAAGCUAAAACUGGAGCUUUCACCAUGGCCUCCUUUAAAGCUAAGAAAGCUUUUGUAGCCUCUUCAUUCCAAAAAAACUUAUCUUUCUUAAGCAAAUCUGUGAGAGGUCUGCUAAUAAUACCAUAAUACUGAAUAAACUUUCUGUAAUAUCCUGUUAACCCCAAGAAUCCUCUUAAACUCUUAAUAUUUUGAGGUAAAGGCCAAUUAGUCAUGCACAAUAUCUUAUCUGGAUCAGUAGAUACUCCAGAUGGAUCAAUUAUGUGUCCCAAAUACUGAAUUUGUUGAGUACCAAACAUGCACUUACUUCUCUUAGCAUAUAAUUGAUGAUCCACUAACAGCUGCAAGGUCAUUCUCAAAUGAUACAAAUGUUCUUCAAAACUUCUGCUGUACACAAGUAUAUCAUCAAAAAAUACUAGUAUGAAUUUCCUAAGAUAUGGUUUAAAAACUUCAUUCAUUAAAGACUGGAAAGUUGCAGGUGCAUUAGUCAGCCCAAAAGGCAUGACCAAAAAUUCGAAAUGGCCUGUGUGAGUCCUAAAUGCAGUCUUAGGAAUAUCAGGAGCAUGAACCUUAAUCUGAUGGUAACCUGAUCUGAGGUCUAACUUUGAAAACCAUCUAGAACCAUGCAGCUCAUCCAAUAGUUCAUCAAUUACUGGAAUGGGAAACUUAUCCUUAACAGUCAUAUCGUUUAAUGAUCUAUAAUCAACACACAUCCUCCAAGAUCCAUCAUGUUUCUUCACUAAUAAAACUGGAAAGGCAUAUGGACUAUGACUGGGUUGAAUUACUCCAGAUUGCAAUAGUUCCUGAACUAUUUUUUCAAUCUCCUCUUUUUGCACAUGAGGAUACUUGUAUGGCCUCAAAUUAAUAGGUUGACUACCAUCCUUCAAAUUGAUGUGAUGAUUAUAUGACCUGUCUGGAGGUAAACAAUUUGGUUCCUGAAAAAUCUGUUUAAAGCCUCGAAGUAAUUCAUCUAAUUGCAACUGUUGUUGUUCCUCAAGUUCAUUCUUUUCUUUACUAGUACUGCCUUCUCCUUCCAAUUUUGACCCUUCAACACCUUGAUUCAUGACUAAACCAAAAAGAUACCCAAAGUAGCCAUGAGUUGUUGCAUUCAAAGUUCUUUUGAAAUCCCCAAAUUUCAUAAUUUGAAUACUAGGAGAUACCAUAUCAGAAUCUCCUUGUAACAACACUUGUUUCCCAUCUUUGACAAAAGAUAAAUGCAACUGAUUGAAAUCAAAAGUCACAGGAUUAAAUUUUUUGAGCCACUGUACACCUAAUACAACGUCUAUUCCUCCUAAAGGCAAAACUCUAAAAUCAGUAGUAAAGGCCUCUCCUUGUGCUGUCCACUUAAUUGAUUUACAUUCUUGAUAACUGGUAACCUUAAAACCAUCAGCCACAGGAACUGAAAUAGGUUUUUUUUCUUGUAUCCCAGCCUUAAUUCUCUUAACAGCUUGGGAAUCCAAGAAAUUGUUAGUGCUUCCACUAUCAAUUAAAAUUCUCAAAACCUUCCCAUUGACCAUUCCUAAAAUUCUGAUAGUGCUAUGAACACUGUGACCAGACAGAGCAUGCAAUGUAAUAUGUGCCUCUUGUUUCUCAUCCAUUUCCUUAACAUACACAUCUUCAUCAUCACACUCUUCACUGCCACAACCCUGGUUAUCCUCUUUAUCAAGUUUAUCAGAUGGUAUCAUCAUAAACAACUGUGGCUUUUUGCAUUGGUGUCCCACAAAAUAGGGUUCAUCACAUGAAAAAUACAAUUUCUUCUUUCUUUUGUCUGCUAUUUGCUCUCUUGUUAACCCUCGCACAGGUAAAGUCCUGCCUACCUCAAUGUUAGGCAGACCAGCAGAUUGAAUCACAGCAGAUCCCCCUUCUGUAGUUCUAGGUCCAAAACCUUGGUUAAUUUUCUGUGAACUGCCCAAAAAUGAUUUUAUACCCAUUCUACUCCUCCUUACCCACGCUUCUAGUUUAGCUUCUUCAACUCUAGCCAUUCUAAUCAAUUCCUUAAGAGAAGAAAUUUUUAACUCUUGAAUUCCCAAUCUAAUUUCUUCCUUAAGUCCUCCCAUGAAACAAUCCAUGAAGAAGUGCUCAUUUAGUACAUGAUUCCUAGCAAGAGACCAACUCUUAAGCUCCUCAAACUUCCUCCUAUAGUCAUCAACAGUGCCAUUUUGCUGCAGAUUUUUAAGUUCUCCUAUUGGAUUGAUCUGUACCUCUGAGCUAAACCUAGCCAAAAUUUCUUCAAUAAAACCACUCCAAUUCAGUUCAACUCCCCCAGUCACAAAACCAGAAUACCACUCCUCAGCUUCUCCUUCCAGAUUCAUUGUUGAUAAAUACAACUUCUGCUUUUCAUCCACCAUGUGAUGAGCAAAUAGUUUAUUACAUCUUCUAAUCCAUGAUCUAGGAUUAACUCCACUGAAUUUAGGAAAUUCAAACUUAAUUGAUUUGAAUAUGUUGUUAUCAAUUUUUUCAGUAGAAGUUCCAGACUCAAAGGAUCCUAGAAUUGAACCAGAAUCUGUAUCAUGAUUACCUAUAGUCUGUGUUACAGGAAAUCGAACUGAAAGUAAUGCUUCAAAGCCUUUCAACAUCUGUUGCAUUUUCUGUUCCAUUUGAGUUUCAAAAUUCUGACUCAAACUGCUAAUCGAGUCCUGGAGCUGCACCUUCAUCUGCUGAAUUGAAGUAUUAUGUUCGGUAAUAUGUGCUUCGAGAUUGCCAAUCCUCUGAUUAUUAGUCGCCAUGUCUGAAUUGUAGUAGCUUUGAUACCAAUUGUAAUGAACUAGCUUAAUUAGUUCAGUACCUUAGCAGUUGAAAAUGAGACAUGUCUCAGUAAUUGGAUUUAUCUAGUGGAAUUUGACAGGAAAAUAGCAGGAAAUAGAGUAAGGGAGAGGAAGAAAGAGAGAAUAAUAAAGAGAGAUAAUAGUUAGAGUGGAGAAGAAGAUAGAGAGAGAAUUCAGAGAAUUAGGGAAGAAACAUAUAAUAUAUUCAUGCCCAUUUCCAUACAAUAGUUCAGUAUUAAUACUACUAGCUAAUUGACUUAGAAAGGAAAAGACUAACAAAGACUAACAAGUCCUUAUUGUAUCAAAUGUUAAGACUAAAAUAGCCUUAAGUAACUAACAACACUUAAUCAACAAUUAGUUCUAACAGACUUCCUGACAGCAUGCCAUCUCGAAUAGAACCGAUGAUGCUAAUUAGGGUUUGGUAUAAAAGGAUUUCCAGCUGGAAAAGAAUAAGAGGUUGAAUAGAGGGGGUCUUGUAUGUGGAAAUUAGAGUUUCCAGCAGAAAGAUGAUGAAGUGGAAUCGAUAGGUGUGUAUAGAGGAUAGGGUUUUCAGCGUGGAAAAGGAGAUAAAUGUGAAAUCUGGUUGACCUUUUGAAAGAAUCUCCGCCGCCGCUGGUCGAUCUACCUGAAACUGGGGUUAUCGAUUUGUAUGAUUUUGUUGCAGUGGUCAAGGCUGGGGCGACGGCCUUGACUAUGCCUCCGCCGCCGCCGCGUUCAUUAAUCCGGCGAACUGAUGAGGUUAACAUUUUUGUAUGUGUAUUUAAUUGAUUGAUUUGUGGUGUUCCUAAGGGAUUUAAAGGGUUUGGAGAUUGGAAAGAGAAGAAGCGCAGAGUAGAUUGUGGGUUUUACUUUUGGUAUAGAGAGGAGCGGAGUGAGGUUGGGAGGGAAAUGAAUUUCAGAUUUUGAGUUUUGAAAUUUUUGAGGACCCGUGUGCUAUUCUUUUACAUUUUUUUGUUGACAAUUUUUUUAGUUUUUUAUAAAAAGUAUUAAAAUUAGGGAAUUGAUAUUUCCAUAAAAAAAAUUAUCACCAAAUUGACUCAAUUAUAAUUUUAAUGUCCGAAUUGAAAAGAUUUUAAUUUUUAAAAUAUUUUUAAUUAUAUAAUGUUUAUAAUUUCCUCAAUUAUAUUUGUUAUUAAUUAUAUAAAAAAAUAUUUUUUAUUAAUUAUAAAAAUAACUAAAUAACUCUUUUUAUUUUUUAAUUUCUACCAUGUAUUUUUUGCUAAAUUUUCUGAUUUUAUUAUAAUUUUCUUUCAUUUCCCCCUAAUUAUAUUUCACAUUCCCUGUUGGCGUUGGGAUUUUUCCUGUCCCUUUUCUGUUCUUAUCUUUUGGUGUUCUCAUGUUAGGUGAUAUUUGUUUAAAAAAAUAAGUUGUGAAAAGGUCCGACAUGUAUAUAUCGACGAUUGGACUAUAAGAGUCGUCAGUUGGUAUUUUUAAAUGGUUGCACCAACUCAACCGAGAAAAGGUUUACACAUUGACCCAGUGAUGUGACACUGCUUAACGGGUCUGUAAAAUCGAGAUUCGUUAGGGUCCAGGGGCUUGAUUAUGCGGAGGGAAGGUGUUAGGCACCCCUCAAUAUCCGUAUUACCACGGUGACCGCCACUUUUCAAUUAAACUGUUAUAUGAAUGUGUGUGUGUGUGUGUGUGUGUGGGUCAAUGUGAAAUUAUCUGGAAGUAGUGUUAUGCCUCUUUUGCACCUAUAUACAAAGGGUUUAAAUUUUAUAUAAAAGUUCAGUUUUAACAAGAUAUAGCAGUGAUGUUUUGUAAAAGAGGUUUUUCAAACCCUUAUGCUGAAUAGUAAUUGAGGCCUUUGAUACUUCCAUUUUAUUAUAUGUUCGGCUUGAUUGCUUUUAUUUUCGAGAUGCGAGGCAUCUUCGAGAAAAUAAUAUGCAUAGCAGUGCCGAACUCCUUGUAGGCAUGAGAGCCAUCUAAGGAAAUUCAAACACCGUGAAUAUUAUACAAGCUGAUUACAGCCGAAAAUGUUUAUCAUGGGAACCGAAUCUAGAUUCAGGAGACUGAUUCUGUGAUCUCAUGAUUCCUAGGCUGACAUGAUGUUGCAGUUUAUAUGAAAGUUGUAACCAGUUAUAUAUAUAAAAGUUAUAAAUAUAUAUAUAUAUAUAUAUAUAUAUAUAUAUAUAUAUAUAUAUAUAUAUAUAUAUAUAUAUAUAUAUAUAUAUAUAUAUAUAUAUAUAUAUAUAUAUAUAUAUAUAUAUAUAUAUAUAUAUAUAUAUAUAUAUAUAUAUAUAUAUAUAUAUAUAUAUAUAUAUAUAUAUAUAUAUAUAUAUAUAUAUAUAUAUAUAUAUAUAUAUAUAUAUAUAUAUAUUAAAGUAGUAUACGCACCGGAUAUAAAUUCAGGCUCAUCGAACAGAGUUCGACAAUAGUUUUUAUAUAUAUAUAUAUAAGCAAAAAAUGCUCCGGAUGUAAAUCCAGGCUCACCGAACAGAGUUCGAUAACAGUUUAUAUAUAUAUAUAUAUACACACACACACACACACACACACACAAAGGAAUAAAAAGCCACGGACCGAAGUCUAGGCAUACGCACACAACACGACUCUCAACGUGAAUAACUGUGUGAGCAGAAUGUGGAGAAAAGGCUUUAAGAAAUGUAAGAAGUCUUACAGUGGGCUACCAAGAAGACUUCAAAUAAAUUUAAUUGAAUGAACACUCGGUUUCCACCGGUAAACUAUAGCACAGUAUGUAAGACCCCAACUUUUAUGAAUAAAGAUUAAUUUUUCUCGAAAUAUAUUUUUGAAUAUUAUGGUGUCGAUAUGAUAUAAUGUUAUAGUUGUGGGUAAUAUUUACAAAUUUUGCAAAGUAAGCAAGUUGUUAUAAAAUAUUCGAUUGUUCGGAGAAUAUUCGUACGACGACACAAUCAUUGGUGGACCCCACAACGGAAGUAUUGUCGUAGUUAGAAAAUGACAGAAUUAUCUUUUUAUAAAAAUAACGGCGAACGUUUUACCGUUAAACUAUUGAACUACCCGGUAGUAAAAUUAUAAUAAUACGCGUGGUUGCAUAGUAGCACACGGUAUUGAUUAUUGAUGCUUACGUGAGAAGCCACUCAGUUAUACUCAAUUAUUACUACAGUAAUUGCUGCAUCAUAUCUCUCAUAUUAUUGAUUCAAUUAUUAUCACAGUAUCAUCUGCAUAAUAUUUUAUAUUAUUAAAUCAAUAAUUGAGACGACAAAGUUAUUCAUAUUAUUAUUUGCAAAUGUUACAAAUGCGGAGGGGAGGGACAUAUCAGUCAAAACUGUGUGAUGCAGUCAAAGCAUGUUACAAUUGUGGAAGAGAAGGUCACCUAGCCCGAUUUUGUCAUACACCAAAGUCAAGUCCAGCUAGAAUGGAGGCAUCAAAGGCCGUCCCAGACAAGACAAAACUGGUAGUUCAAGGGAGAGCGUUUAUCGUAACCUCCCAAAAAGUGAGGAAUCCAAACGAGGUGAUCACGGGUAAGCUAAUCAUAAACUCUAGCGAAGUAUAUACCUUAUUUGAUACCGGUUCUACCCAUUCUUUUAUUUCUCCUAAUUGCACUCAACGUUUAAAUUUGACUCCGGAGAAAUUAGACUUUGACUUAUCUGUUGAAACUCCGUUAGGAGAAACCUUCAUUACAUCCACUGUUUAUAAGUCUUGUUUGAUUCAAAUCGGUAACCGCACGUUACCUAUCGAUCUUAUUUAUUUGAAAAUACUUGCAUUUGAUGUAAUUUUAGGGUGAUUGGUUAACUACUCAUCAUGCUAAAAUCGAUUGUUUUCGUAAGGUUGUUAGCUUUCAUAUUCCUAACCAACCUAUUAUACGAAUUCAAGCAACCAAAUCACUAAAGUCAAUCACUAUCAUAUCAAGCCAUAAAGCUAUUCGUUUAUUAAAAAAUGGAUGUCAAGCUUUCUUAGCCCAUGUCACGGAUUUAAAUAAAAAUACGUCGGAUUUGAAUGAUAUUUCUAUUAUUAAUAAAUUUCCUGAUGUAUUCCCUGAAGAACUUCCUGGCCUACCCCCAGAGCGUGAAAUUGAAUUUUGUAUCGACCUUGAAUCCGGUACAAAACCCAUUUCCAAAGCCCCAUAUCGAAUGGCUGCUAUUGAACUUCAGGAGUUAAAAAUGCAACUACAGGAAUUGUUAGACAUCAGUUUCAUUCAUCCUAGUACGUCUCCUUGGGGUGUUCCUGUUCUAUUCAUGAAGAAGAAAGAUGGAAGUAUGCGACUUUGUAUUGAUUAUCAGGAGUUGAAUCAUGUCACCAUCAAAAAUAGGUACCCGUUACCUCGUAUUGAUGAUCUGUUUGACCAGUUGCAAGGCGCCAAAUUCUUUUCAAAGAUCGAUCUUCGUUCCGGAUAUCAUCAGUUAAAGAUUAAAAUCGAUGACAUUCCAAAAAUGGCUUUCAGAACUCGGUACGGGCAUUAUGAAUUCCUAAUCAUGUCUUUUGGAUUGACUAAUGCUCCUGCUGCCUUCAUGGAUAUGAUGAACCGAGUAUUCAAAGAAUAUUUGGAUCAAUUUGUGGUCGUCUUUAUUAAUGACAUCCUCAUAUACUCCAAAACCCGUGAAGACCAUGAGCAACACUUGAGGUUGAUACUCCAAAAGCUUUGUGAAAACAAGCUAUAUGCCAAGUUGAAGAAAUGCGAGUUCUGGCUUGAGGAAGUUGCAUUCCUUAGGCACGUGAUAUAAAAUCACAGAAUAUCUGUUGACCCGGCAAAGAUUGAAGUAAUUCAAAGCUGGGAGCAACCUAAGUCAGUGACCGAAGUACGUAGCUUUCUCGGCUUAGCUGGUUAUUAUCGGAGAUUCGUAGAAUGGUUUUCUCGAAUCACUACUCCAUUAACUCAGCUGACUCGAAAAGAUACAAAAUUCAGUUGGAACGAGAAAUGUGAGAAGAGUUUUCAAGAACUCAAGAGAAGACUCAUUUCAGCACCAGUUCUGACAAUACUAUCUGGCUCAGAGGGAUUUGUCAUCUACAGUGAUGCUUCAGGAAAAGGAUUAGGAUGUGUUUUCAUGCAACAUGCAAAAGUCAUAGCCUAUGCCUCUCGACAACUCAAAGAAUAUGAGAGGAACUAUCCUACUCAUGAUCUAGAGUUGGCAGCUAUCGUUUUUGCGCUUAAGAUUCGGAGGCAUUACCUGUAUGGAGAAAAUGUGGAGAUAUAUACGGAUCAUAAAAGCCUCAAAUAUUUCUUCACUCAAAAGGAACUCAACAUGCGGCAAUGACAUUGGCUUGAGCUGUUGAAAGAUUAUGAUCAUACCAUUCAAUACCAUCCUGGAAAAGCGAACGUAGUAGUUGACGCAUUGAGUAGAAGAUCAUAUGCAGGUACGAAUGCAUUAUUGUCAACGUAGAGGCCCAUUUUGUAUGACUUGUAAAGGAUGGAGAUAGAGUUAAAGACUCCAGGGACCCACGUGAUGAUGGCAAACAUAUGAGUAGAACCGACUUUAAUUGAUAAAGUUAAAGCUGCUCAAGCUACAAACCUGGAGCUGAUGUGUAUGAGGAAGAAAGUGCAAGAAGGUGCUAUCCCGGAAGCAAGAAUCGAUGAAGAAGGAAUACUUCAAGUCAAUUCCAAAUUUUGUGUUCCAAACGAUUCUGACUUGAAGUAUAAAAUCAUGAUGGAGGCGCACAACACACUGUUUGCAAUCCAUCCUGGGAGUACCAAAAUGUAUAGUGAUCUUCGACAUACAUUUUGGUGGAGCAAUAUGAAGAGAGAUAGUGCGGUUUAUCUCAAGGUGUCUAACUUGUCAACAAGUCAAGGCAGAGCAUCAAGUGCCAAAAGGUCCAUUACAACCACUUGAAAUUCUAGAAUGGAAGUGGGAGCACAUUACCAUGGAUUUCGUUACUGGUCUUCCCAAUGUUUCUCAAGGCAUAGAUGCAAUUUGGGUCAUUGUUGAUAAAUUGACCAAGUCUGCUCAUUUUUUACCUAUACGAGAAACUUAUACAAUUGAACGCCUUGCUCGUAUGUACAUAAACGAGGUUAUAAGACUACAUGGUAUGCCAGUAUCCAUAGUUUCUGAUCAAGAUACAAGAUUCAUUUCAAGAUUUUGGGUUAAUUUGCAAAAAGCUAUGGGCACGAAUUUAUGAUUUAGUUCGGCUUAUCAUCCUCAAAUGGACGAUCAGUCGGAAAGGACUAUUAAACUCUUAAAGAUUUAUUAAGACUAUGUGUCAUUGACUUAAAGGGAAGUUGGGACAAGUUCUUAUCAUUGGUGGAGUUUUCCUACAACAACAGUUAUCAAGCAAGUAUUGGUAUGACUCUAUUUGAGGCGUUGUAUGGAAGAAAGCGUCGUUCUCUAGUAUGUUGGGAUAAGGUGGGUGAAGCAACGUUGUUGGGACCGGAGUUGGUACGUAUGACUACGAAAAAGAUUCAAACGAUCCGACAACGUAUAAAAACCUCACAAGAUCGAUAAAAGAGUUAUGUUGAUCUUCAUCGAAAGGACGUGGAAUUCAAUAUUGGAGAUCAUGUGUUGUUACGUAUUGCUCCAUGGAAAGGAGUUACGAGAUUUGGAAAGAGAGGAAAGCUCAAUCCUCGAUUCAAUGGCCCAUUUAAAAUCCUCGAACGAGUAGGAACUGUGGCCUAUAGACUCGCCUUACCACCAAGUAUGUCUCGUGUUCAUAACGUUUUCCACAUAUCUAUGUUACGUAAAUAUGUGAAAGACCUGAACCACAUUAUUGAAUUAGAACCAGAUGAGAUAGAGGAAGAUUUAACGUAUGAAGAGUUACAUGUUAAAAUCUUGAAUAAGAAGUAUCAUAUUCUACGCUCCAAGGUUAUACCUCAAGUUAAAGUUUUGUGGAGAAACCACGAUGUGGAGGAAAUGACCUGGGAGUUAGAAUCUGAAAUGAAAUUAAGGUAUCCUCACAUCUUCGACAUACCAGGUACGCACCCUAAUUUUGAGGAUGAAAUUUCAUAAGAAGGGGAGGUUGUAAGACCCCAACUUUUAUGAAUAAAGAUUAAAUUUUCUCGAAAUAUAUUUUUGAAUAUUAUGGUAUGGAUAUGACAUAAUGUUAUAGUUGUGGGUAAUAUUUACAAAUUUUGCAAAGUAAGCAAGUUGUUAUAAAAUAUUCGAUUGGUCGAGGAAUAUUCGUUUUAACAGGAAAUAUUCGUAUGACGGCACAAUCAUUGGUGGACCCCACAACGGAUGUAUUGUCGUAGUUAGAAAAUGACAGAAUUAUCUUUUUAUAAAAAUAACGGCGAAAGUUUUACCGUUAAACUUUUUAACUACCCAGUAGUAAAAUUACAGUAAUACGCGUGGUUGCAUAGUAGCACACGGUAUUGAUUAUUGAUGCUUACGUGAGAAGUCACUCAGUUAUACUUAAUUAUUGCUAUAGUAAUUGAUGUAUCAUAUCUCUCAUAUUAUUGAUUCAAUUAUAUUAUUAAAUCAAUAAUUAAGACGACAAAGUUAUUCAUAUUAUUAUUUGUAAUAUUGACAAUCUAGAAGUUCUGUCAAGGAGAGGUUUGGUCACCUAGUCUUUCAUGGGAAUGACCUGGUUGUUAAAUAUUGUAAGUUAUAAUAUUAAUGAUGAAUAAGUUUGUGUUGAUUAAAGAUGAAAUUGAUAGCUCCAUUGUGUUGGGAUUAUUAGUGUUAGUGGAAAACGACAUCUAUUUUGAUAAUAAUGGAUGUCUGGAGGUUAUAUUGACCAAUCGGGUAGUUAAUUGGAUAAAUGAGAAAUUAAUUGCUAUUAAUUCACAUGCUUAUAACUAUUUGCUUAUAUGUGUGUACUAUUGAUUCACAUGCAUGUACUAUUAGGGGAGGUGGUGCAGGAUUGAUAAUACUUGCAUGACUAAAUUAAAAAUGGAAGUAUAGAUGAAGGUACUAUAUUGUAAUUAUUUUUUUCACAUGAUUGAACUAUUGAUUCACAUAAAUGUACUAUUAAUUCACAUGAUAUACUAUUAGGGGAGGUGGGUGCAAGUUUGAUAAUACUUACAGGACUAAAUUAAAAAUGAAGGAAAAGAUGAAGGUAUUAUACUGUAAUAUUUCGAGCCCCAAAACGUGCAAUUAUCAAAACUAUAUUUUCCUAUAAAUAGAAGCUCAUUUUUCCUUCAUUCUCACCAAUUCACUAAGACUCACAAGAGCAUUUAUAGAGAGAGAAGCUAUAGAGAGAAAGAAGAAGAGAAGUCUGCUACCUCACUAUUCCAGUAUCCAAUCUUCUUCUGAGGUAAGGGAUAUUAUUUUGUUCAGUAUUCGUAGGAAUAAUAUUUUCUUCCAUACUCUGUAGUAUGUGAGUAAUAUUAUUUCAUCUCGUAUUCCUGAUUAUACCUUCAUCUUGUUAAAGUAUUGCUUCUAUACUCCGUGAAAUUAGUAGAAUAUCCUUGAAAUUUGCUCUUCAUCUAGUAUCUUUUCACAAGGAUAUUUUCUGCACAUUCUUGUUAGAUUUUAAGCUUUUCAUGCUGGAGUACUGUCCAUGAGUACUAUUACUAUUCAUGAGGUACUAUUCAUGAGUACUAUUCACAAAUCAUUUUUGAUACAAUAUCAUUCUUGAAUUUUACUCCACAAAGCAGUAUCAUGUUGGCACUUUGAACAUUAUUGAAUUCUGGACAAAUUAAAUUAUAUAUCUUUAAAAAUUUAUCCUUUUUUUCUUUUAAUUGAAUUCUUAUAUCAUUGUCAUCAUCCUCAUGCUUAUAUUGUGAUGAAAGUCAUCUUUGGCUUACGUGCAUAUAUGAACUGUUGAUUGGUAUGAUUAUGACCAGGGAUCAUUCCGUAUAAUCAUGACCCGUAAUGUUACAAAUGAUGUGGUAAAAGUCCUCAUUGGCCUGUAGUUCAUUGAUGGACAGUUGUUGGUAUGAUUAUGACCAGGGAUUAUUCGGUAUAGUCAUGACCAUUGAUGAUUAUAUGAAUAUCCUUGGUCGUGGUGCAGGGAUAAUUCGAUGAUGUGAUUUAUUUAUUAAGCUGAGUCUCAGCGAUAAAUUUGAUGAAAAUCUUUUUAAAUCAUAGAAGAUAGUAGAUAUCAUGCUCUAUUUGACUCUUCUAAUGGAUUGCUUGUUCCACUGCAGUUAAACUUGUUGUCUAUUAUAUUCUAUCAGUUUAACAUUGUGGAAGGCUAAUGAUAACUUAUUCUACAUUAUCUUAGUCAUAAUAUUUCUUACUGGGCUAGUUGAGCUCACCCUUUGCUUUCAUUGUUCUCUUCAGGAAAUGAGAAUAUAGUUGGGACUAGUCAGGGAACGGAGUGACGGUCCAGAUGAUAGCAUUAGUAGUCCUCACUAUUUUGUUAAAUAGUGUGAUAAUAAAUGUAAUAAGGACUUCAUUUGAGUUUGAAUACUGUCUAGAAGACAAUAUUCGUAUUAAAACUCUCAGUUUCUGUUUUAUCGUAUUUUACACGACAGAUGUAUUAUUAAGUUGUAUUUGAAUUUUGUACCAUGUAUUUGGCAACUCAAGAUGGGUGAUGUAUACCUAUUUUGGGGGCGUCACACAAUAUAAACUCACAAGUGUUUAAAAUGAGAAAGCACUUAGUUUAUAGCGUGUACAUAGCAAAAUGGACAGGGCUUCCUCGCCUUUUCUCUAUGCAAAAUGGCCACCCCAAGCCCUCUAUUUAUAGGGGGGGGGGGGAGCACCAGGUGUACCUGCGGUAGCCUCUGGUGUACCUGCAGUAGCCGCUGGUGUACCUGCGGUAGCCGCUGGUGUACUUGCAGUAGCCGCAUAUGCACCUGCGGCUUCCCGGGGUGCCCCGGGUUCUACAGGUUCUGCCAUCUCGAAAUACAUGCACGCAUGCAACAUGUUGUUCGCUCGAACUUUCAGAACUUCAAUCCGAGCAUCUGAUUGAGGUGUAUAAUACCUUUUUUUAGAAUGUUGUUGUCGAGAGCUACACAAUAACAUAGGAUUAGAGGUUGUACGAAGUCAGGAAGAUGGACCAUACCCAGGUCUUCAAGCUUCAAAUUCUAUCCGGUGUGCUGUCUUAUGUAUUAGUCACUCGGGAUUGGAGCCAUGGUUCUUGUAGGACAUUGCUACGUAGAAUAUAUGUUGAAAUGUAUUGAGACGACGCAAUGUGGAAUCGAGGUGGCAAAAUGAUGAUUUUGCCCCUCACUAGGGUUAUCUCUGGUUUGGGCUAAUGUAGCAGUCGUUGCUCAAGAUUAUCUCUGAGAUUGGGCUGCUGUAAGUGCUAAAUGUCCUCAGGGUUAUCUCUGAGAUGUGCCUUACCUCCCGGGGCUAUCUCCGGGACUGGAACUGAGUGCCUCGGGGUUAUCUCCGAGGUUGAAGCUGAUUGCAAGGGUUGAAAUGAGCUUUUUUGGGGUUAUCUCCGGAACUGCAACUGCACUCCUCGGGGUUGUCUCUGAGAUUGAAACUGGAACUCCCAGGGUUAUCUCCAGGACCGAGUAUCUUAGGGUUUGUCUCUGAGAUGGAAAACUGAUGAUUCUAGGGUUGUCUCUGGAACUGGAACAACAUUCCUCGAGGUUGUGUCUGAGGUUAAAACUGAAACUCCCGGGGUUGUCUCCGAGACUGGAACUGGUUAUCUCGGGAUUGUCUCUGAGAUGGCAAGACUCAUAAUUCUGGGGUUGUCUCCGGAAUUGGAGCUGCUUUGUCCUCCAGGGUUAUCUCUGAAAGACGAUUCUGCCCUCUCGCAAUGUUAGUAACAUGAAUGCAAAAUUUCAAGUGUCUAUAGAUCCGUUAAGUAUGAUCGUAUUGGAGGCUUGGCUAGGAUUUUACCCAUUUCUGCUGGUGAGUAUUUCUCUUAUGAUUUCCCAUCUACGGGUUAAGAGUGUUGACUGACAGCUAGCAGAUGUUUGCCUUUGUGUUGGCAGUUCUGGGCCUAUGAGAGGCUCCCAUGCUUGCGUCCUGUGAGUGUGUUAGGUUUAGAUACAUAUCCACGAGGACGACGAUGGCAUCACUCCAUACUGGGGGAGGUUCUUGUAGCUGAGGGUUUCACCCAUUGUCGUCUACAGUUGGAGUUGUUGACAGCCGAUGCUAUCACUUGGGUUCCCUAUUCUAGGGAACAUUUGACCGUUAGGUUUGAGGAUGGGUACCCGACUGGUGUCGAGUACGUGAUAUCCACCCGUAGGAUUCAUCUCUUCACAGAUGGAGGAUGAGAGCUUUAUUUGGGAGAACGUGCUAUUAGGAGCAUCACAGAGGAGAUUCGUGUACCGAUCUUGCCUCCUGUCAGGUGUUAUUGGCUUGUGUCACAGUCGCCUGUCAGUGAUAUCCCAUUGAUGGGUGUUGACGACUUUACAUUUUUAGAGGGUUCGUAUACUCAAGAUAUGUUCCAUCGUUGGUGGUCCCCUGGUACCAUCGGAGCCCAGACCCGCGCCACUCAGUUUAUGGGGGAUAUAGUUCCUGGAUCUGUGAUGAUGACGGAUUGGAUAACCUGUGUCAGAGAUCCGACUCAUUUAACACAGAUUGACAGUUUAAGCCGGUAGUUGGACCGGGCAUAUUUCUUUAUCCGGCACUUGGUCAGAGAUCCUUCAGAGGCAGAACAUUUUAAUCCUUCUAGCUCUGGGGCUGGCCCUUCAGAUGACCUAUAUGGUUUUUCUGGUGCAGAUCCUCCAUUGUAUAGGCCUGACAUCCCUCAUGGCGGAGAUCCAGUGACUCAGGAGGAGUUACAUCAGGUGGACAGGAUUGAUGAUGUAGAUAUUGACACCAUUGUCUUCUUCUGAUGUGUAUUCUCGCUAUAUUUUUUGAUAGGCCUCUGUUAGAUACUGGGUGGAUGUGCCCCAUUCUCGCUAUAUCUUUUGAUAUGCCACUGUUAGUCGUUGGGCGUCUAUGCCCCAUUUCCUUAUAUUUUUAGCUGUACAGAGAUGAUGUAUUAGAUGAUAAUAUACUUAGGAAUGUAUGUACUAUUUUCCAUUCCCUACAUCAUAUUGCCAUCUAUUGUUGAUCAUGCAUGUAUUAUGUUAUACAUAUGUAUGUCCAGAGAUAUUCAGCAUUGACCCUGGAUGGUCUUAUGAUACGGCACACACAGAUGUCUUCUUUGACAGUUAGCCGCAUUGAUCAUACCCCACCAGUAUUGGUAGCCUUUCGUUUAAGGUCAUGGUAUGAUAGUUUGUCACCUCCAAACAGGGUGACCGUAGAUCAACUAUUACAGCAUUCUUUGACCCUCCUGAUGUUCUAGGUUCCUGUGGGCUUUGUAGAUGGUAUGCUGGAGCAUUGGGUAUCGGAGAGGCAGGUUUUCCGAUUUGGGACCCAGGAGUUGACUCCCACCUUAGAGGAGUAUGCGCGGUUGACGGAGCUGCCACUAGAUAGACCUUGCGUGCGGAUGGUUAUUGGCGACAUGAGCCGGCAGUUUAUGAUCCUCACUGGGCUAAGGCGUAGAGUAGUAUAGGAUGAGAUUACAUCCGGCCAUAUGGUGUCCCAGCGUUUUCUGAUAGACAGAUUUGGCUCAGUGGAAAGUUAUGCACGACAUUCCUAGGAUUUUACCACGUCGGAGGAUCAGUGGCGUGUUGCCAGGGUAGACAUACUCAUGAUGUGCGUAGUGGCUUAUGUGUACAUGUCGCUGUAUAUGGAUGAGCUGGAUAUCGGUGUUGUCAUGGCAGUGAGAGCUCUCAAGGAGGGUCAUACCAUUAUGCCGAUGAUUAUGACAGAGACGUUGAGAUCCACCAUGUAUUUUCAUAUCUAUCCUGCAAGAGUAUUCAUAGGCAGUUUGGUCAUGUUGUAUGUGUGGUUCAUGUCACACUUGAGACCGAUUGGCACCUUCCGACGACAUGGGUACUGCUUUUCCCAUGAGAUAGCCAUGUCUUACUCCUUUCAGCUAGGGGAGUGUACAGACAUUGUAUCUUGGUCAGUGUUCUUGGCAGGGAUUAGAGAUCCAUUUGAUAUUUUUCCCUGUACAGGGCUCAGUUCAGCCUACAGCUUCAUUACUCAUGCAUCUGGCGUGGAUUAUCUCCCUCUGGCUCGUUUGAGGGGCAUGAUUACUUACCACCCACUGGCUGUGAUGUCACAGUUCGACCAGUUCCAGGACGUCCAUCCUUUUGAGGAAGCAUUAGGUCAGCGUUUGGCUUCUCGCCAUUUGUCAUCAGAGGAUAGAUCCAGGGUGUAUGCCUAUUGGGAUCAGCGUGAGCUAGUUGAGUUUUCUGUUAACCAUCCGGGCUGUUCGGCAGAGUAUUCUGCAUGGAUGGAGGUAGAGACCACAUCGGCUGUGGUUGUAUCCACAGUUUCGGGGAUUGAUUUUGAUGGUGGAGAGCCCAUAGAGGACAUUGAUUCUCCUACUGAGGAGGAGCUAAUUGCUGCGUUGCCAGCAGUUGUGAUGGAUUCUCCCAGUAUGACUGCUACUAUGACCCCGCAUUCAGUAGAGUAUUUAGUGUAGAUCCGUCAUCUGAUGACAUGUGUUGAGAUGGCGCAGUGUGGAAUCGAGGUGGCAAAAUGAUGAUUUUUCCCCUCACCGGGGUUAUCUUUGGUUUGGGUUGAUGUAGCAGUCGUUGCUCAAGGUUAUCUCUUAGAUUGGGCUGCUGUAAGUGCUGAAUGUCCUCAAGGUUAUCUCUGAGGUGUUCCUGACCUCCCGGGGCUAUCUCCAGGACUAGAACUAAGUGCCUCGGGGUUAUCUCUGAGGUUAAGUUGAUUGCAAGGGUUGAAAUGAGCUUUUCUGGGGUUAUCUCCGGAACUGUAAUUGCACUCCUCGGGGUUGUCUCUAAGGUUAAAACUGGAACUCCCAGGGUUGUCUUCGAGACUGAGUAUCUCGGGGUUAUCUCCGAUGUGACGCUCCCAAAAUAGGUAUACAUCACCUAUUCUGAGUCGCCAAAUACAUGGUACAGAAUACAAAUACAAUCUUAAAUAUACAACAUGAGCUAUGAGUUUUAAUACAAAUAUUGUCUUCUAGACAGUAUUCAAACUCAAAAUAAGUCCUCAAUACAUUUAUUAACACACUAUUUCAUAGAAUAGUGAGGACUACUAAUGCUAUNNNNNNNNNNNNNNNNNNNNNNNNNNNNNNNNNNNNNNNNNNNNNNNNNNNNNNNNNNNNNNNNNNNNNNNNNNNNNNNNNNNNNNNNNNNNNNNNNNNNNNNNNNNNNNNNNNNNNNNNNNNNNNNNNNNNNNNNNNNNNNNNNNNNNNNNNNNNNNNNNNNNNNNNNNNNNNNNNNNNNNNNNNNNNNNNNNNNNNNNNNNNNNNNNNNNNNNNNNNNNNNNNNNNNNNNNNNNNNNNNNNNNNNNNNNNNNNNNNNNNNNNNNNNNNNNNNNNNNNNNNNNNNNNNNNNNNNNNNNNNNNNNNNNNNNNNNNNNNNNNNNNNNNNNNNNNNNNNNNNNNNNNNNNNNNNNNNNNNNNNNNNNNNNNNNNNNNNNNNNNNNNNNNNNNNNNNNNNNNNNNNNNNNNNNNNNNNNNNNNNNNNNNNNNNNNNNNNNNNNNNNNNNNNNNNNNNNNNNNNNNNNNNNNNNNNNNNNNNNNNNNNNNNNNNNNNNNNNNNNNNNNNNNNNNNNNNNNNNNNNNNNNNNNNNNNNNNNNNNNNNNNNNNNNNNNNNNNNNNNNNNNNNNNNNNNNNNNNNNNNNNNNNNNNNNNNNNNNNNNNNNNNNNNNNNNNNNNNNNNNNNNNNNNNNNNNNNNNNNNNNNNNNNNNNNNNNNNNNNNNNNNNNNNNNNNNNNNNNNNNNNNNNNNNNNNNNNNNNNNNNNNNNNNNNNNNNNNNNNNNNNNNNNNNNNNNNNNNNNNNNNNNNNNNNNNNNNNNNNNNNNNNNNNNNNNNNNNNNNNNNNNNNNNNNNNNNNNNNNNNNNNNNNNNNNNNNNNNNNNNNNNNNNNNNNNNNNNNNNNNNNNNNNNNNNNNNNNNNNNNNNNNNNNNNNNNNNNNNNNNNNNNNNNNNNNNNNNNNNNNNNNNNNNNNNNNNNNNNNNNNNNNNNNNNNNNNNNNNNNNNNNNNNNNNNNNNNNNNNNNNNNNNNNNNNNNNNNNNNNNNNNNNNNNNNNNNNNNNNNNNNNNNNNNNNNNNNNNNNNNNNNNNNNNNNNNNNNNNNNNNNNNNNNNNNNNNNNNNNNNNNNNNNNNNNNNNNNNNNNNNNNNNNNNNNNNNNNNNNNNNNNNNNNNNNNNNNNNNNNNNNNNNNNNNNNNNNNNNNNNNNNNNNNNNNNNNNNNNNNNNNNNNNNNNNNNNNNNNNNNNNNNNNNNNNNNNNNNNNNNNNNNNNNNNNNNNNNNNNNNNNNNNNNNNNNNNNNNNNNNNNNNNNNNNNNNNNNNNNNNNNNNNNNNNNNNNNNNNNNNNNNNNNNNNNNNNNNNNNNNNNNNNNNNNNNNNNNNNNNNNNNNNNNNNNNNNNNNNNNNNNNNNNNNNNNNNNNNNNNNNNNNNNNNNNNNNNNNNNNNNNNNNNNNNNNNNNNNNNNNNNNNNNNNNNNNNNNNNNNNNNNNNNNNNNNNNNNNNNNNNNNNNNNNNNNNNNNNNNNNNNNNNNNNNNNNNNNNNNNNNNNNNNNNNNNNNNNNNNNNNNNNNNNNNNNNNNNNNNNNNNNNNNNNNNNNCAUAUUGAUUUACUAUUAUAAUUUCAACCAACUGUUUGAAAAAUUAUCACAUCUUCUCAUGGAAUAAUAUUGUACUCAAAAAUGAUUUGGACCGAAAAGAAAUAUAUUUUUCAGGUGAAUAGUACCCCGUGAAUAGUACUUCGGGAAUAGUACCCCGUGAAUAGUAUCCCGACAUGAAAAGUGUCCCAAAUACCCGAGUGAACAAUAUUUGGGUGAAUAGUAACCCGUGAAUAGUACUCCGACACAAAAAGUGCCCCGAAUACCCGAGUGUCAAUAUAACCUCCAGACAUCAAUUAUUAUCGAAAUAAAUAUCGAUUUCUACUAACACUAAUAAUUCCCACACAAUGGAACUAUCAAUUUCAUCUUUAAUCAACACGAACUUAUUCAUCAUUAAUAUUAUAAUUCACAAUAUUUAACAACCAGGUCGUUCCCAGGAAAGAGGGGGCUUUCCAAUAAGGAUUUCUCCCUAUUGGCGCGCAAUUAGGUUAUCUAACCUCUCCUUGACAGAACUUCUAGACAUUGUCAAUAUUGCAAAUAAUAAUAUGAAUAACUUUGUCGUCUCAAUUAUUGAUUUAAUAAUAUAUCAUAUUAUGCAGAUGAUACUGUGACAAUAAUUGAAUCAAUAAUAUGAGAGAUAUGAUGCAGCAAUUACUGUAGCAAUAAUUGAGUAUAACUAAGUGACUUCUCACGUAAGCAUCAAUAAUCAAUACCGUGUGCUACUAUGAAACCACGCAUAUUACUGUACUUUUACUACCGGGUAGUUCAACAGUUUUAACGGUAACACCUCCGCCGUUAUUUUUCUAAAAUUUUUUUGUCGUUUUCUCAAUCCGACAAUAAUUCUAUUGUGGGUCCACCAAUGAUUGUGCCAUCGUACGAAUAUUCCCUGCUAAAACGAAUAUUCCCCGACCAAUCGAAUAUUUUAUAACAACUUGCUUACUUUGCAAAAUUUAUAAAUACUACCCACAAUUAUAACAUUAUAUCAAAUCUACACCAUAAUAUUCAAAAAAUAUUUUGAGAAAAUUAAAUCUUUAUUCAUAAAAUUUGGGGUCUCACAUCUGAGAUGGAAAACUGAUGAUUCUGGGGUUGUCUCCGGAACCAGAACUGCAUUCCUCGGGGUUGUCUCCGAGGUUGAAAUUAAAACUCCCAGGGUUAUCUCCGGGACUGGAACUGGUUAUCUCGGGGUUAUUUCCGAGAUGGCAAGACUGAUAAUUCUGGGGUUGUCUCCGGAAUUGGAGUUGCUUUGUCCUCCAGGGUUAUCUCUAAAAGACGAUUCUGCCCUCCUGCAAUGUUAGUAACAGGAAUGCAAAAUUUUGAGUGUCUACAUUCCCCUUAAUUUUAAUUAGCAUAUUUUUGGAUUUUAUAUUUUAUAAAUGGCUUAAUUAUAAAUAAAAUUUUAAUUGAUAUUAAUUACAGAAAUAAUUAAAUAUAUUUAUUUAUUUAUUUUCUUAUUUUUUGGCACACUUUUUAAAUUUAUAUUAUACUUUAAAAUAAUUUUUUCAUUUUCUUCAUAAAAAUUUUCCUCCAAAUCCACAUAAUCACUGCCACGUCACAAAAGGCUGCCACAUCAGCUUUUUAAUGGAUAACUCAGCUGCCUAGCUGUCUUUUUCCGUUAAAGUCAAAGCUUUUAACGGUUUUUUUAACUUUGUGUUAGAAAAGUCAAGUACAAUGAGUUGACUGUAAGAAAAAAAAGUUCGGUGAUCCAUUUGUAAGUUGACAUAAAGUACAGUGACUUAGAAAGCAUUUAACCCCUCCAUUGUGGGAUAAUAACACCAGCUUUCGUGUCCCCACCUCCGGCAACUUGAUCAGAUGACCCGACCUAAGCAUUCGAGAGUCAGUUCUGAUACCAUAUGAAAUAACUCGGGUCAAAUCCCGAGCCCGGAAUAAAUCUCGAAUUAUUUUAUUUUAGUUAUUUUCUUUUCUUUUAUUUAAUUUAUUUUGUAUUAUAUAUAUUUUAUUAUAUUCUAAGUAUUUAUUAAAUGAGACUAUUUUUUCAUUUAUACAUCCAUACCCAUUUUAUUUUAUUUUGUUUUAGGAGUACCAAACUAAGUAAAUGCUAAUUAGUUUUUAUAUUAUAUUAUUUUUAUUAUCCUUUUUUUUCUUAAAUUAUAUUUAUUAUAAUAUUUAUUUACAUUAUAUUAAAUUAUAAUUUUUUUAUUAUUUUAGUAUAGUCAACUAAGUAAAUGUUACUUAGUUGUGUAAUUUAGUUUAUUUAAAUAGUAAACUAACUCCUAAUUGUAAAUAGGAAAGAUAAAAAAAAUGAAAAACAAACAUUUAGAUUAAGUAGUUAAGGGUGAAGUAAACUGUCUAUUUGUUGAUUUUAUUUUAUUUUUUGGAAAAAUAAUAGGAUUUUAUUAAUAUAAAUAUUCAAACAAAAUAUGUCAAUCCAAAAGAUUUGGAUAAAGCGAUAUGAUAAACAUUACACAAAUGUAAAUUAAUAUAAAGUACAACUCAAAGCCAAAUUACAAGGCUACAUCAACAUCUAGCGAGGCUAUUCAAAAUGUUUUUGAAAUAAAUGUCAUGCGCCUGAAUCCUAUCCUGAUGAAUCCAUCUAUAUGCAAAGGUAUGGAACUGAAAAUGCUUCAUCAACAACUUUAAAAAUCCUCGCAACCUACUUAUUAGGAAUAAUCAAUUCGAAGUAAUCAAAUCAUUUAAAAGCUUAAACUGUUAAAAAAAGACGCCAAUAAUAUAUAUCAUGUUAAUACUCCUUCGAUGCAACUUUAAAGAGUAAGGACAUUUGCACUAUUAAAUCAACAUAAAGGCAAAGUGUGGUCAGGAUGAUUUGAACCAAAGAUUUUGCACACUCAUAACGCUCUUCUUGACUUUCAUUCAUAUCCACUUGUAGUUCAUUUUUUAACCGUAAAAAAUUACUCAUUUCUUUAACUAGUACCACUUAUCAAUUGGAUCAAUAGUUGUCUGUCGUUAUUAGAUUUCUUUUGGGUUUAUCUUGUGACUAGUUUUUUUUAGAUUUAUUUAUCCUGUGUGGGUCUCAUAUUCAUCAGUUUCACGUGCAACCCUCAAUAUACCGAGUUACACGUGAGAGGAAUUGUUAGAGUAUAUAUCUUGUCUCACAUCGAAUAUCUUGAGAAAGUAUAUAUAUCUAGUAUAUAAUAAAUUGGAUCAACUAUUCUCAUUGCCAGUUACUUUUAAAUUAGAGAGGUUGAAUUCUUUAUAUACUAGGCUUGGCUCACUUUAUAAAUCUAUUAAUAAAAUUAAAUUCUACGUGCUGAGAUUGAAAUUUAAAGAAAUCUGCAUCUUUAAUAAUCUUUUUAACACUACAAGAAAAAGCAUUAAUUCUGAUGGAAUUAGGCUUGACAGACUAUAUUCAGUUGGAGAUUAGGUAUUUUUGACGAAAAAUUCGGUCGAUCAUAAUUCCGUCAGAAGUACGUUAUUUCCGAGGGAAAUCCGUCGGAAGUAUAUAUAAGGUCUGAAAUGGCGCCAAGUUUCCCGUCAGCGCAAAGCUUAAGUUCGACAGAACUUUGGUUAUUUCUGAGGGAAGUUCCGUCAAGGAUAACAUAAGUCCGACGAAAGUAUAUCUGAUAAAAAUUUCGUCGAAAAUAUGUUUUAAAACCUAAUUAGCAGCGUCUUCUUCAGCGCCUCCCUCAUUGCAUUUCUCUCUUUCUCUAUCCUCACUCUUCCACACUCUCUCUGCACCUACUCCCUAUCUCUGCACCACCCUCUCCCUGCACCUCACUCUCAUCUCUCCCACUCCCACUGUUAACCUUACCUCGUCGGACCGGACGCCACCAACGCCUCCGCUAGCUGCCGCCGCCAUCCACCUCCCAACCUCUGCAGUCCACCUCCUUCUCCUCUUUAGUUGGAUUACAAAUUUUAAACUAAAGUUUAUUUAAUUUCUGUCCAAUAUUGUAUAUUUAGGGUUAAUUUUUUCACUGAAAUUUUUUUUCUUUUCUGUCCAAUAUUGUGCUUAUUGCUUAAUUUUGUGUGCUUGAUGAAAUUGGGACCUUAAUUUCGUGUGCUUAAUUUCUGUCCAACAUAUAUUGGACCUUAAUUUCGCGUGCUUGAUGAAAUUAGGACUGCAGUCAAAUUGUUACUGAAAUAGCUAGGCAUUGUUUGUCUUCUGUAAAUGUUGUUGCUGAACAUUAUUUGUGUGCUUAAUUUCUGUCCAAUAUUUUGUGCAAUUGCAGCUUCUUUAUUUUGUGCAAAUGUUGUUGCAAUUGCAGCUUCUGUUAUUUUAGUUUAAUUACAGCUUUUUUUACACAAUUACAACUUAUUAUAGUGUAUGUUUACUGUGACGCCCCCAAAAUAGGUAUACAUCACCCAUUCUGAGUCGCCAAAUACAUGGUACAGAAAACAACUACAACUUUAUUAUUACAAUUGUUGUGCAAAAUACGACAACACAUACUGUGAGUUUAAAUACAAAUAUUAUCUUCUAGACAAUAUCCACACUCAAAUAAAGUCCUCAUUACAAUUAUUGAUGCAUUAUUUUACAAAAAUAGCGAGGACUGCUAAAACAACUGUCUAGGACCAUCACUCUAUACCCCGACUGGUUCCUGUUAUGUUCUCGCUUCCUAAGAAGAAAAAUGGAAUAAAAAGAAAAGGGUGAGCUCAACUAGCCCAGAAAAUAAUAUUAUGACUAAGAUAAUAUACAACAAAUUAUCCUUAGUCUUCAACAGGGAAAAAUGUAAGACCCUGAAUUUUAUUAAAUGAAAGUAUUCAAUUUUCUUAUAAUUAUUAUUUUAUUUCGUAAAUGGUUAAAUUCAUAAAAGGUUAAAGUUAAGGGUGAUAUGUGAAAAUUUUGCAAAGUAAGCAAGUUAUCAUAAAAUAUUCUUUUUGUCGGAGAAUAUCUGUACGACGACACAAUCAUUGGUGGACCCCACAACAGAAAUAUUGUCAUAGUUAAAAAACGACAGAAUUAUCUUUUUAUAAAAAUAACGGCGAAAGUGUUACCGUUAAACCUGUUGAACUACCCGGUAGUAAAAGUACAGUAAUACGCGUGGUUGCAUAGUAGCACACGGUAUUGAUUAUUGAUGCUUACGCAAGAAGUCACUCAGUUAUACUCAAUUAUUGCUACAGUAAUUGCAUCAUCAUAUCUCUCAUAUUAUUGAUUCAAUUAUUGUCACAGUAUCAUCUGUAUGAUAUGUUAUAUUAUUAAAUCAAUAAUUGAGAUGAUAAAGUUAUUCAUAUUAUUAUUUGCAAUAUUGACAAUGUCUAGAAGUUCUGUCAAGGAGAGGUUAGAUAACCUAAUUGCGCGCCAAUAGGGAGAAAUCCUUAUCGGAAAGCCCCCUCUUUCCUGGGAACGACCUGGUUGUUAAAUAUUAUGAAUUAUAAUAUUAAUGAUGAAUAAGUUCGUGUUGAUUAAAGAUGAAAUUGAUAGUUUUAUUGUGUUGGAAUUAUUGGUGUUAGUGAAAAUCGACAUUUAUUUCGAUCAUAAUUGAUAUCUGGAAGUUAUCGGGUAAUUAAUCGGAUAAAUGAUCAAUUAAUUGCUAUUAAUUCAUAUGCUUAUAACUAUGUGAUCACAUGUGUGUACUAUUGAUUCAUAUGAUUUACUAUUAGGGGAGUUGGUGCAAGAUUGAUAAUACCUGCAAGACUAAAUUAAAAAUGGAAGUAUAGAUGAAGGUACUAUACUAUAAUUAGUUUUUUCAAAUGAUUAUACUAUUGAGUCACAUGAAUGAACUAUUAAUUCACAUGAUUUACUAUUAGGGGAGGUGGUGCAAAUUUGAUAAUACUUGCAGGACUAAAUUAAAAAUGAAAGAAAAGUUGAAGGUAUUGUACUGUAAUAUUUCGAGCCCCAAAACGUGCAAUUAUCGAAACUAUAUUUUCCUAUAAAUAGAAGCUCAUUCUUCCUUCAUUUCUCACCAAUUCACUAAAGCUAUAGAGCAAUUAUUAUAGAGAGAAAUUAUAGAGAGAAAGAAGAAGAGAAGUCUGCUACCUCUCUACUCCAGUAUCCAGUUUCUUUCUAAGGUAAGGGGUAUUAUUUCUUUCGUAUUCAUGAAGAGAGCUUCUGUUAUUCCAUUCUUUAUUAUUAUGUUGGAAUAACCUGUCUAUGCGAAGUACCGCAUACAUGGUGAAAUUCUUCUGUUAUUCCAUUCUUUAUUAUUAUGUUGGAAUAACCUGUCUAUGCGAAGUACCGCAUACAUGGUGAAAUUCUUCUGUUAUUCCAUUCUUUAUUAUUAUGUUGGAAUAACCUGUCUAUGCGAAGUACCGCAUACAUGGUGAAAUUCUUCUGUUAUUCCAUUCUUUAUUAUUAUGUUGGAAUAACCUGUCUAUGCGAAGUACCGCAUACAUGGUGAAAUUCUUCUGUUAUUCCAUUCUUUAUUAUUAUGUUGGAAUAACCUGUCUAUGCGAAGUACCGCAUACAUGGUGAAAUUCUUCUGUUAUUCCAUUCUUUAUUAUUAUGUUGGAAUAACCUGUCUAUGCGAAGUACCGCAUACAUGGUGAAAUUCUUCUGUUAUUCCAUUCUUUAUUAUUAUGUUGGAAUAACCUGUCUAUGCGAAGUACCGCAUACAUGGUGAAAUUCUUCUGUUAUUCCAUUCUUUAUUAUUAUGUUGGAAUAACCUGUCUAUGCGAAGUACCGCAUACAUGGUGAAAUUCUUCUGUUAUUCCAUUCUUUAUUAUUAUGUUGGAAUAACCUGUCUAUGCGAAGUACCGCAUACAUGGUGAAAUUCUUCUGUUAUUCCAUUCUUUAUUAUUAUGUUGGAAUAACCUGUCUAUGCGAAGUACCGCAUACAUGGUGAAAUUCUUCUGUUGUUCCAUUCUUUAUUAUUCUGUUGGAAUAACCUGUCUGUGCGGUCUAUCGCAUGCCUGGUGAAUUCUUUUGUUAUUCCAUUCUUUAUUAUUCUGUUGGAAUAUCCUGUCUGUGCGGAUUACGCUAGACCUGAUUCCAUUCUUUAUUAUUCUGUUGGAAUAACCUGUCUGUGCGGUCUAUCGCAUGCAUGGUGAAUUCUUUUGUUAUUCCAUUCUUUAUUAUUCUGUUGGAAUAUCCUGUCUGUGCGGAUUACGCUAGACCUGGUUCCAUUCUUUAUUAUUCUGUUGGAAUAACCUGUCUGUGCGGUCUAUCGCAUGCAUGGUGAAUUCUUCUGUUAUUCCAUUCUUUAUUAUUCUGUUGGAAUAUCCUGUCUGUGCGGAUUACGCAUGACCUGGUUCCAUUCUUUAUUAUUCUGUUGGAAUAACCUGUCUAUGUGGAUUAUCACAUGCAUGGUGAAUGAUCCUUCGUAUUCAUUCCUUAUUAAAUUGUGGAAAUGAUCUGUCUACGUGGAUUACCGCAUGGCGGGUGAAAAUCCAUUUGCAGUUUCAUAUAUUCUAUGAUACUCAUUUGGUUAAAGUUUUGGCUUCUAUACUCCAUGAAAUUAGUAGAAUAUCCUGGAUAUUUGCGCUUCAUCCGGUAUCUUUUCAUGGAAAUAUUCUUCUGAGCAUUCUUGAAUUUUACUCCACAAAGCAGUAUCAUGUUGACAAUUUGGACGUAAUUGAUUUCAAGAUAAAUUAACUUAUAAAUCUUUAAAAUUUAUUCUUGAACUUGUUUUAUUGAAUUAUUAUGUCAUUGUCAUCAUCCUCAUGCUUAUAUUGUGAUGAAAGUCAUCUUUGGCUUACGUGCAUAGAUGGACUUGGUAUGAUUAUGACCAGGGAUUAUUCGGUAUAAUCAUGACCUGUAAUGUUAUAAAUGAUGUGGUAAAAGUCCUCAGUAGCCUGUAGUGCAUUGAUGGACAGUUUUUGGUAUGAUUAUGACCAGGGAUUAUUCGGUAUAGUCAUGACCAUUGAUGAUUUAAUGAAUAUCCUUGGCCCGUAGUGCAGGGAUGACUCGAUGAUGUGGUUUAUUUAUUAAGCUGAGUCUCAGCGAUAAAAAUUGAUGAAAACAUUUUAAAUCAUAGAAGAUAGUAGAUAUCAUGCUCUACUUGACUCUUCUAAUGGAUUGCUUAUUCCGCUGCAGUUAAACUUGAUGUCUAUUGUAUUUUAUCAGUUUAACAUUGUUGAAGACUAAUGAUAAUUUAUUCUGCAUUAUCUUAGUCAUAAUAUUUCUUACUGGGCUAGUUGAGCUCACCCUUUCUUUCACUGUUCUCUUCAGGAAAUGAGAACGUAGCCGGGACUAGUCGGGGAACGGAGUGACGGUCCAGAUGAUAGCAUUAGUAGUCCUCACUAUUCUGUUAAAUAGUGUGACAAUAAAUGUAAUGAGGACUCCAUUGAGUGUGGAUAUUGUCUAGAUGACAAUAUUCUUAUUAAAACUCUUAGAUUAUGUUUUGUCGUAUUUUACACGACUGUUGUAUAAUUAAGUUGUAUUUGAAUUUUGUACCAUGUAUUUGGCGACUCAAGAUGGGUGAUGUAUACCUGUUUUGGGGGCGUCACAGUUGGUAUCAAAGCUUAGGGAUAUGAUCCCUGGCUGAGAUGUGAGACAAGAACUAGGAGGGGAGAGACGGGGAAUUCCUUCGCUAGUAUGACCUACCUAAGUUUAUUUGGUAUUUAAUUGGUCGGUCAGAGUAUAGGGAUAAUAUGUGAUAUGUCAAUUAACCCUUGUUUUGUGACAGUGUUUGAAAAUGGCAUCCGAAAAUGUUGAGAUCAGCAAUGAAGCACAUGAGACCAUUGAGUCACCAACAAUCAAUACCCAGGAUAAUGUGCAACAUGAAGACAAUAAUCCUCAGGUAAAUAACAACACCGAUCAGAUGAUGAACGAUGAGAUGUUCAGAGGCUUUAUGCAAUUCAUGCAACAUCAGGUGAGAGAGACUCCUGUUCAUAAUGCAGAUGGAAACAAUGGCAACCCACGGUUGGUCACUGCUAAGCAGUUCAAGGAGAUGGGACCGCCGGAGUUUUUGGGAAAGCCAGAACCACUUAAGGCAGAGACGUGGUUAAAGCAGAUCACCAAGAUAUUUGAUGUCUUGGGGUGCUCUGAGGAGCAAAAGGUUCCCUUUGCCACCUUUAUGUUGCGUGAAGAGGCAGAUUACUGGUGGGAAUCUGUAAAACGUACCCAGCCUGACGCACUCAAGAUGUCUUAGGAGAAGUUCCAAGAGCUGUUCAACGACAAGUACUUUCUUGAAAGUAUUUGUCACAUGAAGGAGGUGGAAUUCAUCAAGUUGGAGCAAAAAAAUAUGACCGUGUUGCAAUACGAGGCUAAAUUUGCGGAGUUGUCCCUGUUUGCAUCCCAUUUGGUCGAUAAUGAGGAGCGAAUGACGCCAAUGUUUCUAAGAGGUUUGAAACCCGAUAUACGUCAAUACCUCAUUCCUCACAAACUUUGUUUAUAUUCAGAUGUUGUGAAUAGGGCUCAAUUAUUGGAGCGCGAUAAUGAGUCAGCAUAACCAAAAGGUAAUGAGCAACAACACGAUAAUAAUCGUACCGGUGGCAACGGCCAUCGGAACAAUGAUAACCAUUGUAGGGGAAAUUAUCAUGCCAAGAAUGGUAACCACUUCAGUGGUAAUCAUGGCCAAGAUAAUAGAAGUGGAAAUUUCAAGAAGAGAAGGUUCAAUAAUGAUGGAAAAACAGCAACACAAACACCCGUUUUCAAGGAAGGAGAACGACCACCAAUUGUAUGCUUCAAAUGCGGAGGGGAGGGACAUAUCAGUCCAAGCUGCAUGAUGCAGUCCAAAGCAUGUUACAAUUGUGGAAAAGAAGGUCACCUAGCCUGAUUUUAUCGUGCACCAAAGUCAAGUCCAGCUGGGACUGUGGCACCAAAGGCAGAUACGGACAAAACAAAGUCGGUGGUUUCAGGAAGAGCGUUUUUUGUGACUUCUCAAAAAGCGAGUAACCCGAACGAAGUUAGCACGGGUUAGUUAAUUAUAAAUUCUUGCGAAGUCUAUACCUUAUUAGAUACCGGUUCUACCCAUUCUUUUAUCUCUCUUGCUUGCGCUCAACAUUUAAAUUUGACUCCGGAAAAAUUAGACUUUGACUUAUUGGUUGAAACUCCAUUAGGAUAAACCUUCAUUUCAUGUGCUAUCCAAGUCUUGGGAUGAGAGUCACAGUUUUUAAAUGAUAUUUCUAUCGUUAAUAAAUUUCCUGACGUAUUCUCGAAGAACUUCCUAACCUACCCCUAGAGCGUGAAAUUGAAUUUUGUAUUGACCCCAGUACAAUAUCCAUUUCUAAAACCCUCAAAUAUUUCUUCAACCAAAACGAAUGUAUAAUGCGCCAAAGACGUUGGCUCGAGCUGUUGAAGACUACGACUAUACCAUUCAAUAUCAUCAUGGGAAAAUUGAACGUGGUAGCUAACGCGUUGAGUAGAAGAUCGUAUGCGUUUACGAGUGCGAUGUUGUUAACACAAAAACCCAUUUUGUAUAACUUACAAAUGAUAAAGAUAGAGUUAAAGACUCUAAGAACCCACGUGGUGAUAUCAAAUAUACGAGUAGAAUCGACUUUAAUCAAUAAAGUUAAAAGUCGUUCAAGCUACAGACGCGGAGCUGAUGAAUGUGAAGAAGAAGGUUCAAGAAGGCGUUAUCUCAACCCUUAAUUUAAUUGGUAUAUUUGAAAUCCUCGAUUGAGUAGGAACUGUGGCCUAUAGAAUCGCUUUAACGCCAAGUAUGUCGCGUGUUCAUAACAUUUUUCAUGCAUCGAUGUUACGUAAAUAUAUGGAUGACCCGAACCACAUUAUUGAAUUAGAACUAGACAAGAUAGCAGAAGAUUUAACGUAUGAGGAGAUACAUGUUAAAAUCUUGGAUAAGAAAGAUUAUAUUCGACACUUAAAGGUUAUACCUCAAGAGUUGGAAUAUGAAAUGAAGUUAAGGUAUCCUCACCUCAUCGGCAUACCAGGUACGUACGUAAAUUUCGAGGGCGAAAUUUCAUAAGGAGGGGAGAUUUUAAGACCCCGAAUUUUAUGAAAUGAAAGUAUUCAAUUUUCUUAUAAUUAUUAUUUUAUUUCAUAAAUGGUUAAAUUCAUAAAAGGUUAAAGUUAAGGGUGAUAUGUGAAAAUUUUGCAAAGUAAGCAAGUUGUCAUAAAAUAUUUUUUUUGUCGGGGAAUAUCCGUACGGCGGCACAAUCAUUGGUGGACCCCACAACGAAAAUAUUAUCGUAGUAAGAAAAUGACAGAAUUAUCUUUUUAUAAAAAUAACGGCGAAAGUGUUACCAUUAAAACUGUUGAACUACCCAAUAGUAAAAGUACAGUAAUACACGUGGUUGCAUAGUAGCACACGGUAUUGAUUAUUGAUGCUUACGUAAGAAGUCACUCAGUUAUACUCAAUUAUUGCUACAGUAAUUGCUGAAUCAUAUCUCUCAUAUUAUUGAUUCAAUUAUUGCCACAGUAUCAUCUGUAUAAUAUGUUAUAUUAUUAAAUCAAUAAUUGAGACGACAAAGUUAUUCAUAUUAUUAUUUGCAAUAUUGACAAUGUCUAGAAGUUCUGUCAAUGAGAGGUUAGAUAAUCUAAUUGCGCGCCAAUAAGGAGAAAUNNNNNNNNNNNNNNNNNNNNNNNNNNNNNNNNNNNNNNNNNNNNNNNNNNNNNNNNNNNNNNNNNNNNNNNNNNNNNNNNNNNNNNNNNNNNNNNNNNNNNNNNNNNNNNNNNNNNNNNNNNNNNNNNNNNNNNNNNNNNNNNNNNNNNNNNNNNNNNNNNNNNNNNNNNNNNNNNNNNNNNNNNNNNNNNNNNNNNNNNNNNNNNNNNNNNNNNNNNNNNNNNNNNNNNNNNNNNNNNNNNNNNNNNNNNNNNNNNNNNNNNNNNNNNNNNNNNNNNNNNNNNNNNNNNNNNNNNNNNNNNNNNNNNNNNNNNNNNNNNNNNNNNNNNNNNNNNNNNNNNNNNNNNNNNNNNNNNNNNNNNNNNNNNNNNNNNNNNNNNNNNNNNNNNNNNNNNNNNNNNNNNNNNNNNNNNNNNNNNNNNNNNNNNNNNNNNNNNNNNNNNNNNNNNNNNNNNNNNNNNNNNNNNNNNNNNNNNNNNNNNNNNNNNNNNNNNNNNNNNNNNNNNNNNNNNNNNNNNNNNNNNNNNNNNNNNNNNNNNNNNNNNNNNNNNNNNNNNNNNNNNNNNNNNNNNNNNNNNNNNNNNNNNNNNNNNNNNNNNNNNNNNNNNNNNNNNNNNNNNNNNNNNNNNNNNNNNNNNNNNNNNNNNNNNNNNNNNNNNNNNNNNNNNNNNNNNNNNNNNNNNNNNNNNNNNNNNNNNNNNNNNNNNNNNNNNNNNNNNNNNNNNNNNNNNNNNNNNNNNNNNNNNNNNNNNNNNNNNNNNNNNNNNNNNNNNNNNNNNNNNNNNNNNNNNNNNNNNNNNNNNNNNNNNNNNNNNNNNNNNNNNNNNNNNNNNNNNNNNNNNNNNNNNNNNNNNNNNNNNNNNNNNNNNNNNNNNNNNNNNNNNNNNNNNNNNNNNNNNNNNNNNNNNNNNNNNNNNNNNNNNNNNNNNNNNNNNNNNNNNNNNNNNNNNNNNNNNNNNNNNNNNNNNNNNNNNNNNNNNNNNNNNNNNNNNNNNNNNNNNNNNNNNNNNNNNNNNNNNNNNNNNNNNNNNNNNNNNNNNNNNNNNNNNNNNNNNNNNNNNNNNNNNNNNNNNNNNNNNNNNNNNNNNNNNNNNNNNNNNNNNNNNNNNNNNNNNNNNNNNNNNNNNNNNNNNNNNNNNNNNNNNNNNNNNNNNNNNNNNNNNNNNNNNNNNNNNNNNNNNNNNNNNNNNNNNNNNNNNNNNNNNNNNNNNNNNNNNNNNNNNNNNNNNNNNNNNNNNNNNNNNNNNNNNNNNNNNNNNNNNNNNNNNNNNNNNNNNNNNNNNNNNNNNNNNNNNNNNNNNNNNNNNNNNNNNNNNNNNNNNNNNNNNNNNNNNNNNNNNNNNNNNNNNNNNNNNNNNNNNNNNNNNNNNNNNNNNNNNNNNNNNNNNNNNNNNNNNNNNNNNNNNNNNNNNNNNNNNNNNNNNNNNNNNNNNNNNNNNNNNNNNNNNNNNNNNNNNNNNNNNNNNNNNNNNNNNNNNNNNNNNNNNNNNNNNNNNNNNNNNNNNNNNNNNNNNNNNNNNNNNNNNNNNNNNNNNNNNNNNNNNNNNNNNNNNNNNNNNNNNNNNNNNNNNNNNNNNNNNNNNNNNNNNNNNNNNNNNNNNNNNNNNNNNNNNNNNNNNNNNNGAAAUGAGAACGUAGCCGGGACUAGUCGGGGAAUGGAGUGAUGGUCCGAGAUGGUGUCAUAGUAGUCCUCACUAUUCUAUAAAAUAGUGUGAUAAUAAAUGUAAUGAGGACUCCAUUGAGUGUGGAUAUUGUCUAGAAGGCAAUAUUCUUGUUUAAACUCUCAGUUAUGUUUUGUCGUAUUUUACACGAUAGUUGUAUAAUUAAGUUUUUAUUUGUAUUCUGUACCAUGUAUCUGGCGACUCAAGAUGGGUGAUGUAUACCUGUUUUGGGGGCGUCACAAAAAAUUUGAUAGAAUAUAAUAGACAACAAAUUUUAGAUCAACAACUGCAGCGGAAACAACAAUUCAUUAGAAGAGUCAAGUAGAGAAUGAAAUCUAUUAUCAUCUAUGAAUUUAAAAGUCCAUCAUCAAUAUUUUAUUCCUGUAACUUCAAUCAAUAUACAUCUUGAAUCAAAUAUUCAUCUUUGCACUACGGGCCAAAGAUAUUCAUUUAUAUCACCAGUUGGUCAUGUUCAUCUCAACACCUGUUCAUCUUUGCACUACGGGCCAAAGAUAUUCAUCAGGUUAUCAUAUAUCUUUCCACUAUAGGCCAAAGAUAUUCAUCAAUUAUCACCAUUAAGGACUGAGGAUGAUGAAAAACAUUUUAGAGAACGAAUCUAGUGAGAUAAAAGGACAAAGAUUAGGGAUUCGUACUUUAGAUAAUCCAAGUUUAAAAAUUCUCCAUAAUAAACCAUAAUGGAGUAAAAUUCAAGAAUGAAGAUCAAAACAUGGAUACAAUCAAAGAUAGUAACCAUAAUAGACAUCUGGGACAAAGAAGAGAAAAUUUCAUUUUUUGGUGAAUAGUGUCGUAUUUAUGAAUAGUGUCGUAUACGUGAAUAGUAACCCCGAUACAAAAAGGUAAAAGUUUCACAAUAAAAUUCAUAUCAAUAUUUCAGCAUAAUGAUAUUGAACAAAAUAAUAUCAUUUACGAAGAAAAUAACAUCCCUUACCUCAAAAUAACAGUAUUUCUGAUCGUAAUAUCGGAUGUAAUGCUAAAAAAAACUUGCACUGAAUAGCAACUCUCAAAGUAUCUAAAUACUCAAAAAAAAUACGCUCGACAAUAUAAAGAGAGAAAACUUAUGUUUCUGGUGUGAUUUUCAAUUCUAACUUAAGCGUCUAUUUAUAGUAAAAUGCUAGAAUGUCAUAGGAGACUAAAAUAAUAAAAUAUUAUUAUUUAUUAUCUUUCCUUCUACGCCAUCCUUUUUGAAUCAGCCAGCAUGCCAAUUCUGAAAAUUUUUUGCAGCCCACAUAUUUUUAACAAAAGUGGGUCCCACCCAUAAUAAAAACAUUUAAUUUCCAAAACUUCAACAAUUCAUAAUAAAUAGCCCUUUUAUCAGAAAAAUAUGAAUUGUAUGUCCAUUCCAUACGAAAUCGAAUUCUCUACAACUUUGUAGCUUUAAGUUUUUCCAAAUUCCGAACAAAAAAUAUCUGAAAUUCACAAACGGACGAUUUUCAAUACCUCAUAAAAUUCAUAACAAAUCAUACGUUAAUUUUUAACGGUUCAAAAUUUGUGGACAUAUACUCAACUUAUAUAUGUAUAACAUAUCCAAAAAUCUCAACGAUUCAACGGUCAGAUUAAAAUUAUAACUCACACAAUAGAGCUUUAAGAACACUGAUUUGAUUUUUAAUACCUAUCCACAUAAAAUAAAUAUUUUCUUAUCAUAUAAAUCAAUAAAUAAUUAUUCAUAAAUAAUAUUACAAAAUCACAAUAAUGACAACUAGGCCGUUCCCAGGAAAGAGGGGGCUUUCCGAUAAGGAUUUCUCCUUACUAGCGCGCAAUUAGGUGACCAAACCUCUCCUUGACAGAACUUUCUAGACAUUGCCAAUAAUGCUAUCUAAUAAUAUUAUUCAAAUAAUAUGAAUUAUUGAUCUGAUAAUAGGAAAUAAUGUGCAGUGACAAUUAUUGAAACAAUAAUAAUAUAAAAUAUCAACGCAGCAAUUAUUGAAUCAAUAAAAUAAAAUAUUGAACAGUAAUUACUGUAACAAAUAUUGAGUAGUGCCUUCUUACGUAAGAAUCAAUAAUUCAAAAAUACUGUGUAAUACCGUGUGCUACUAUGAAACCACGCGUAUUACUGUAUUUUAACCACCGGGUAUUCCUACAGUGUUAACGGUAACGAUUAUGACGUUAUUUAUAAAAACUCAAACUUGUCAUUUUCUUUAUCCGACAGUUAUUCUGUUAUGGGGCCCACAAAUGGCUACAUCGUCGUACGAAUAUUCCCCGAUAAUAAGAAUAUUCCACGACCAAUCAAAUAUUUCCCGACAACAAUAAAUAUUUUAUAACCACUUGCUUAUUUUGCAAAAUUUGCACAUUUCACCCAUAACCAAAGUAUUAUAUCAAAUUAUCUCCUUAUUAUUUCAAGAUAAUAAAUACAGAAAAUUCAAUUUUAUUUAUAAUAAGUUGGGGUCUUACAACCUCCCCUCCUUGUGAAAUUUCAUCCUCAAAAUUGACGUACGUACCUGGUGUUUCGAAAAGGUGAGGGUACCUCGCUUUCAUUUUUGAUUCUAACUCCCAGGUCAUUUCUUAAAUAGCAUGGUUCCUCCACAACACCUUGACUUGUGGUAUAACCUUUGUACGUAGGACAUGUUCUUUCCUAUCCAAUAUCUUGACAGGUACCUCCUCGUACGUUAAAUCUUCGGCUAUCUCGUCUGGUUCUAACGCAAUAAUGUGGUUUGGGUCUUUCAUAUAUUUACAAAGCAUACAUAUGUGAAAAACAUUAUGAACACGAGACAUGCUUAGAGGUAAUGCGAGUCUAUAGGCCAUAUUUCCUAUUCCGUCAAGAAUCUCAAAUGGACCAACAAAUCGUGAAUUGAGCUUUCCUCUCUUCCCAAAUCUUGUAACUCCCUUCCAUGGAGCAAUACAUAACAGUACAUGAUCUCUAAUAUUAAAUUCCACGUCCUUUCGAUGAAGAUCAGCAUAACUCUUUUGUCGAUCUUGUGAGGUCUUUAUACGUUGCCGGAUCAUUUGAAUCUUUUCUGUAGUCAUGCGUACUAAUUCUGGUCCCAACAACGUUGCUUCACCCACCUCGUCCCAACAUACUGGAGAGCGACACUUUCGUCCAUAUAAUGCUUUAAAUGGAGCCAUGCCUAUACUUGCUUGAUAACUGUUGUUGUAGGAGAAUUCCACCAAUGGCAAGUACUUAUCCCAACUUCCUUUGAAAUCUAGGACACAGAGUCUUAAUAGAUCUUCAAGGGUUUGAAUAGUUCUUUCCGAUUGCCCGUCCGUUUGAGGAUGGUAUGCCGAACUGAAUCGUAAAUCCGUGCCCAUAGCUUUCUGCAAGCUAACCCAAAAUCGUGAAGUAAAUCUUGGGUCACGAUCUGAAACUAUGGAUAUUGGCAUGCCAUGUAAUCUCACAAUCUCAUUUACGUACAUACGAGAAAGACGUUCAAGGGAAUAAGUCUCACGUAUAGGCAAGAAAUGAGCAGACUUGGUUAAUCUAUCAACAAUAACCCAAAUCGCAUCUAUGCCUUGAGAAACUUUGGGAAGACCUGCAAAAAAAUCCAUAGUAAUGUGUUACCACUUCCAUUUCAGAAUCUCAAGUGGUUGCAAUUGACCCUUUGGCACUUGAUGCUCCGCCUUUACACAUUGACAAGUUAAACACCUCGAGAUAAACUUCGUGAUCUCUCUCUUUAUUUUUUUCCACCAAAAUGUAUGUCGAAUAUCAUGAUACAUUUUGGUACUCCCAAGAUGGAUUGCAAAUGGUGUGUUGUGUGCCUCCAUCAUGAUUCUAUGCUUUAAGUCAGAAUCGUUAGGAACACAAAGUCUGGAGUUGACUCUAAGUAUUCCUUCUUCAUCUAUUCUUACUUUUGGAAUAGUACCUUCUUGCACUUUCUUCAUCAUACGCAUCAGCUCCAUAUCUGUAGCUUGAACAGCUUUCACUUUAUCGAUUAAAGUCGGUUCUACUCGUAUAUUUGAUAUCAUCACUUGGGUACUUAGAGCCUUUAACUCUAUCUCCAUCCUUUGUAAGUCGUAUAAAAUGGGUCUUUGUGUUAAUAAUAUCGCACUCGUACCUGCAUACGAUCUUCUACUUAAUGCGUCAGCUACAACGUUUGCUUUUCCAGGAUGAUAUUGAAUGCUAUGGUCGUAAUCUUUCAAAAAUUCGAGCCAACGUCGUUACCGCAUGUUGACUUCCUUUUGGGUGAAAAAAUAUUUAAGGCUUUUAUGAUCUGUAUAAAUCUCCACUUUCUCCCCAUACAGGUAGUGUCUCCAGAUUUUCAACGCAAAAACGACAGCUGCCAACUCCAGAUCAUGAGUAGGAUAAUUCCACUUAUAUUCUUUGAGUUAUCGCAAGGCAUAGGCUAUGACUUUCCCAUGUUGCAUGAGAACACAUCCUAACCCUUUGCCUGAAGCAUCGCUGUAGAUAACAAAUCCAUCCGAACCAGAUGGUAUUGUCAGAACAGGUGCCGAAAUGAGUCUCCUCUUGAGCUCUUGGAAACUCUUCUCACAUUCUUCGCUCCAUACGAAUUUUGUAUCUUUCCGAGUCAGCUGAGUUAACGGAGUAGCGAUUCGAGAAAAUCCUUCCACGAAUCUCCGAUAAUAACCAGCUAAGCCCAGAAAGCUACGUACUUCGGUCACCGACUUCGGUUGCUCCCAACUUUGUAUUGCUUCAAUCUUCGCCGGGUCAACAGAUACUCCAUGUUUUGACACCACGUGCCCAAGGAAUGCUACUUCCUUAAGCCAGAACUCACAUUUCUUCAGCUUGGCAUAUAGCUUGUUGUCAUGAAGUCUUUGCAGUACCAGCUUCAAAUGUUGCUCAUGAUCUUCACGGCUUUUGGAAUAGAUGAGGAUGUCAUCAAUAAAGACAACAACGAACUGAUCCAAAUAUUCCUUGAAUACAUGGUUCAUCAUAUCCAUGAAAGCAGCAGGAGCAUUAGUCAAUCCAAAAGAUAUGACUAAGAAUUCAUAAUGCCCGUAACGAGUUCUGAAGGCAGUCUUCGGAAUAUCCUCAAUUUUAAUCUUCAGCUGAUGAUAUCCAGAACGAAGAUCGAUCUUUGAAAAGAAUUGUGCUCCUUACAACUGAUCAAACAGGUCAUCAAUGCAAGGUAGCGGAUACCUAUUCUUGAUGGUGACAUGGUUCAAUUCCCGAUAGUCAAUAUAAAGUCCCAUACUCUCGUCUUUCUUCUUUAUAAAUAAAACAGGAGCACCCCUAGGAGAUUUACUAGGAUGAAUGAAACUGGUGUCCAACAACUCCUGUAGUUGGACCUUUAACUCCUGAAGUUCAAUAGGAGCCAUUCGAUAUGGAAUUUUAGAAAUGGACUUUGUACCCGGUAAAAGAUUAAUAAAGAAUUCAACUUCACGUUCUGGGGGUAGACCAGGAAGUUCUUCAGGAAAUACAUCAGGAAAUUCACUAACAACAGAAAUAUUAUUCAAAUCUAACGUGUUUUUGUUCAAGUCCAUAAUAUGGGCUAAGAAAGCUUGACAUCCAUUUUUCAAUAAACGAAUAGCUUUAUAGGUUGAUAUGACAGUGACUGAUUUUAGUGGUUUAGUUUCUUGAAUUCGUAUAACAGGUUGGUUAGGAAUAUUAAAACUAACAACCUUACGAAAACAAUCAAUUUUGGCAUGAUGAGUGGUUAACCAAUUAAUCCCUAAAAUCACAUCAAAUGCAAGUAUCUUUAAAGAGAUAAGAUCAACAGGUAAUGUGAUUGUGCCAACUUGGAUCAAGCAAGAUUUAUAAAUAGUGGAUGUGAUAAAGGUUUCUCCUAACGGAGUCUCCACAGAUAAGUCAAAGUCUAAUUUCUCCAGAGUCAAGUUUAAACGUUGAGUACAAGGAGGAGAGAUAAAAGAAUGGGUUGAACCAGUAUCUAGUAAGGAAUAAACUUCGCAAGAGUUCAAGAUUAGCUUACCCGUGAUCACCUCAUUCGGGUUUCUCGCAUUUUGGCCAGUCACGACAAAUCCCUCCCUUGAACCACCGACUUUGUUUUGUCUGUAUUCGCCUUUGGUGUCGCCGUUCCAGUUGGACUUGACUUUGCUAUCGGACAAAAUCGAGCUAUAUGACCGUCUUUUCCACAAUUGAAACACACCUUGGAAGGCUGUGAACAAUUUAGACUUAUGUGUCCCUCCUCUCCGUAUUUGUAGCAUCUAACUGGCGGUCGUUCUCCUCCCCUAGAAUUUUUUGUUGGUGUUGGUGCUGAUGUCUUCCCGUCAUUGUUGAAUCUCCUCUUUUUGAAAUUUCCACUUGACUCACCUCUCCUAUGAUCAUGGCCACGAUUACCACCAGAGUGGUUACCACUUUUGUCCGUAUUUUUCCCUCCUCGCUGGUUAUCAUCGCUCCGAUGACUGCUAUCACCGGUAUGACCCUGGUUGUGGUCCCUUGGUUGAACAUACUCAUUAUCUCGCUCUAAUAAUUGAGCCCUGUUGACAACAUCUGAAUACAGAGAAAUUUUUUUAGAGAUAAGGUAUUAACGAAUCUCGGGUUUUAGACCUCUCAGAAACAUUCGCGUCAUACAUUCCUCAUUCUCUACCAAAUGAGGUGCAAACCUGGAUAACUCUGCGAACAUCGCCUCGUAUUGGGACACCGUCAUAUUGUUCUAUUCCAAUCUAAUAAACUCUACCUCCUUCAUAUUACGAAUACUUUCAGGAAAGUACUUGUCAUUGAACAGUUUUUGAAAUCUUUCCCAAGACAUGUUGAGUACGGUUGGCUGGGUACGCUUCACAGAUUCCCACCAGUAAUCUGCCUCACCACGGAAAAUAAGGGUGGCGAAUGGAACCUUUUGUUCUUCCGUGCAUCCCAAGACAUCGAAUAUCUUGGUAAUUUGCUUGACCCAUGUUUUCGCCUUAAUCGGAUCCGGUUUUCCCCAGAAAUCUGGUGGUCCCAACUCCUUGAACUGCUUGGCUGUGACAAAUCGCGCGUUGCUAUCAUUUCCACCCAUAUUUUGUAAACUAGACUACCUCGUCUGAUUUUGCAUGAAUUAUAAAAAGCUUCUAAACAUUCCAUCAUUCAUCGUUUGCUCCAUAGUGUUGUUUACAAGAGGAAUAUUGCCUUCCUGUUGCACGUUCUCUUGGUUGGUGAUUGAAGGUUGUUCCACAGUCUUAUACACUCCAUUGUUAACGUUCUCAUCUGUCAUUCUUAAAAACUGCCAUAAAACAAGGGUUAAUUAAACAAAUUAACAUGUCACAUAAUAUCCCUAUAUUAUGACAGACCAACAAAUAAGCUUAGGUAGGACACACUAGCGAAGGAUUUACUCGUCUCUCCCCUCCAAGUUUUAUUCCCCGAUCUCCGCUAGAGACCAUAUCCCUAAGCUCUGAUACCAACUGUGACGCCCUCAAAAUAGGUAUACAUCACCCAUUCUGAGUUGCCAAAUACAUGGUACAGAAAAUAACUACAACUUUAUUAUUACAAUUGUUGUACAAAAUACGACAACACAUACUGUGAGUUUAAAUAAAAAUAUUAUCUUCUAGACAAUAUCCACACUCAAAUAAAGUCCUCAUUACAAUUAUUGAUGCACUAUUUUAUAAAAAUAAUGAGGACUGCUAAAACAACUGUCUAGGACCAUCACCCUAUACCCCGACUGGUUCAUGUUAUGUUCGCUUCCUGAGAAGAAAAUGAAACAAAAAGGAAAAGGGUGAGCUCAACUAGCCCAAUAAAGAAUAUUAUGACUAAGAUAAUAUAUAACAAAUUAUCCUUAAUCUUUAACAGGGAAAAAUCUGAUAGAAUAUAAUAGACAACAAGUUUUAGAUCAACAACUGCAGAAUACGAAUUUUAUGUCCAUUCCAUACGAAAUCGAAUUCUCUACAACUUUAUAGCUUUAAGUUUUUUCCAAAUUCCAAACAGAAAAUAUCUGAAAUCCACAAACGGACGAUUUUCAAUACCUCAUAAAAUUCAUAACAAAUCAUACGUUAAUUUUUAACGGUUUAAAAUUUGUGGACAUAUACUCAACUUAUAUAUGUAUAACAUAUCCAAAAAUCACAACGAUCCAAAGGUCGGAUUAAAAUUAUAACUCACGCAAUAGAGCUUUAAGAACACUGAUUUGAUUUUUAAUACCUCCAUCCUAACAAAAAUACUGAUAAAACACCUCAACAUUAAUUCCUUCAAUUAUAUCCACAUAAAAAUAAAUAUUUCCUUAUCAUAUAAAUAAAUAAUUAAUUAUUCACAAAUAAUAUUACAGAAUCACAAUAAUGACAACCAAGCCGUUCCUAGGAAAAAGGGUGCUUUCCGAUAAAGAUUUCUCCUUAUUGGCGCGCAAUUAGGUGACCAAACCUCUCCUUGGCAUAACUUUCUAGACAUUGCCAAUAAUGCUAUCUAAUAAUAUUAUUCAAAUAAUAUGAAUUAUUGAUCUGAUAAUGGGAAAUACUGUGCAGUGACAAUUAUUGAAACAAAAAUAAUAUAAAAUAUCAAUACAUCAAUUAUUGAAUCAAUAAAAUAAAAUAUUGAAUAGUAAUUAUUGUAACAAUUAUUGAGUAGUGCCUUCUUACGUAAGAAUCAAUAAUUCAAAAAUAUUGUGUAAUACCGUGUGCUACUGUACAACCACGCGUAUUACUAUAUUUUAACCACCGGGUAUUCCAACAGUGUUAACAGACGAUUACGCCGUUAUUUAUAAAAACUCAAACUUGUUGUUUUCUUCAUCUAACAAUUAUUCCAUUAUGGGGCCUACAAAUAGUUGCACCGUCGUACGAAUAUUCCCCGAUAACAAGAAUAUUCCACGACUUAUCGAAUAUUCUCCGACAACAAUGAAUAUUUUAUAACCACUUGUUUAUUUUGCAAAAUUUGCACAUUUCACCCAUAACUAAAGUAUUAUAUCAAAUUAUCACCUUAUUAUUUCAAAAUAAUAAAUAGAGAAAAUUUAAUUUUAUUUAUAAUAAGUUGGGGUCUUACAUUUACAGUGUAACGGUGAUAUUUGAUAUUUUCGACGGAAUUUCUGUCAGAAUUCUUCAAUUGCAAAUUUUGUGGGCUCAUGUAACUAUUUAAAUAUGUUACUUAAUUUUCCAACACUAAAAUGAACUAAGUACUAUUUACUUAGUUUUGUACUACUAAAUAAAAUAAAAUAAUAUUAUAAAUAAUAUAAAUUUUAAAUAAUAUAAUAUAAUAUAAUUAAAUAACAUAAGAUAAGAUAAUUAAGAUAAAAUGAAAUGAAAUAAAAUAAAAUAAUUUACUAAAUCAAAUAACUUAAAUUAUAUCUAAUAAAUAAAUAAAUGAAAUUAAAUUAAAUAAUAUAAUAUAAUAUGAUUAAUAAUAAGAUAAAAUAAAAUAUAGAAUAAUAAUAAAUUAUAAUAAUUUAAAUUUAAUUAAAUAAAAUGAAAUAAAAUAAAAAAUUUAAUUUAAUAAAAAAAUAUAAUAUAUAUAAUAUAAUACAAAUAAAAUACAAUCCAAUAAAAAAUAUUAAUAAAAUAAAAUAAAAUAAAUUUAAUUAAAAUAAUUUAAAAUAAAUUAAAUUAAAACAUAAGAAUUAAUUUAAUUUGAUUUAAUAAAAUAAAAAAAUGAAGUUAAUUUAAUAUAAUAAAAUAAUCAAAAAUUAUAUUAUAUAUUAUAGUACAAAAUAAAAUAAAAUACAAUUAAAUAAAAUAAUAAAGACAAUUAAAUUAAUUUUAUAAAAUAAAAAACAAUAAUUUAAUAGUAGUCUCCAUAUAUAUUCCAAAUAAUAGUUCUCAGAAACUAAGUAGCACUUACUUAGUUUUUCAUUGACAAAAUAAACUAAGUAGCAUUUGCUUAGUUUGCCACAAUUUUUAAUAAACUCAAUAAUACUCUCCCUUUAAUCUUCAAUACACUUAAUAAUGUACUAUACUUUGAAACUUAGAAACCCGUUUGACAUUCACUCAAUAGGAGUGAAUGUCGAACAGUCCCCAAGUUGACAUUCCUUGUAUGCAGGGUUCGACAUAGCAGUUGCAGCUAAUAGUACUCCAACCAGUUCCUCGGCAGCAAUUAAAAAAAAUGAGUCGUAGUUCCUGUUUGUGUUCUAUACUCGAAUAAUAAAGUUAAUUGAAUUAUUACGAACAUUCCUCACUAUUCCAUCAUAACAAAUGACAACAUCCGGAAGGAGUGCCAUUAAGUUAUUGAACAAUGUUCUAGGUUAAGCAACCCUCUAAAUGAACGAACGAUCACUUCUCUGCUAAGAAUGAAUCAUCUCCCCAUAUGGGUCCAAUCCAUGACAUAGACAGCUUCUCACCACUUCGAAUUCCUCAGAUGGGUAGUUCUUGUAAGACCCCGAAUUUUAUAAAAUGAAAGUAUUCAAUUUUUUAUAAUUAUUAUUCUAUUUAAAAAAUGGUUAGGUUGAUAAAAUGUUAAAGUUAAGGGUGAUAUAUGAAAAAAUUUCAAAGUAAGUAAGUUGUCAUAAAAUAAUUGGUGGUAAAAGUAUAGUAAUACGUGUGGGUGCAUAGUAGCAUACGGUAUUGAUUAUUGAUGCUUACGUAAGAAGUCACUCAGUUAUACUCAAUUAUUGCUACAGUAAUUGCUGCAUCAUAUCUCUCAUAUUAUUAAUUUAAUUAUUAUCACAGUAUCAUCUGCAUAAUAUGUUAUAUUAUUAACUCAAUAAUUGAGACGACAAAGUUAUUCAUAUUAUUAUUUGCAAUAUUGACAAUGUCUAGAAGUUCUGUCAAUAAGAGGUUUGGUCACCUAAUUGCGUGCUAAUAAGAAGAAACCUUAUUGGAAAGCCCCCUCUUUCCUGGGAACGAACUAGUUGUUAAAUAUUGUGAGUUAUAAUAUUAAUGAUGAAUAAGUUCAUGUUAAUUGAAGAUAAAAUUGAUAGUUUUAUUGUGUGGGAAUUAUUGGUGUUAGUGGAAAUCGACAUUUACUUCGAUAAUAAUUGAUGUCUGGAGGUUAUAUUGACCAAUCGGGUAAUUAAUCGGAUAAAUGAGUAAUUAAUUGCUAUUAAUUCACAUGCUUAUAACUAUGUGUUCACAUGUGUGUACUAUUGAUUCACAUGAUUUACUAUUAGGGGAGUUGGUGCAAGAUUGAUAAUACUUGCAUGACUAAGUUAAAAAUGGAGGUAUAGAUGGAGGUACUAUACUGUAAUUCGUAUUUUCACAUGAUUAUAACUAUUGAUUCACAUGAUUGAACUAUUGAUUCACAUUAUUUACUAUUAGGGGAGGUGGUGCAAGUUUGAUAAUACUUGCAGGACUAAAUUAAAAAUGAAGAAAAAGAGGAAGGUAUUAUACUGUAAUAUUUCGAGCCCCAAAACGUGCAAUUAUCGAAACUAUAUUUUCCUAUAAAUAGAAGCUCAUUCUUCCUUCAUUUCUCACCAAUUCACUAAAGCUAUAGAGCAAUUAUUAUAGAGAGAAAUUAUAGAGAGAAAGAAGAAGAGAAGUCUGCUACCUCACUAUUCCAGUAUCCAGUUUCUUCUAAGGUAAGGGGUAUUAUUUCUUUCGUAUUCAUGAAGAGAGUUAUUUUCUUUCAAUACUCGUAAGGGUUGUUAUUCCAUUCUUUAUUAUUCUGUUGGAAUAACCUGUCUGUGCGGUCUAUCGCAUGCCUGGUGAAUUCUUUUGUUAUUCCAUUCUUUAUUAUUCUGUUGGAAUAACCUGUCUAUGCGGACUACCGCAUGCAUGGUGAAUUCUUUUGUUAUUCCAUUCUUUAUUAUUCUAUUGGAAUAACCUGUCUACGCGGACUACCGCGUGCAUGGUGAAUUCUUCUAUUAUUCCAUUCUUUAUUAUUCUGUUGGAAUAAACUGUCUACGCGGACUACCGUAUGCAUGGUGAAUUCUUUUGUUAUUCCAUUCUUUAUUAUUCUGUUGGAAUAACCUGUCUACGCGGACUACCGCAUGCAUGGUGAAUUCUUCUGUUAUUCCAUUAUUUAUUAUUCUGUUGAAAUAACCUGUCUAUGUGGACUAUCACAUGCAUGGUGAAUGAUCCUUCGUAUUCAUUCUUUAUUAAAUUGUGGAAAUGAUCUGUCUACGUGGAUUACCGCAUGGCGGGUGAAAAUCCAUUUGCAGUUUUGUAUAUACUAUUAUACUCGUAUGAGAUAUCAUUUUUUUGUACUCAUCAUGGAAUAUCAUUUUCUUUGGUAUUUUUCUUUUUCGAGUUACUAUUCACGGGUUACUAUUCACCCAGUUACUAUUCACUCUAGUAUUAUUCACUUAGGUAUUCGGGACACUUUUCGUGCCGGAGUACUAUUCACGGGUUACUAUUCACCCAAAUAUUAUUCACUCAGGUAUUUGGGGUACUUUUCAUGUCGGAGUACUAUUCACGAGGUACUAUUCCCGAAGUACUAUUCACAAGGUACUAUUCACGGGGUACUAUUUACCCGAAAAAUAUAUUUCUUUUCUGUCUAAAUUAUUUUUGGUACAUGAAUAUUAUUCUUGAAUUUUACUCCACAAAGCAGUAUCUUGUUGACAAUUUGGAUAUUUUUAAAUUCUGGAUAAAUUUAAAGUCUUUAGUAUUUAUCCUUGAUUUCGUUUGAUUAAUACUUAUAUCAUUUUCAUCAUCCUCAUGCUUAUAUUGUGAUGAAAGGCAUCUUUGGCUUACGUGCAUAGAUGGACUAUUGAUUAUUGGUUUUCAGUUGUAUAUCUUUGGCUUACGUGCAAAGAUGUACUGUUGAUUAUUGGUUUUACAGUUGUAUAUCUUUGGCUUACGUGCAAAGAUGGACUGUUGAUUACUGGUUUUAUAGUUGUAUAUCUUUGGCUUACGUGCAAAGAUGAACUAUUGAUUGAUGAGUAUCUUUAGUUUAUAUACAUAGAAGAACUGUUGAUUUGUGACGCCCCCAAAAUAGGUAUACAUCACCCAUUCUGAGUCGCCAGAUAUCACUCUAUAAAAAUCAAAUACAAACUUCAUUUAUACAACUGUUGAACUGUCGUGCAGAGUACGACAAUAGAUAAGCUGUGAGUUGUAAUACAAUAUUAUCUCGUACAUAGUAUCCAAACUCAAAUUGUUACAAUGCCAUAUAAAAUACAGCAGCAAAUAUUUUAAGACCCCAAAGAAGAACGAGAAAAUUACUAUCAUAUUCAUUCUAAUGAGGUGCACUUUUGACGCUUUCAAAGUCGGGUUCUCAUCACCCUAUUGUUGUUCGCCAAAUCAAUUAUUAAGUGACGUAUAAAAUACGACACACACAUCUUAGGUCCUCAAUACAAUUAUCCGCUGCAUGUCAUGCCGUUUUAUAAUGUAUUGAGAAACUUCGACAGUCUCGGACCAUCACACUAUUUCCCUGUUAUCCCCGCUCGACCCAGCUGCACUCUUAUUACCUGAAAAGAAUUGUGAAGCAAAGGGUGAACACAAAUAGCCUAGUAAAGAAUAUCAUGACUAAAGAUAAUUAAAUUAUCAACAGCCUUCGUCAAUAAUAAAUCAGAGAUUUAGAACAUAUAGUAGAUGAUAAAACUUUUCAACCAUAGUUGCAGCAGAACGAGCAAUCCAUUAGAAGAGUCAAAUAGACCAUCAGGUCUAUUAUCUUCUCUAUGUUAAAAGUCCACCAAUAAUAUUUUAUCCAUGUAACAUCAAUCAACAAUUCCUGUCCACAAUCAUAUGAAUAACUCAUAAUCAUAAUUGUGAUUCUAAAUUCCUCUUUGCACCCAGGAUGAAGAUAAUUUCCAUUACCUAUCUUCACCAGAAACAUCAAAAAUCAUGGUUAUACCAAAUCACAAUUCCUGCUCAUAAUCAUACUAAUAAAUUCAUCUUUGCACUACGACCAAAGAUAUUCAUUAACAAUUCAUCUUGGCACUACAGGCCAAAGACAUACAAUUGUAUUUUAGAAGAGUCAAGUAGAGCAUGAUAUCUACUAUCUUUUACGAAUUAAAAGUGUAUAAUAAAUAUUUUAUCGCUGAGACUCAGCUUAAUAAAUAAUCCACAUCAUCGAAUCAUCCCUGCACUACGGCCAAGGAUAUUCAUGUUAUCAUCAAUGGUUAUGAUUAUACCGAAUAAUCCGUAGUUAUAAUCAUACCAAUAACUGUCCAUCAAUGCACUACGGGCCAAUGAGGACUUUUAACACAUCAUCUAUAACAUUACGGGUCAUGAUUAUACCGAAGGAUCCCUGGUCAUAAUCAUACCAAUAAAUAGUUCAUCUAUGCACAUAAGCCAAAGAUACUUAUCAAUCAAUAGUUCAUCUUUGCACGUAAGCCAAAGAUAUACAACUGUAAAACCAAUAAUCAACAGUCCAUCUUUGCACGUAGGCCAAAGAUAUACAACUAUAAAACAAAUAAUCAACAAUAUCUUUGCACGUAAGCCAAAUAUAUACAACUGUAAAACCAAUAAUCAACAGUCCAUCUUUGCACGUAAGCCAAAGAUGACUUUCAUCAUAAUAUAAGCAUGAGGAUGAUGACAAUGAUAUAAGCAUUAAUCAAAUAAAAACAAGGAUAAAUAUUAAAGACUUUAAAUUUAUCCAAAUAUUAUCAAUCACUUAAUAAACUCGUAAUCUAAUAUUAUUAGUAUUAUAACAAUAUUUUAAUCACUUCUUAAACUUAUAAACAAUUUAUUUUAAUUGUUUACACUUUACCAAAUAAUGUAUUUAAUCAUUCAAAAAUGUCAUACUCAUAAGAUUUCAUCACCAAUGAUCAAAUCCCUCAUCAAAAAUCUGCAUAUACCUUAUAUAGGAUUUCCAAGCCAUAAAAUCCUAUUUACCAAUUUUGUUACUUCACAUAACAUAUUUAAUUUAUUUACUCAUAACUAGUUCAUUUUCAUGAAAAAUACCAAAUCAGUCCCAAAAAUAUUUCUUUUCUGGGAUUUAGCAAAAUAUAGUCUCAUAUUGAACAUAUAUUUUUCUCGAAAUUUUUAAAAUUCAUUUACUAUUUUUCAUAUGACCAAAACUGCCGAAUAUUUAGACCUUUAUCAUAAAUUGUACUUUUGUUCAAAAAUUCCGAAAUUUACAGGGUAUACUUCUGUUAUAUACAUGUACUCCUAAUAAAAAUUUCACCAAUUUUGGAGUUAACCACAAGGAGUUAUAAGGGUUUACUUUUAAAAUAGUCUUUUUCCAUAAAAUUCAUAACUCCUAAUCUAUACAUCCAAAAAUCGCCAUCUUUGGACACAAUCUAGAAAACUCAUCAAAUUAUCAUUUCAAAUUUUUCCAAAACUUUUGAGGGUCAGAAAAAUUACGAAACUGCAAAUGGAUUUUCACCCGCCAUGCGGUAAUCCACGUAAAUAGAUCAUUUCUACAAUUUAAUAAGGAAUGAAUACAAAGGAUCAUGCACCAUGCAUGCGAUAAUCCACAUAGACAGGUUAUUCCAAUAGAAUAAUAAAGAAUGGAAUAACAAAAGAAUGCACCAUGCAUACGAUAGACCGCACAGACAGGUUAUUCCCAACAGAAUAAUAAAGAAUGGAACCAGGUCAUACAUAAUCCACACAGACAGGAUAUUCCAAUAGAAUAACAAAGAACGGAAUAACAACAGAAUUCACCAGGCAUGCGAUAAACCGCACAGACAGGUUAUUCCAACAGAAUAAUAAAGAAUGGAACCAGGUCAUGCGUAAACCGCACAGACAGGAUAUUCCAACAGAAUAAUAAAGAAUGGAAUAAUAGAAGAAUUUCACCAUGUAUGCAGUACUUCGCAUAGAUAGGUUAUUCCAACAUAAUAAUAAGGAAUGGAAUAACAAUAGCUCUCUUCAUGAAUACGAAAGAAAUAAUACCCCUUACUAUAAUAAUAAUAUACCUUACCUUAGAAGAAACUGGAUAAUGGAGUAGUCAGAUAGCAGACUUCUCUUCUUUUUUCUCUCUAUAAUUUCUCUCUAUAAUAAUGGCUCUAUAGCUUUAGUGAAUUGGUGAGAAAUGAAGGAAGAAUGAGCUUCUAUUUAUAUGAAAAUAUAGUUUCGAUAAUUGCACGUUUUGGGGCUCGAAAUAUUACAGUACAAUACCUUCAACUUUUUUUCAUUUUUAAUUUAGUCUUGCAAGUAUUAUCAAACUUUCACCACCUCUCCUAAUAGUUAUAAUCAUGUGAAUCAAUAACAAUUAAUUGCUCAUUUAUCCGGUUAAUUACCCGAUUGGUCAAUAUAACCUCCAGACAUCAAUUAUUAUCGAAAUAAAUGUCGAUUUCCACUAACACUAACAAUCCCAACACAAUGGAAAUAUUUUUCUCAAAAAUUUCAUUUUUGAAAUUUUAAAGUUUGACUUUUUCUGAAAAAGUCAACUAUUGACUUUUUUGACCAAAAAGUCAACUAUUGACUUUUUUGACGAAAAAGUCAACCCCGAUAAAUUUUGUGUUUAUAGUCUAUUUCUACUAAUUUCAUCAUUCCGGACUCAAAUAUCACGUCCGCGUCUCCAAAUUCAACUCCGAACUCAAAUUCAGUUUUUAAUAACAUUCAUUAUUAAUAUUAUAACUCACAAUAUUUAACAACCAGGUCAUUCCCAGGAAAGAGGGGGCUUUCCGAUAAGGAUUUCUCCUUAUUGGCGUGUAAUUAGGUGACCAAACCUCUCCUUGACAGAACUUCUAGACAUUGUCAAUAUUGCAAAUAAUAAUAUGAAUAACUUUGUCGUCUCAAUUAUUGAUUUAAUAAUAUAUAAAAUAUUAUGCAGAUGAUACUGUGACAAUAAUUGAAUCAAUAAUAUGAGAGAUAUGAUGCAGCAAUUACUGUAGCAAUAAUUGAGUAUAAUUAAGUGAUUUCUUACAUAAGCAUCAAUAAUCAAUACCGUGUGCUACUAUGAAAUCACGCGUAUUACUGUACUUUUACUACCGGGUAGUUCAACAGUUUUAACGGUAACACUUUCGCCGUUAUUUUUAUAAAAGAUAAUUCUGUCAUUUUCUAACUACGACAAUACUUCUGUUGUGGGGUCCAUCAAUGAUUAUGCCGUUGUACGAAUAUUCCCUGUUAAAACGAAUAUUCCUCGACCAAUCGAAUAUUCCCCGACACAACGAAUAUUUUAUAACAACUUGCAUACUUUGCAAAAUUUUCAAAUAUCACCCUUAACUUGAACCUUUAUCAAUUUAACCAUUUACUAAAUUGAAUAAUUAUAAGAAAAUUGAAUAAUUUCAUUUCAUAAAAUUCGGGGUCUCACAUGAUUGGUAUGAUUAUGACCAGGGAUCAUUCGGUAUAACCAUGACCCGUAAUGUUACAAAUGAUGUGGUAAAAGUCCUCAUUGGCCCGUAGUGCAUUGAUGGAAAGUUGUUGGUAUGAUUAUAACCAGGGAUUAUUCGGUAUAAUCAUGACCAUUGUUGAAAACACGAAUAUCCUUGGUCCGUUGUGCAUGGAUAAUUCGUGGUCAUAAUACUAAUGAAUAUCCUUGGCCGUAGUGCAUGGAUGAUUUGAUGAUGUGAAUUAUUUAUUAAGCUGAGUCUCAGCGAUAAAAUAUUGAUUAUACACUUUUAAUUCGUAAAAGAUAGUAGAUAUCAUGCUCUACUUGACUCUUCUAAAAUACAGUUGUAUGUCUUUGGCCUGUAGUGCAAAAAUGAAUUGUUAAUGAAUAUCUUUGGUCGUAGUGAAAAGAUGAAUUUAUUAGUAUGAUUAUGAGAAAGAAUUGUGAUUUGGUAUAACCAUGAUUUUUGAUGUUUCAGGUAAAUAUAGGUGAUGAAAAUUAUCUUCGUCCUGGGUGUGAAGAGGAGUUUAGAACCACAAUUAUCAUUAUGAGUUAUUCAUCUGAUUGUGGACAGAAAUUGUUGACUGAUGUAACAGGGAUAAAACAUUGUUGGUGGAUUUUUAACGUGGAGAAGAUAUAGACUUUAUUGUCUAUUUGACUCUUUUAAUGGAUUGCUCGUUCCGCUGCAACUAUGGUUAAAAAGUUUUAUCAUCUACCAUAUGUUCUAAAUCUCUGAUUUAUUACUGAUGAAGGCUAUUGAUAAUUUAAUUAUCUUUAGUCAUAAUAUUCUUUACUGGGCUAUUUGUGCUCACCCUUUUGCUUCACAAUUCCUUUCAGGUAUUAAGAGUGUAGCUAGGUCGAGCGGGGGUAACAGGGGAUUAGAACGGUGGUCUAUAGCCGUUGAGGUUUCCCUUAAAAUAGUAUGGAAAUAAUUUUAUUGAGAAUUAUAGAUAAGUGUGUCGUAUUUUAUACGUCAUUUUAACCGUUGAUUUUCGUGAACCAAAUAGGGUGAGGUGAACCCAACUGUGGAAGGGCAUUUUUGCCACUAUCAUACAAGAUGUAUAAUGAUAGACGACUUCGUGUUAUCAUAAGACAGGGUUGUGCACAUCCACUUGCUGAGUAUAUCUACGAGCACUACCUAUAUAAUCUUGGAGUUUGUUUGAAAUAUGAUUCUCAAUUGGAAACAAUUGAGAUAAUUAUAUGUCAAGAGAAGACUCACCAUUGGAAAGAAGAUGAUAGCAAUCUUCUUAUUUUUCUUUGGGGACUAUUGAGUCAACCAAGGAUAAUUCUGUGGACAUAUGAUAUCUAUCAUAACCUAGACGCAUGGCCUCCCAUGUAUUAAGGUUUCCUUGAGUAUUUUCCAAAGAUUUUAAUUUCCAAAACAGUUAUUGACUGUACCUUUAUGUAAGGUACCAUUGUAAGGUGUUGUGGUCAAGGCACCAUGAGAAUUAUAUAUAUUUGUAUUAAAACUCACAGCUUAUGUGUUGUCGUACUCUGCACGACAGUUCAACAGUUGUAUAAAUGAAGUUUGUAUUUGAUUUCUGUAGUGUGAUAUCUGGCGACUCAGAAUGGGUCAUGUGGACCUAUUUUGGGGGCGUCACAGUUCUCACAGAACGUCUCACCUCUUUUUCUAUGAGAAUUACCCAUUUGAGGAAUUCAGAGUGGUGAGAAGAUGUCUAUGUCAUGGAUUGGACCCAUAUGGGGAGAUGAUUCAUUCCUAGCAGUCGUUCAUCUAGAGGGUUGCUUAACAUGGAACUUUGUUCAAUAGCUUAAUGAAACUCCUUCGGGAUGUUGUCAUUUGUUAUGAUGGAACAAUGAGGAAUGUCUGUAGUAAUUGAAUUAACUUUAUUAUUCGAGUAUAGGACACAAACAGGAACUAUGACCCUUUUUUUCCCGAUUACCGAAGAACCAAUUGGAGUAUUAUUAGUUACAACUGCUAUGUCGAACCCUGUAUACAAGAAAGUCCUUAAAUCUUCUCCUAGUAGUCAUUACAGCUGCAACAGCUAUGAAACUUAGAAACCCGUUUGACAAGUAGGAGUGAAUAUCGAACAGUGGUCUCUAUAGAUUCCAAAUAACAAUUCUCAUAAACUAAGUACCACUUACAUAGUUUAUCAUUGGCAAAAUAAACUAAGUAACAUUUGCUUAGUUUGUCAUAAUUUUUAAUAAACUCAAUAAUACUUUCUCUUUAAUCUUCAAUACACUCAAUAAUAUAUGUACUAUACUUUGGAACUUAGAAACCCGUUUGACAUUCACUCAGUAGGAGUGAAUGUCGAACAGUCCCCAGUUUAGGACUGUUAUUGGAUGUUAUAUCUCUCACUUAGGUCGAUGCCAAUACAAAACGGUACAUUUUUGUUGUUUUGAGAAUUUUUGAACUAUACGUCAGCAAUUGCCUUCCAGUUCUCUUCUUUACCAGAUUUCUCAGGAUAUUAUAGCAGGGGUGUGAGAUCCUGAAUUUUAUGAAAUGAAAGUAUUCAAUUUUCUUAUAAUGUUAUUUAGUAAAUAGUUAGAUUGAUAAAGGUUAAAGUUAAGGGUGAUAUGUGAAAAUUUGCAAAGUAAGCAAGUUGAUAUAAAAUAUUCGUUGUGUCGAGGAAUAUUCGUUUUAAUAGGGAAUAUUCGUAUGACGACAUAAUCAUUGGUGGACCCCACAACAGAAGUAUUGUCAUAGUUAGAAAAUGACAGAAAUAUCUUUUUAUAAAAAUAAUGGCGAAAGUUUUACCGUUAAACUAUUGAACUACCCGGUAGUAAAAGUACAGUAAUACACGUGGUUGCAUAGUAGCACACGGUAUUGAUUAUUGAUGCUUACGUGAGAAGUCAUUAAGUUAUACUCAAUUAUUUCUAUAGUAAUUGCUGAAUAAUAUCUCUCAUAUUAUAGAUUCAAUUAUUGUCACAGUAUCAUCUGCAUAAUAUUUAUUAUUAUUAAAUAAAUAAUUGAGACGACAAAGUUAUUCAUAUUAUUAUUUGCAAUAUUGACGAUGUCUAGAAAGUUUUGUCGAGGAGAGGUUUGGUCACUUAAUUGCACGCUAAUAAGGAGAAAUUCUUAUCAGAAAGCCCCCUCUUUCCUGGGAAUGAUCUAGUUGUUAAAUAUUGUGAGUUAUAAUACUAAUGAUGAAUAAUUUUGUAUUGAUUAAAGAUGAAAUUGAUAUUUUCAUUGUGUUGGGAUUAUUAGUGUUAGUGGAAAGUGACAUCUAUUCCGAUAAUAAUUGAUGUCUGGAGGUUAUAUUGAUCAAUCGGGUAAUUAAUCGGAUAAAUGAGCAAUUAAUUGCUAUUAAUUCACAUGCUUAUAACUAUUUGUUCACAUGUGUGUACUAUUGAUUCACAUGCAUGUACUAUUAGGGGAGGUAGUGCAAGAUUGAUAAUACUUACAUGACUAAAUUAAAAAUGGAGGUAUAGAUGAAGGUACUAUACUGUAAUUAUUUUUUUCACAUGUAUAGAACUAUUGAGUCACAUGAUUGUAUUAUUGAUUCACAUGAUGUACUAUUAGGGGAGGUGGUGCAAGUUUGACAAUAAUCUGAGGACUAAAUUAAAAAUAAAGGAAAAGAUAAAGGUAUUAUACUGUAAUAUUUUGAGCCCCAAAAUGUGCAAUUAUCAAAACUAUAUUUUCCUAUAAAUAGAAGCUUAUUCUUCCUUCAUUCUCACCAAUUCACUAAGACUCACAAGAGCAGUUAUAGAGAGAGAAGCUAUAGAGAGAAAGAAGAAGAGUAGUCUGCUACUUCACUAUUCCAGUAUCUAGUCUUCUUCCAAGGUAAGGGGUAUUAUUUCUUUCGUAUUCAUGAAGAGAGUUAUUUUCUUUCAAUACUCGUAAGGGUUGUUACUCCAUUCUUUAUUAUUCUGUUGGAAUAACCUGUUUACGCGGACUACCGCAUGCAUGGUGAAAUUCUUCUGUUAUUCCAAUCGUUAUUAUUCUGUUGGAAUAACCUGUCUACGCGGACUACCGCAUGCAUGGUGAAAUUCUUCUGUUAUUCCAUUAUUUAUUAUUUUGUUGGAAUAACCUGUCUACGCGUAUUACCGCAUGCAUGGUGAAUGACCCUUUGUAUUCAUUCUUUAUUAAAUUAUGGAAAUGAUUUGUCUACGUGGAUUACCGUAUUGCGGAUGAAAAUCCAUUUACAGUUUCGUAUAUUCUCUUAUACUCGUAUGAGAUAUCCUUUCUUUUGUACUCGUCAUAGAAUAUCGUUUUCUUUUGUAUUUUCUUUUCAUGAGUACUAUUCACAGAGUACUAUUCAUGGGCACUAUUCACGUAUAUGGCACUAUUCACGUAUACGAUACUAUUCAUAAAGUACUAUUCACGAAGUACUAUUCAUGAGAACUAUUCAUGGGGUACUAUUCCCGAAGUACUAUUCACGGGUUACUAUUCACCUAGAGUACUAUUUAUGAUAAAAAUUGAUUUCUUUUCGGUCCAAAUCAUUUUUGAUACAAUAUCAUUCUUGAAUUUUACUCCAUAAAGCAGUAUCAUGUUGACAAUUUGAAUAUUUUUAAACUCUGGAUAAAUUUAAAGUCUUUAAUAUUUAUCCUUGAUUUCGUUUUAUUAAUGCUUAUUUCAUUGUCAUCAUCCCCAUGCUUAUAUUAUGAUGAAAGUCAUCUUUGGCUUACGUGCAUAGAUGGACUGUUGAUUGGUAUGAUUAUGACCAGGGAUCAUUCGGUAUAAUCAUGACCCGUAAUGUUACAAAUGAUGUGGUAAAAUCCCUCAUUGGCUCGUAGUGCAUUGAUGGACAGUUAUUGGUAUAAUUAUGACCAGGGAUUAUUCGAUAUAAUCAUGACCAUUGAUGAUUACAUGAAUAUCCUUGGCCCGUAGUGCAGGGAUAAUUCGAUGAUGUGGUUUAUUUAUUAAGCUGAGUCUCAGCGAUAAAGUUGAUGAAAAACUUUUUAAAUCAUAGAAGAUAGUAGAUAUCAUGAUCUACUUGACUCUUCUAAUGGAUUGCUUAUUCCGCUGCAGUUGUUGAUCUAAAACUUGUUGUCUAUUGUAUUUUAUCAGUUGUUAUACUAUUGAAGGCUAAGGAUAAUUUAUUCUGCAUUAUCUUAGCCAUAAUAUUUUUUACUGGGCUAGUUGAGCUCACCCUUUUCUUUAAUUAUUCUCUUCAGGAAAUUAGAAUAUAGCUGGGACUAGUCGAGAAAUGGAUUGACGAUCCAGAUGGUUAUUUUAGUAGUCCUCACUACUAUGUGAAAUAGUAUGAUAAUAAAUGUAAUGAGGACUCCAUUGAGAGUGAAUAUUGUCUAGAAGGCAAUAUUCUUGUUUAAACUCUCAACUAUGUUUUGUCGUAUAUUACCUGACAGUUGUAUAAUUAAGUUGUAUUUGAUUUAUGUACCAUGUAUUUGGCGACUCAAGAUGGGUGAUGUAUACCUGUUUUGGGGGCGUCACAGUUGGUAUCAAAGCUUAGGGAUAUGAUCCCUGACUGAGAUGUGAGACAAGAACUAGGAGGGGAGAGACGGGGAAUUCCUUCGCUAGUAUGACCUACCUAAGUUUAUUUGGUAUUUAAUUGGUUGGUCAGAGUAUAGGGAUAAUAUGUGAUAUGUCAAUUAACCCUUUUUUUGUAGAAGUAUUUGAAAAUGGCAUCUAAAAAUGUCGAGAUAAGCAAUGAAGCACAUGAGACCGUUGAGUCACCGACGAUAAAUAACCAAGAUAAUGUGCAUCAGGAAGGCAAUAAUCCUCAUGUAAACAACAACACCAACCAAAUGACGAACGAUGGUAUGUUUAGGAACUUUUUAGAAUUUAUGCAAAACCAAACGAGAGAGACUCCUGUUCAAAAUGCAGGUGGAAACACUGACAACUCACGGCUAGUCACCGCUAAGCAGUUCAAGGAGCUAGGAUCACCGGAGUUUUUGGGAGAGCCAAAAUCACUUAAGGCGGAGACGUGGAUAAAGAAGAUCACCAAGAUAUUUGAUGUCUUGGGAUGCUCCGAGGAGCAAAAGGUUCCCUUUGCCACCUUCAUGUUUCGAGGAGAGGCAAAUUACUGGUGGGAAUUAGUAAAAUGUACUCAGCCUGCCGCACUCAAAAUGUCUUGGGAGAAGUUCCAAGAGCUGUUUAAUGACAAGUACUUUUUCGAAAGUAUUCGUCACAUGAAAGAGGUAGAGUUCAUCAAGCUAGAGCAAAACAAUAUGACUGUAUCCCAAUACGAGGCAAAGUUUGCGGAGUUAUCCCGGUUUGCAUCCCAUUUGGUUGAUAAUGAGGAGAGAAUGACGCGGAUGUUUCUAAGAGAUUUGAAACCUGAGAUACGUCAAUACCUCAUUUCUCACAAACUUUGUUUAUAUUCAAAUGUUGUGAAUAUGGCUCAGUUAUUGGAGCGCGAUAAUGAGCCAGCCCAACCAAAAGAUAAUAACCAACAACACGAUAAUAAUCGUACCGGUGGCAACGGCCAUCGGACUAACGAUAACCAUCGUGAAGGAAAUUAUCAGGCAAGAAAUGGUAACCACUUCGGUGGUAAUCAUGGCUAAGAUGAUAGAAGAAAUGAUUCAAGUAGAAAAUUCAAGAAGAGGAGAUUUAACGAUAAUGGGAAGACGUCGGCAGUAGCGCCAGCGCCAGCAACAAAUUUUAGGGGAGGAGAACGACUACCAGUUAAAUGCUAUAGAUGCGGAGAUGAGGGACACAUAAGUCCAAACUGUUCACAGCCUUCCAAUGUAUGUUUUAGUUGUGGAAAAUAUUGUCACAUAGCUCAAUUUUGUCUUGUAGCGAAAUCAAAUCCAGCUGGGACGGUGGCACCAAAGGUGGAUACAGACAAAACAAAGUCGGUGGUUUCAGGAAGAGCGUUUUUCGUGACUUCUCAAAAACUCUUGCGAAGUCUAUACCUUGUUAGAUAACGGUUCUACCCAUUCUUUUAUUUCUCCUAUUUGUGCUCAACGUUUAAAUUUAACUCCGGAGAAAUUAGACUUUGACUUAUCUGUUGAAACUCCGUUAGGAGAAACCUUCAUUACAUGUGCUAUCCAAGUCUUGGAUGAGAGUCACAGAUUUUAAAUGAUAUUUCUAUCAUUAAUAAAUUUCUUGACGUAUUCUCGAAGAACUUCCUGGCCUACCCCCAGAGCGUGAAAUCGAAUUUUGUAUUGACCCCAGUACAAAACUCAUUUCUAAAACUCUUAAAUAUUUCUUCACCCAAAAUGAACGUAUCAUGCUCCAAAGACGUUGGCUCGAGCUGUUGAAGAUUACGACCAUACCAUUCAAUAUUAUCAUGGAAAAAGCGAAUGUGGUAGCUGAUGCAUUGAGUAGAAGAUCGUAUGCGUUUACGAUUGUAACGUUGUUAACACAAAGACCCAUUUCAUAUGACUUACAAAUGAUAAAGAUGGAGUUAAAGAAUCUAAGGACCCACAUGAUGAUGUCAAAUAAUACGAGUAGAAUCGACGUUAACCGAUGAAGUUAAAACCGCUCAAGCUACACACCCAGAGCUGAUGAAUGUGAAGAAGAAGGUUUAAGAGGGCGUUAUUCUAGAAGCAAGAAUUGAUGAAGAGAGUAAAUCUCAACCCUCAAUUUAGUUGGGCCAUUCAAAAUCCUCGAUCGAGUAGGAACUGUGGCCUAUAGACUCGCUUUACCGCCAAGUAUGUCGCGUGUUUAUAACGUUUUUCACGUAUCGAUGUUACGUAAAUAUGUGGAUGACCCGAACCACAUUAUUGAAUUAGAACUAGACGAGAUAGCAGAAGAUUUAACGUAUGAGGAGAUACCUAUUAAAAUGGUGGAUAAGAAUGAAUAUAUUCUACGCUCAAAGGUUAUACCUCAAGAGUUAGAUUCUAACGAGGUAUCAUCAUCUCUUCGAUAUACCAGGUACGUACGUAAAUUUUGAGGGCAAAAUUUUAUAAGGAUGGGAGAUUGUUAGAUCCCGAAUUUUAUGAAAUGAAAGUAUUCAAUUUUCUUAUAAUGUUAUUUAGUAAAUGGUUAAAUUGAUAAAGGUUAAAGUUAAGGGUGAUAUGUGAAAAUUUUGCAAAGUAAGCAAGUUGAUAUAAAAUAUUCGUUGUGUCGGGGAAUAUUCGAUUGGUCAAGGAAUAUUCAUUUUAAAAGGGAAUAUUCGUAUGACGACAUAAUCAUUGGUGGACCCCACAACAGAAGUAUUGUCGUAGUUAGAAAACGACAGAAAUAUCUUUUUAUAAAAAUAACGGCGAAAGUUUUACCGUUAAACUGUUGAACUACCCGGUAGUAAAAGUACAGUAAUACGGGUGGUUGCAUAGUAGCACACGGUAUUGAUUAUUGAUGCUUACGUGAGAAGUCAUUCAGUUAUACUCAAUUAUUGCUAUAGUAAUUGCUGCAUAAUAUCUCUCAUAUUAUUGAUUCAAUUAUUGUCACAGUAUCAUCUGCAUAAUAUUUAUUAUUAUUAAAUCAAUAAUUGAGACGACAAAGUUAUUCAUAUUAUUAUUUGCAAUAUUAAUGAUGUCUAGAAAGUUCUGUCGAGGAGAGGUUUUGCCACCUAAUUGCGCGUCAAUAGGGAGAAAUCCUUAUCGGAAAGCCCCCUCUUUCCUAGGAAUAAUCUGGUUGUUAAAUAUUGUGAGUUAUAAUAUUAAUGAUGAAUAAGUUCGUGUUGAUUAAAGAUGAAAUUGAUAUUUUCAUUGUGUUGGGAUUAUUAGUGUUAGUGGAAAGUGACAUCUAUUUCGAUAAUAAUUGAUGUCUGGAGGUUAUAUUGACCAAUCGGGUAAUUAAUCGGAUAAAUGAGCAAUUAAUUGAUAUUAAUUCACAUGUUUAUAACUAUUUAUUCACAUGGAUGUACUAUUAGGGGAGGUGGUGCAAGAUUGAUAAUACUUACAUGACUAAAUUAAAAAUUGAGGUAUAGAUGAAUGUACUAUACUGUAAUUAUUUUUUUCACAUGUAUAGAACUAUUGAGUCACAUGAUUGUACUAUUGAUUCACAUGAUGUACUAUUAGGGGAGGUGGUGCAAGUUUGAUAAUACUUAUAGGACUAAAUUAAAAAUGAAAGAAAAGAUAAAGGUAUUAUACUGUAAUAUUUUGAGUCCCAAAACGUGCAAUUAUCAAAAACUAUAUUUUCCUAUAAAUAGAAGCUCAUUCUUCCUUCAUUCUCACCAAUUCACUAAGACUCACAAGAGCAAUUAUAGAGAGAGAAGCUAUAGAGAGAAAGAAGAAGAGUAGUCUGCUACUUCACUAUUCCAGUAUCUAGUCUUCUUCCAAGGUAAGAUGUAUUAUUUAUUUCAUAUUCUGAAGAGAUAUUAUUUUUCGUAUUUGUAUGAAUAUUUUUUUCGUUCAAUAUUCGUAAGGAAUAUCAUCUUCGUUCAAUAUUCGUAGGAAUAUUAUUUUUAUUCAACAGUCGUAAGGGGUAUUAUUUCUUUCGUAUUCAUGAAGAGAGUUAUUUUCUUUCAAUACUCGUAAGGGUUGUUACUCCAUUCUUUAUUAUUCUGUUGGAAUAACCCGUCUACGCGGACUACCGCAUGUAUGGUGAAUAACCCUUCGUAUUCAUUAUUUAUUAUAUUGUGGAAAUGAUCUGUCUACGUGAAUUACCGUAUUGCGGAUGAAAAUCCAUUUGCAGUUUCGUAUAUUCUAUUAUACUCGUAUGAGAUAUCCUUUCUUUUGUAUUUGUCAUAGAAUAUCAUUUUAUUUUGUAUUUUUCUUUUAUGAGUACUAUUCACGGAGUACUAUUUAUGGGCACUAUUCACAUAUACGGUACUGUUCAUAAAGUACUAUUCAUGAGUACUAUUCACAAAGUAUUAUUCACGGGAUACUAUUCCCAAAGUACUAUUCACAGGAUACUAUUCACCGGGAGUACUAUUCAUGACAAAAAUUGAUUUCUUUUCGGUCCAAAUCAUUUUUGAUACAAUAUUAUUCUUGAAUUUUACUCCACAAAAUAGUAUCAUGUUGACAAUUUGGAUAUUUUUAAACUCUAGAUAAAUUUAAAGUCUUUAAUAUUUAUCCAUGAUUUUGUUUGAUUAAUGUUUAUAUCAUUGUCAUCAUCCUCAUGCUUAUAUUGUGAUGAAAGUCAUUUUUGGCUUACAUGCAUAGAUGGACUAUUGAUUGGUAUGAUUAUGACCAGGGAUCAUUCGGUAUAAUCAUGACCCGUAAUGUUACAAAUGAUGUGGUAAAAGUCCUCAUUGGCUCGUAGUGCAUUGAUUGACAGUUAUUGGUAUGAUUAUGACCAGGGAUUAUUCGGUAUAAUUAUGACCAUUGAUUAUUACAUGAAUAUCCUUGGCCCGUAGUGCAGGGAUGAUUCGAUAAUGUGGUUUAUUUAUUAAGCUGAGUCUCAGCGAUAAAGUUGAUGAAAAACUUUUUAAAUCAUAGAAGAUAGUAGAUAUCAUGCUCUACUUGACUCUUCUAAUGGAUUGCUUAUUCCGCUGCAGUUGUUGAUCUAAAACUUGUUGUCUAUUGUAUUCUAUUAGUUGUUAUACUAUUGACGGAUAAGGAUAAUUUAUUCUGUAUUAUCUUAGCCAUAAUAUUUCUUACUGGGCUAGUUGAGCUCACCCUUUUCUUUAACUAUUCUCUUCAGGAAAUUAGAAUAUAGCUGGGACUGGUCGGGGAACGGAUUGACGAUCCAGAUGGUUAUUUUAGUAGUCCUCACUAUUCUGUGAAGUAGUGUGAUAAUAAAUGUAAUGAGGACUCCAUUGAGAGUGGAUAUUGUCUAGAAGGCAAUAUUCUUGUUUAAACUCUCAGCUAUGUUUUGUCGUAUAUUACCUGACAGUUGUAUAAUUAAGUUGUAUUUGAUUUAUGUACCAUGUAUUUGGCGACUCAAGAUGGGUGAUGUAUACCUGUUUUGGGGGCGUCACAAGGGGCCUCCGCAGAGAGUACAUGAUUACGUCGGGAGCAGUUCAACGCUUGGAGCAGCGAGAUGCUCCGGAUGGUGAUUACCCUUUUGGAUGAGGCUUUUCGUCCGCCCCCGCCUACUCAGGUAUUCUUAUUGUUUAUGUUUUUUUAAUUAAGGCUAGCUUGUUAAUUCACACACACACACACACACACACACACAUAUAUAUAUAUAUAUACGGACUAAUAAUUUAUAUUUUUGAUUCUAUCAACAGGGUGGCGAUGGCGAGCAGACUGGCGAUGACGAGCAGGCAGUCGACACUGAUUUCCAUACACCAGAGCAGCGUCGUUCACAUCCGCCAGAUGAUGAUACUUUUACUAGUUUAUACUUCAUUUGUAUUCAUGUUAUUGUAGAACAUUUGUAUAUAUUGUAGUGUCUAAUUACGUCUGUAUAAGUAUUGUAGAACAUUUGUAUAUAUUGUAGUGUCUAAUUGCGUCUGUAUAAGUAUUGUAAAUUAUAUUGUUUAUCAUUUAUGGAACAUUAGCUUAUUUUUGUAAUUGGUUAGCUCAGUAGUUUUGAUGAUAAUGAGUUGGAGAUUACGUUUUGGUGGAUAUUUGAAUGUGAAUGAUAAUGAGUUGAAGAUUACGUUUUGGUAGAUAUUACGUUUUAGCGCUACGUUAAAUAUUUGAAUGUGAGAUGCAGGUUUAUAUUAUUGUGUAUUGGGUUGUAACAGGUUACAGGUACAUAAAUGAGUUUAAACACCCGAAAACUGAACUUUUUCAAAUCUGCAUUUAAAAAAAACAGUUAAUUCCGACAUAAUAAGGUAUUUCCGACGGAAUUUUCGUCGAAUUUAAUAUUUAGUCAUUUUUUUUUAAUAAAUAACGGUAUAUUUUAAUUUUCAGUCAGAAAUAAGUUACUUCCGAGGGAACAUGUUCGUCGAAAAUAAGGUAUCUCCGACGAAAAUUCUGUCGGGGUUAAUAAUUAGCCAUUUUUAAUAAAUACCGGUUUAUUUUAAUUUUCAGUCGGAAAUAGGUUAAUUCCGAGGGAAUCAUUUCGUCAAAAAUAAGGAAUAUUAUACUCAACGGAAAGUUUCGACCUAUUUAUUCGGUCGUAGAUAGCUUAUUUUCGACGAAAUUCCGUCGGAGAUAAAUUCGUCGAAGAUAAGAUAGGUACAACGGAAUUUGUGACGAAUCUUAUCUUCGACGCGUAUAUAUACGACCGAAUUUCCGACAGAAUUUUCCGUCGGAAAUAAAUUAUUUCCAACUGAAUAGGCUUAUUUCUGAGAGAAAAUUCGGUCGAAAAUAAGGUUUUUUCUUGUAGUGUAAAACUUAAUGACCUUUCCCAAAACUAUAUAUCCAUACCCAUCACAAAUGAUCGUUUAUCUAUAUAUCAGAAGCUGCAAAUUAGAAUUUGUCAAUAAGAGCCAAACAUCUUGCACUGUCUAUUGAUCAAUUUAAUAACAAAAAGUUGCAUUUGCAGCAUAAAGUUAAUUACGUACAGAUAGAAUCUAAUAAUAAGUAAACUUAAUAAUCAGUAAACUUGAUUGGGAAUACACCAGUAACAAAAGAUGGUAAUAAGAUAAGCUUAAUUUUGGUUGCUCAUAUAUAUAAACUAAAUGCUUAUAUACUUUAACAGUAUCAAUAAUGCUCUAGCACAACCUUAUUUAUUUUUUGGACUUUACUAAUAAAAAGUAGGAGAUAAGCGCGGUGCAAGGAGGACCUCAAGUGGGGUAAUUUUGGCAUUUGUUAGUCCAACAUCCUCGGACAUAUCAACUGGUCCAUCCGACGGAGUCGAGAUUUCAAAACCAUGCAGCAGAGUAGCCAGCACCAAGUGCAACAUUUGAAGGCCAAAAGCAAUUCCGGGGCACAAUCUUCUACCCGCACCAAAUGGCAUCAAUUCAAAAUGUUGCCCUUUCACAUCAACUUCUUUGGGCAUGUUGAGGAACCUUUCCGGCCUAAACUCCGUCGGAUCGGACCAUAUUAUCGGGUCUCGGUGGAGUGUCCAUAGGUUAACGGCUAGCAGUGUUCCUUUCGGAACAUGGUAGCCUGCGACGAUGCAAUCCUCAGAAAAUUCUCUAUGGAUUCCGAGUUUAGAUGCUGGGUAUAAACGUAAUGUUUCUUUGAUUAUUGCAUGAAGGUAUGCUAGAUUGUUGAGGUCAGAUUCUUUCACUUGUCUUUGUUUACCGACAACGUUGUCGAGUUCUUCUUGAGCCUUUUUUAGUGCAUGUCGGUUGUUUAGUAGCAGGGAGAGUGCCCAUGUUAGCUCAACUCUGAUGGUGUCGGUGCCGCUGGAAAUUAAAACCUAGAAAAGGUCACUCAACAGCAAAUUAGAUUAUUUUACAAAUUAAUCUCAAGGUAUAUAUUUAUAUUUAUUUCAAAAUAGUACAGUAUUACAUUGGAUGAGAAUUUUUUGUCUGAUUUAUCUAGACAAAAGUUUAGUUAUUGAUAUGGCUGGUCGUAUAAUAUAACUAACUAAAAUUAGUUAAUGAAUUGGAUCAAAAUUUUAGUUGAUAAUCUCUAAUGCUUCUAAGGUGGUGUUUGAUAAAAUUGAAUGUUAAGAUCUAAACAGUUUAGACAUCUGAAUAAUGUAGAGAAUCUAAUUAGAAUUGUAUAUGAAUGAAAAAAUAUUGUUUGAUAAUUAAUUUUUUUCAAAAUAUCUUAAUAACAUUAUUUUACCAUAUUACCCCUGAACUCUUUUUUUUUUUCUGAUGAGCAUUUUUUUUUCCAAGUCUCAACAUUUGCUCAGCACAAUUUCUCUCUACUUUAUGAGGUAUUGAUUUCCAAAUUUGGAGGUAAUCAUUUAUAUUUAAAUUAUCAAAACACCAAGAAUUAACCUUAAAUGAUGAACAAUAAACAUGGAAUAUUAAUUAUUAGAAUAGCGACAAUAAAUUUGAAACCAGAAACUGGCGAGAUUAAGAUUCCAGCGAGAUUAGACCAAGUGAAGCCGGCAACAGCCCCUUACCACAUAUACGACAAAACACCACGAAGCUGCCCCAUCCCACUUAAUCACCAACCCGAUCAGAUCCAAGCAGGAUGGACAAAAGCUAGAAUAGAAAAACGCGGAGGGGAGGCCUAGCCCAGAACAUCAACCAAAUCACCACAAAGACCCCCAACAUCCUUAAAUCAGAUUUAUACUACAUUCCCUAACCGCCGCUGCUUAAAACCAAAUCUCCUCUACUCACAGAAACAAUGAAAGAGCAUAUCCAUAAGCAACCAGAAUAUACCACAAUAGAUUUAAAACACCAAAUUUGGUCUUAUCGGAGGCUAUUGACUUCUUAUCGUCAAUUUCCAUGGCUGAUAAACUAUUUUCUUUCGCCAUUAAAACUUUAGGAACGUUGUUCGUAUGAAUUCGCGGCAGAUCUGUGAGGAGCAGGAGCAAAGACGGUUGGGGGAGGAAGAGGGAGAAGAGGGAUUUUGUAAUAUUUUAGAGGUUAUUUUUGUCCAACAAAUAGUUAAUGUGGUUCAAAAUAGAUUUAAUUUCAUAUCUUAUCGAAUAAAGAAAUAUUAAGAAGCAAAAUUUUUUUAUCAAACAUAUUUUAUCUCUGACUGAAUUAGAGACAUACCCAUUAAGAGAUAUUCAGAUAUAAACAAACACAACCUAAGUGGUAUAUCUUGAAAAAAUGCAUGUUAGAUUUUAUAUUCACAGUAUAGGAAAAAAUCUUACCACUAAUUUGUCACCUUAAUUUGAUUGUAGAGUUGAAGUUACUAGUUAUAUUUAAAGUGGUGAUCGAGAAUUAAUACCUACCGUACAUGUUGAUUUGAUCACCACAUCAGCAUCAAAGCCAGAAAGGUCUACAUUUUUGACUGCCGAUAGCAUCACAUCCAUGAAGUCUUGCUGCGUAUUAUCUUCAUCUAAUGAAUUCCUCUUCAUCCUGUGCUCUUCUAGCCAACCACUAACAAUAUUAUCCAUUUCUUUAGCCGUUUUUUUCAUAGCCUUCUCAUAUCCACCCAAAUCCAACAACCUUAAAAACGGAAGACUGUCAGCCACCACAAACACCCCAUGUAACCGAAAGAACUCCCUCCAUACCCUCCGGCACCGCCUUGCCUCCUCGUCAUCGUUGGCGUUACCACCGCCAAAAUACCGCUUUCCAGCAACCAUCCUAAGCACAACAUUGAGAGUCAAGUCUCCAAACCAUUUCUUCAUCUCUACCAAAACCCGACCGGACCCAUCUUUCUUUUUGGACCAAAUUUUGUUGAGUUGUUUCAUGCUGAUCUCCAUUUCAGAGAUUCACACGUGCUUGAGCAGCUCGAGCCGCCUGCUGAAGAGCAGCUCGAGGGAGGUGAUUUUUCGGAGUUCAACCCAAAAUGAACUGUAGGGAGUAAAUGCAAACAUGGCAUAGUUGUAGGACAAAUGUUCAGUUGCUAGGAUUUUGGGUCGGUUCGACACUAUUAUAUCGUUGGUUGUGAAAAUUUCCUUAAUAAUCUCCCAGCUGCUCACCACUAAGUACCGGUGAACCCCGAACCAGACCCUGAAGAUCGGCCUGUAUUUAUCGGCCAUGGAUCCAAAGACAAGAUGGGGUAGCUUUGAGCCGCCUAGGAGGUGGAGAUGACCUAUUAUAGGCCAUGCACCACCAGCUUCAGGUGCUACAUUUUUUUUGCUAAUUCUAGUCCAAGGUGAGAAAUAAUAAAGGACUAAUAUUAUAGCAAACAGAGCAGCUAUUAUAGAGUAGAGUUGUGGGAGGAAGGACUCCAUGGCGGAAUUAAGCGACUGAGUUGAGUCCUUCUGCAUGGACAUGCG